rnacentral:lncRNA from 1 species
GUUUUUUGUGCGGCUGCUGGAUUUGACGACUGCGGCGUAGCUAAGGCCGAUGCGGCUGACGUGAAUUAUUACGGUUGUUGGUUUUUUUUUUUUUUUUUUUUUUUUUUUUCUCACGCUGCGACUUGAAGCUUGAGCUGCGAUUAUUGGACUAGCAGUUGGAGUUCUGGGCUGUUGGAGAGUUUUGUCUACAUUAACUGGGCCACAUUCCGCAACCCCUUCCUUGUUCUCUUUUCUUGGUUGUUGAAACGUUGCGGACGCUUCGACUAAGCGUUGAUAACAAUAGCACUUGGUGAGCAGGGGUUGGCAACAGUGUCAAAGACCGUCCGUUUGUUGCUGGAGGCGCGGACGUUGGUGUUGUUCAAGUUUUUCCUUGUGCCUUGUGUUCCAGGGAGGUGCUGUGGUGCAGCAUCUUCUUCCGUUGUUUGGUGAUCAGCAGAAAGCCUGGAAUUCAAAAGAUUGGUUUUAAUUUUUUUUUUUUUUUUUUUUUUUUUUCUUGUUAUCUUUUCUUGAUCCGUGCGGCUGCAUCACCAGUAGAGAGGAGUGCAACACUGUAGCGUUUGUUCCAAGUGGGGGAUUGUAGCUUUACGGCAUUGUGAAGUGCGGCGGUUUUUUUGCAUCUAAAUUCCUUUAGAUAUGUAGCUGAUGCGGUAGAAAUCAAAGCUCGAUGCGACGGUGUUGCAGCAAUUAGAUCUGGUUUUUUGUUUUCUCUUCUAGACGAGGAAGUAGCUAAGAAUCAAGUGGCAGUGAAGAGGUCCAACGACGUGUUUGGUGGUUGCUCCGGUAUUGAUCUGCAAGCGGUUGGCAUCUUGGCGUCGCAGCGGAUCAUAUUCUCUUCAUAGCAAGAAGCUAGGCUACGGAUUGCAGUUGUCCCUUGUUGUUUUCUUAUGUAGCGGCUCAAUGAGCCGAGGAGAGAGCAUCAAAGCACUUUCUAUUUUUAUUAUUGACAUAUGGUGCAGCGGCCUAAUGGAGCGAGCUGUGGUUGAAUCAGUUCUCCACGGUUGGUGACAACUAGAGCAGUGUUCCUACACCACCAGUUCUGCAGCAAACAAGGCAUUGGCGAUACCGGCCGUCUGAUCAACGAUUUUCUUCUUUCUGCGUAUCGUAGUGUAGGCACUGUGAUGAUGUCGAUCAAUGGGAGAAAGAUCAUGAUUCUACUGAACUUCAAGGCGGCGGUGCUGUUCGAUCUUGACGUUGCCGUUGAAUACUAAGCAUAGUGCACGUUUCGGAAAAGCCAUUGUUGGGGAAAUAGGAUUCCAUCACCAUAAGGUAUUGAAUCUUGAGACAAGUAUGGACAGUGUGUGGCUGGUAGUGAGCGGCACCGGACGCGCCACUUGGUGAUGUACCUCAAAUGCGACUCUCCAAAAAGUUGUGAAAAGAAAGGGUGGCUCUGUACCCUACUGUUAUAAGCAAUCUCAACAGAAGCAAACGUGAAGCGGUCUAAGAGAAUUGGGAGCAAGCUUCGUUCUCUGCCUUCUCCGAUUUGGAAUCCUACCUUUGUUCAUCAAGGCGUAGAGCGUGCUCGCCUCCAGCCUGAUGGAGGUUCCAACUAACGGCCAACUCAAGCAUUGAAGAUGUAGUUGUAAUCCGAACGGAGUGGACCUCCACCAAAGCAACUGCUGCAGGUGCUUCGACCUAUAUUAUAUCUUGGUGAGGACCUCCAAUAAACAAGGAGUUAACAAUGAGUUAAGUUAAUUAGUGGAUGACGUUACAUUAGACAAAUAGAAUUAAGUUGAACAAAAACUUCUUGGAUGAAUUAGGAUUUGACGUAGAUGAAGAAUUUUGGAUGAAUAUUGAUUAAAUUAAAUAAAUCAUUAUUAUAUUGGAUGAAUAUUGAUUAAAUUAAAUAAAUCAUUAUUAUAUUGGAUGAAUAUUGAUUAAAUUAAAUAAAUCAUUAUUAUAUUGGAUGAAUAUUGAUUAAAUUAAAUAAAUCAUUAUUAUAUUUGGAUGAAUAAUCAUUUAAAAGAUGAUAUUUUGAUAGAUGAAUGUAAAAUCAAAUUAAAAUUAUAAUAAUUAUAACAAAAAAAUCACACAUCAAAAUAAAUAAUUAAAUAAAUAAAUAAAAUAAAAUAAAUAUUUAUAAUAAUAAUUUUUAAAUGGGGUGAAAUUUUAGAAUGACUUUUUAAUUGUAAGUGAGAUUUGAUAAUUAAAUUUUGACUUCAUUGCUUGACUUAAUUAAGAAAGAUAAUGAGUGAAUGAAUUAGUAUUUCAUUAAUAAUUCUAACUUUUCAAAUUCAUGUAGUAAAUUCACUUGUUGUAAAACAAAAUAAAUUUCCAACUACUGGAAGAUUAUUUUAGCUCACAUUUUAUUGUUUGUUAUUUAGAUAUCUAAAUUUACUCUAAAAACACAAAAGAGCAUGAAAUUCAUAUUCAUUGUGGAUUACAAAAACUUAGAGAUGCAAGAUUAUAUGCCAAAUUAAAAAAGUAUGUAUUCUAUACUACUCAAGUUGAUUUUCUUAGAUACAUAAUUCCAACGAAAGGUUAAAGAUGGAUUUAAAGAAGGUCCAAAUUAUCAUGGAUUAGAAGAUUUUAAGAAUAGUAAGAUACUUACAAUACUUUUUAAGCUUGUCAAUUAUUAUUGAAUUUUCAUCAAGAAUUUUUCUCAAGUUGCAACUCUAGUUAUACAUUUGAUUUGUAAAGACAAAUUUGAGUGAAGUAAAGGAGCCAAAGCAUCAUUUGAUGCUUUAAAAAAAGAGUUUACUUUUGCAUCCAUCUUAUAUCAUGUUGACUUCUUUAAGGCAUUUUUUAUAGAAACAAAUGCAUCAGACUAUACCUUAGGUGCAAUAUUAUUAUAAAUGGAAGUAGAUGACAAACUCCAUUUAGUAGCUUUUUAUUUCAAAAAAAUUUCAAUUAUCGAGAUCAAUUAUGAGAUCCACAAUAAAGAGUUCCUAUCACGGACACAGAAAUAUAAACUCGAGAUCUAACAAAAAAUUGAAGAAGAACUAGCAAGAACUAGAUUAAUCAGAUGAGAACAACACCAUAGAGAUGAGCUAGAGCUCCAAAAGAUGUGUUGUCGAGACUGAAGAACUCUUCAGCCUCGAUUCCAAUAUAUACUCCUAUUUAGGAAGCUUCUCAAGGAACUUCUACCAACUAAGAAGCUUCUAGAGGGUUCCAGAGACUUGCUUCUAGAAGGUUCUAGAAACUUGUCUCAAGAAGGUUCUAAGGACUAUGUUCCUAACAUCUUCUACCAACUAAGAAGCUUCUAGAAGGUUCUAGAGACUUGCUUCUAGAAGGUUCUAGAAACUUGUCUCUAGAAGGUUCUAAGGACUAUGUCCCUAACAUCACCUCCUCCUUUAGCUUCGAGGUCUCUGAGAAGCAAUGUUGUUGAUUAGUACCAACGCAAGAAAAUGAACAUCUAUCGCAAAACGUCUGCUAUGAACUCCAAGUGUUGUUCACGAGGCAAGUGGUUCAUCGGCCCUUGAAGCCAAUGGUAGUGGCCCACUCCUUCAACUUCUGACCAAGCAUGAACUUCCAUGUCCUCAUUAUGAAAUUGUCCUACAAACACGCCUUCUAGUUGACCAUCGUAAGCAGGCUCGGACUCAAAUACAAUCACCAGUGAUUGGUUACUCGGUAUCCUCCGUCGUCGUCGUGGUGUAGGCGGUUCUUCAUCUUGGGGUCGCCUUCGUGAGCUAGUCAAUUGAGAUAAUCUGACUGGCAUAAUAUCUAUCUCUUGGCUAUCCAUAUCAAAAGACCAGACUAUGGCUACUAAAAAAAUUCUAUUUUAUCUUGGAGAAAAUAACUACAUCAACUACGAAUUUUGGUGGUGCUUUCUCCCUUUCUUAUAUUCUUGGAUGAACAAGCUUCAGAAGGAAGCUAUCGUCGAACCGGCUUAGGUUUAUGAGAAUGUUCUUGAUAAAACUCUUGUACCUUUUGCGGUACAUUGGCGAGAUUUUCAGCUGGCUCCCACGUUCGCUCAUUAAUGUCGUAGCCGCACCAAUGAACAAGAUACUCCAACUUGUCCCACCUUCGCCAUGAAUCCAGUACCUUUUCAACCUCGUAUUCUUCAUGGUUCUCGAUCUUAAUACUAGGUGGCGGAUAUUGUACUCUUUCAAGAAAAGACGACUCUCAAUAAGGUUCUAAUAGAGAAACAUGAAAGACUAGAUGUACUUUCAUAGAAGCCGAUAAUUCCAGACUUGAGCCACUGGAUUGAUUUACUUCUAGAUGAUAAAUGGUCCCAAUCUUCGAUAGUCCAACUUAUCACAUGGUCGCUUGGUCUUGAUAUUCCGUCAAAGAAGCCAUGCUUUAUCUCCAAUUUUGAAAGUAGGUACUUGAUUUCGAAAUCUAUCUACAAACGCCUUGUAGGAUUCUUGAGCGGAUUGUAAUUGAAGCUUCAACGUAUUUUGAAGCUCUGAUAGUUGUUUCGUAAAUCCUUCAGCUUUUGGAUUGUUAUUUGUUGAGGGACUCAAUAAAUCAAGCUUCGGAUGAUAUCCAUAGUUAGAAAAGAAUGGUGUGUAUUGAGUCGACGCAUGGAGGGUGUUGUUAUAUGCAAACUCGGCUAGCGACAGAUAUGUGGUCUAAUCGUCUUGCUGAUAGUUGAUGCUGCAUCGUAAGUAUUGUUCCAAGACUUAGUUUACUCUUUCCAUUUGGCCGUCAGUUUGAGGAUGAAAAGCCGAAGAAAGCUUGAUAUCGACCUUCAGUAUCUCAAAGAGAGAUCUCCAAAACUUUGAUACGAACUGGGUUCCUUGAUCUGAUACGAUAUCAUCUGGUAGUCCAUGAUAUCGAUACACAUUAUCGAGAAAGAGCCUUGUUGUGACUUCACUAGACGAUGUCUUCUUGCAAGGAACAAAGUGCGCCAUCUUUGUAAGCCGAUCUACUAUGAUAAAGACGCUGUUAAAUGAGUUCGAUGAUGGAAGGUCCGUGAUGGAGUCCAUGGAAACUGAAGACCAUGGUCGACGUGGAAUCGGCAAUGGCUGUAGGAGUCCAUAAGGGCGAUGUCAAAGAUUUUUGGAUCUUGAACAGAUGUCGCAGGAGAGGACAAAAUCUUUCACAUCCUUCUACAUUUGGGGCGACCAAAAAUCUCGAGAAAUAAGCUCCAAGGUCUUGUUGAAUCCAAAAUAUCCCGCAGCUGGAAAAUCGUGGCGAGAUUGAAGAAAUCGGAGUCGUGCUCGUCCUUUUGGGAUAUACAACCGCUCCUCAAAGUAUAAAAGAUCUCCCUCCACCUUGAAUUUGUCGUCAUUGGCACGCUGCUUGAUAUCAAUGGCUACUAAAUCAUUAAUGGUCGCGGUACGUACCUGAUUCAAGAAGUCAGCAUCAAUUGGCACAAUAGUAGCGCAAAGCCGAAAUUGCUCUGGCUUCAACAACGUCGUACAUUGUUGAUCAAACGCUUCUUCUUCAACCUUUGGUACAAGAUACGAUCUCCUCGAUAAGGCAUUAGAUAGUCCUUGUUGCUUUUCAGGUCAAUAAGUGAUAACAAAAUCGAACCUAGAUAGCAACAUACUCCACCGAGCUUGACGUCGAUUUAGAACUUGAGCUGACAUGAAAUAUUCUAAAUUCUUGUGAUCUGUGUAUACGGUCACUGGAUGUGCAGUUCCUUCAAGAAAAUGAUGCCAUUCUUAAAAAGAAUCCACUAUAGCAAGAAGUUCCUUAUCGUAGAUCUCAUAAUUGAUUUUAGCAGCAGAGAACUUUUGAGAAUAGAAUGCAACCGGAUGGAGCUUCUUGUCUUCUCCCAUUUGUGAAAGUACAGCUCCCAAAGCAAAAUCCGAAGCAUCAGUUUCUAAAUAAAAGGCCUUUGUACAGUCUAGAUGUACCAAGAUUGGAGCCAUAGUAAAUGCGAUUUUUAGGUCUUGAAACGCCUUCUCCGCUAGAGGUCCCCAUUCUAGCUUAUCCUUGCAUGUCAACCAAAUGAGAGGAGUAACAACUUGAGAGUAAUUCUUCAUGAAGAUCCAAUAGAAGUUGGCAAAGCCAAGAAAGCAUUGUACGUCUCUCACCACCUUCGGAACCUCCUAGGACACGAUUGCUUCCACCUUCUUGGGGUCCAUCUUUAAGCCUUUCGUAGUUGCAACGAAUCCCAAAAACUCCAUCUCUAUUUGGUGAAAUAAACACUUCUUCAACUUGGCAUAUAGUCCUCGCUUGGGUAGUUUCUUCAAGACCAAACGAACGUGCUUUUUAUAUUCUUCCUCAUUUUUAGAGAAUAUCAGAAUAUCAUCCAAAUAGAUGAUAACAAAAUCGUCAAGGUAUUCUUAGAGAAUAUCAUUCAUCAUAUGUCAAUAGACCGCUGGAGCAUUGGUAAGACCAAAAGGCAUGACAUUAUAUUCAAAAUGGCCAUAUCUUGUACAAAACGAUGUCUUCCACUCAUCUCCUUCCUUGAUUCGUACGAGGUUGUAAGCUCCCCUUAGAUCAAUUUUUGUAAAAAUCCUUCCACGUCCAAGUUGUUCUAACAGAUCAGAAAUCAAGGGUAACGGGUAACGAUUCUUCUUUGUUACCUUGUUGAGGCCUCGAUAGUCCACGCACAUCCGCAAUGAGCCAUCUUUCUUCGUCACAAAUAAGAUGGGUGCUCCACCUGACGAUUUUGAAUGACGGAUGAAGUUCUUGGCUAGAUUCUCGUCGAUGUACUUUUGCAACUCCGCCAACUCCAUCUGCGAUAGAUUGUAGAUUAGGCCAAAAGGCGGUUGUGCUCCUUCCUGUAAGUCUAUGGCACAAUCAUAUGGUUUGUGUUUCGGUAGCAUGUUGGCAUUUUUCUUUUGAAACAUGUCUUUAAAAUCCUUAUAUUGCUCCGGUAUACUUGUUGUCAAGAUCUUCUCCCCGGUAGUUGGAGCCACAUAAAUGACAAACGGUGUGCCUUCCUUGGACGAUCUUAUAAACGCUCUUGCUCCAAUAAAUAAAGAUUUUUCUAUUCGGGGUUUUCUAUUAGGCUUUCUCUUGGGUGGUUUUGUGGAAAAGGUCAUCUUCCGCAACUUCCAAUCUAUGGAUGGGUUAUGCUUUUCCAACCAGGAAAGACCAAGAAUAACAGGAUUUGAUGGAGUUCUAAUAAUAUUGAAAAUAAUAUGACUACUAUGGCCCUUAAACAUCACUUCUAUAGGUUCUGAUUCAUGAAUGACACUACGAGACAAUAAAGGUCGUCCAUCUAUGACCUUAAUGUGAAUAGGUUUGGAUUUUUGUACUUAAAGAAUCUUAUGAUGCUUCACAAAUUCUUCGUCUAAGAAACAAGCAGAUGCUCCUGAAUCUAAUAAUGCUAAGGUUCUCAGUUUUUGAAGGCCAAUAAGCAAAGAGAUUGUAAAACAAAGGGCAGGUUGAGCGAAAAGAAAGGAACUUGGUUGUUGUUGUGAUGUUUCAAUGUCCAGCCGCACGAUUCCUAUUGUGGCUGGGCAUCCUUGUUUUCCUAAAUAAAUGUGCCCUAGUCCUGACAAUAUGUCGAUUUUGCUUCUUGGGGCAGUUUCCAACUUUGUGGCCUUCUUCACCGCAAUACAAAUAUAGACCUUCCUCCAUAUGCCGCUUUUUUUCUUCUAGAGUAAGGGAUUUGAUACGUACCGCAUCAAUUUGCAUGUCUUCUACCUCUGAAUGUGAAUUCACGAUGUUUGCCGACAUAGUUGGAGCAUGGCAAACUGUAUGUUGUCUUGAACAUUGGUCUUGGUGACGUUGGAAUAGGCGGUUAUCGCACUUCACAACUUGGCUAAUAGCUUUGUUGAGCGUUUGUGGAUCAGGAAGAGUUAACAGCAAAUCCUUCACAUCAUCCCUUAAACUCCAAUAGAAUUGACUCAUCAACGCUUCUUCAUCCCAAUUGAUGUCACAUGCUAAUUGCCUGAAGUCCGAUGCAUAGACUGAUGUAGAGCGCAUCCCUUGUCGUAGUAACCGGAUCUUUAUUGUAGCCCAUCAAACCUUGUCGUAUUCACCAAAUGCUUCCGCAAAUGCCUCCAAAAAGGUUUCAAAGUUGAUUAGUAAGGACGAUCGUUUCUCAAACAAAGGAGCAAACCAUGAUAGAGCUUGUCCUGUAAGUAAGGUUCCAACAAGCCCAACAUGUGACUCCUUUGUUGGAUAGCGUUCGGGCUGUAAAAGUGUUAUCAACUUGAUUUGGUUGACGAAUCCUCGAAACUUGGAAUGCGUACCAUCGAACUUAUCCGGAAGGCUAACUCGGGGCUCCUUAUAUUGUAGAACCAGUGGUGCUUGUCGAACCUGAGGCAAAUUUGCUUCUCCAAGUGAAAAAGUUUGAGGCUCGUGCAACCUAGAUUGUGCCAUCCCAGAUGCUCCAUCAUUAUGAAGCCUUGCCAUGACUCCUUCAAUCUCUGUAAUUCUUUGUGAUAACGUAGUGAAGGCAUUUAUGAUAGCAUCCAACUUGGACUCUGAACUUUCAGUCAUACUACUAUCUUGGCCCCCAGCCAUUCUAAGAGAAGGACAGAAAUGACUUUACAAGAAGACAAUAUUGGUUUAGAGGAGGGUACUCCGCAACUUCUAAAAUGCCUUAAGAGCUUCAAAAAAAGGAGUAAUCCACUCUCUUCAAGAAGAAUAAGACUUUAAUAUUGUAACAAAAGAAAUAUCAGUUUAGAGGAGGGUAAUCCACAACCUCUAAAAUUCUAGUACACUUCCAAGCAGAAGGGUAAUCCACACUCUAACAAAGAAGAAACUAGCUCUGAUAUCUGAGGUGAGUGCAGUCUCGACAAACUGUCACAGACACAGAAAUACAGACUCGAGAUCUAAUAAGAAGUUCAAGAAGAAUUGGCAAGAACUAGAUUAAUCAAAUGAGAACAAUACCAGAGAGGUGAGCUAGAGCUCCAAAAGAUGUGUUGUCGAGACUGAAGAACUCUUCAGCCUCGAUUCCAAUAUAUACUCCUAUUUAGGAAGCUUCUCAAGGAACUUCUAUCAACUAAGAAGCUUUUAGAAGGUUCUAGAGACUUGCUUCUAGAAGGUUCUAGAAACUUGUCUCAAGAAGGUUCUAAAGACUAUGUCCCUAACAUCUUCUAUUAACUAAGAAGCUUCUAGAAGGUUCCAGAGACUUGCUUCUAGAAGGUUCUAGAAACUUGUCUCUAAAAGGUUCUAGAAACUUGUCUCUAGAAGGUUCUAAGGACUAUAUCCCUAACAAUUCCUUGUAAUUGUGGAUUUAUUUUAAGAAUGGUGUAAUUAUUUAGAAGGCACUUCGAGUUUGGUCUCCAUAUAUACAAACUACAAGAACCUUAAAUAUUUCAUGUUGGUACAUAUUUUGAAUUGUCGCUAAGCUUAUUGGAGCAUGUCUUUAUCAAGAUUUGAUUUCAAGAUUACUUAUUAACUUGAAAAAAUAACAAGGUUUAUUGAAUGCCCUUUUUAGACGUUUUUAUCUUACACCAAAAGAAGGAGAUGUAUCUUUUGAUCAAUAAAGAACAAUUUUCUUGAAAUUAGAGUAUUUUCAUCUUUAAGCAAUAAAAUAAACAUUAACUAUUGAUUCAACUUUUGUCGAGCAAAUUCAAUCAAGUAUGUCCUUUGAUCUUUUUGUCCAUGAUAUCAAAAAUAAUUCUAUUAAAUUUCAUGAUACUUCUAAGUUUGAGUUCAAGAACAAUCUAUUAUACUUCAAGGAAUGAUUAUAUAUUCUAAAAAAUAAGGCACGAUUACAUAUUCUUCAAAUUUUUCAUGACUUUUAAGUAGCCAAACAUUUUGGAUAUAAUAAGACUUUGGAGCUAAUAUUGAAAGAUUUUUUGUGGCUUCAAAUGUCGAAAGCAAUCAAAGACUUUAUUCAAUCAUGUAAUAUUUGUUUAAGAUUCAAAACUCCUUGCUAUUGCUCUUAUGGACUUUUUUAGCCAUUAUCUAUUGUAGAACAACCAUGGUCUUUUGUUUCUAUAAAUUUUAUUAUAGAUCUUUUACUCUUAGGUUUGUAUGAUUCUAUAUUUGUGGUAGUAGAUCAAUUUACCAAGAUGGUAUAUUUUGUACCAUAUAUAAAAUCUAUCACAAGUGAAGAAAUUACUAAGUUUUUUCUUAACAUCUAUUACUAUCAUGGAUUGUCUAAAGAUAUUAUAUCAAAUAGAAAAAAUCAAUUUUUAUCAAGAUGUUAGAGAACCCUUUUUAAGAUUUUAAAGAUGGAUAUAAAGCUCUCUUUAGCUUUUCAACUUCAAAUUGACGUCAAAAGAAAUAAGUGAAUGAAGUUUUGGAGUAAAACUUGAGGUGUACCAUCAACUAUCAUCAAGAUGAUUGAAUAAAUCCUUUAGUAUUGGUAGAGUUUGCGUAUAAUAAUUUGAUACAUUCUUCCACUCAACAAAUACUUUUUUGCCAAUUAUGGUUAUUUUCUACAACUUGAUAUUUUUAACUUUUCAAAAGUUGAUAAUUCUACAAUGUUAGAUUUCACAAAACAUUUAUUAAUGCUACAUGUAAUAAUAAAGGUGCAGUUAAAAGAAGCUCAAGAAUGACAAAAGAUUAAUGUAGAUUCUUAUUAUAAGGAAUAAUGAUAAUUCAACAUAAGUGAUAAGAUAUGAUUACUUUGUCGCAAUAUCAAUACUACUUGUCUUUGUAACAAGUUGGACUAUUGUAGGCUUGUAUCUUUUCCUAUUUUUGAAUAAAUCAAUCAUAUUUCUUAUCAACUAUAUCUACUAGAGUCUAUGAACAUCCACCUUAUAUUUCACAAGUUUUUUUUGAACCAUAUAAGAUAGUAAAUAUCUUAAAAAAAAGAUAAAUAUAACUUAUUUUAUAUAAGUGGAUAAUAAUUAAGAAUUCAAAGUGGAAGAAGUUUUAGAUUCAAGGUAGUGGUGAAAUAGGUUAAAAUAUCUUGUUCAUUGGAUAUGAUAUUGGUGAAUACACAGCGGAGCCAACAAAGAAUCUUGCAAAUGCAGUAAAAAAAAUUAAAGUUUUUUUUUGACAACAUCCUUCAAAAUCAAGAUGAAAAAUAACAUAUCUUUGCUAUAAAAGAAACAAGUUUAAAGAAAGAUAACACUCUGCCUUCUAUCUUUCUUUAAAGCCUUUGUAUAUUUGUAAUACUAAAGAAAUGGAAAAACUUUAAAAAAAGUUACAAAGGCCUGAACAAUAAUCAAAUAAUAAGGUGGUCUUUUGCCCUCAUAUGGAACUCUAUCAAUAGCUAAGAGGGCCUAUCAACCAUCUUUGAAGAGAACAAAGAUCAAAGUAUGUGGCAAAUAUAAUUCAUCGCAUCUUAGAUUUUUUCAACAUAUAAAAACCACUCCUUGUGAAACUUGUUCCUAAAAGCUAGAAUAAUAUCAUGGAUAUAUAUAGAUAUUCUAAUAAAUUUAUAUAUGAUUAAGUAGAAAUAGAUAAAAGUACAUAAAACUAGGUUAAUUUCAUAAUAUCUUCUACACAAGCUUCUUAGAAGCUUUAUAAGUGCUACUUUGACUUAACAUGUGUCUAUAGGUGAUUGGUAGAUUAGAAACUUGGUCAAUAAGUUAACCACAUAUUGAUAGAUUAUGGAAUAAGCUAACUAUGUGGUAUAUAUAUAGAAAACUUAUCUUGCAAGUUAAGAUACGUGUCUUGCAAAGUUAACACAUUUUAGAGGUCUUAUAAGACAUUGCCAUGUAGCUCCUAAUUAAGAGUAUAUAUGGAUGUAAGAAUAAAGCCUUCUUCACUCUUAUAAAUGCCUUUUUAGAUUUUAGUCUUAUUUUAAGACUUUUUAGUCUCCUUAUUUUUGGCAAUAGCCAUUCUAGUUCAAUAAUAUAUCAUCUUUGAAUGACUUUCUACUUCUUUUCAAUGUCACAAGAAUGUAUUGAGGAUUUCUUUCUUCAAGAGUCAUGUCUUUGAUGGAUAGAGAUUUAAAAUAGCAUGUGAAGUUUUUAAUCAAAUUCUUGUUAAUAUAUCCUUUGAAUGCAACCAACUUAUUUUAUAAUAAAUUAUAGAUUGAUCCAAAUGGUGGUUGAAUUCCAUCUCGAAUAUCAAUAGAAUAGUCAUAGGAACAAUACUCUCAAUAAAUAUUUGUAUUUAUUUUUCAAAAACAUCUUAAUAAUCUUAGUAUUAGCUUACAAUAUGAUUUACAGUCUUUUUUCCAUCAAAAAUAAGAGUGGCAUACAUAAAAAAAGUUGAUCCUUCUUUUUUUGCAUGCAUGAAAGUUCUUGUACCUACCAACAAGGAUUUGGUUGUAUUAAACUUAAUGGAACAAGUGCAAUUAAGCAAUUGUACACUACAAAAUUAAUCAUUAUUUAUUUAUUAAGUUAUAUUAAAUAAAAAAUAAAAUUUAAAAUUUAAAAAUAUAUUUUUAGAAAUCCGAUUUUUUUUUUCUUUCUAAUAGUGUAAGAAACAUAUAAAUCCGAGUUACUAUGAAUAAGUUAUGAAGGUUUGAAAAAUAACAAGUAAAUGAAUAAAAAAUUAAGUAAAUAAUUUUAUCUCAAAGGUAACUUGCUUAAGAGAUCAGGAAUUUGAGCCUCACGAAGGCUCACAAGUAUAUAUUUGCUUCAUUUCUUCAUAAUGGCUCCUAAGGUGGUAAAAUUUAUUUUUACCAAAGUCUUAGAAAUUACUCUAAAAAUUCCUUAAAAAAUCCAAAUAAAUUUUAAAUAAAUUCUAAAAUUCCUAUAAUGGUUCUAUAAUAUUAAUAUCUAUUUAAGAAUAUAAUUUUCUAUCUUGAUAAUUUUUAUAGUAAUAAAAUCAAUUUAAAUCUACUAUAAAUCCUACUUUCUAUAUAACUAACUAAAAAGACAUGAGGUUCUUUCUCAAGCUUCUUCUAACUACUAACUAACAUUUAUAGUUUUUCUUAUAAAUCAUAUGUGUAGAUAGAAGAGUAAUAUAAAUAUUGACCUUAGUAAAUGUUUCUCAAUAUUCAAUAAUAAAUAAAAAAUACUAAAUCAGCUAAGCUAAUUGCCUCUAAGACUUACUAAGACUCCAUUUCUUCUCCACUAAUAUUGUUCUCCUUCAUUUAACAUCCUCUAAGUACAUUUUUACCUAAAAGUUGUAAUUUUGGCAUUCUACAUGUAUUCUUUUGUCCUAAAAUAACUAAUGAGUUAAUUUGAUGGCUCGCAUUUAUAUUAUGGAAAAGCUAAGCACACUACUCAAUAUUGCUCAAAGAAACAAUGCAACUACAAAAUGAAGAGUAUAACUCUCAAAGAUGAAAAAAUGAUAGAAAAUAAAUUUGUCCAAUUAUAAUAGGGAUCAUACAACUAAAAUCUUGUACAAAUGAAGGUCCUAUCCUUUCCUCAAAAUCCUCUCUUUGUUAUAUAAUAGAUGUAUAUUUAGGAUUCAAUAAUCACAAAGCCUCCUAUCUUAAUAAAUUUAAGAGCUUCAGCUUGUUUUUUAGAUGAAGAGUUUGUUAAAAACCAUAGAAUACUAUUAGUACAAAAAACUAAAUUUGUACAUGUAGAAGUCAUAUAUAGCCAUCUAUUAUCUUUUGGAGAUAUUAUUCAUAAAAUAAUUCCUAUAGAUAUAGUAAUAAAUGGUCAUAAUAGUUACAUAAUUUUUGAUAUAAUUAGAUCUUCCUCUAAUCCAGUCAUUUUAGAUUUAUUGUAGCUAGAAAACUAUAAUCCUCUGAUAGAUUGGAUUUUUCAAGCUUGACUUUCUUCAUAACAUUAUUAAGGGUUUUGUGAAAAGCUAUAAGUCUAAUAUAGCCAAAUUCCUAUUCGUAGGUAUAAAAUCUUUUUUGUAUGUUGUAAAAGAAGAAUCACCUUUUGUUAUUUAUACUACAUCUAUUUUUAAUGAAAGAAAGACUUCAAGUCAUAUUCUAAGUCAAUAUCAAGAUUUUUAAGUAUUUUUGACAAGAAGAAUACAUAUAUUUUCUUGAUGAAUUAUCCAAAUGAUUGCUCAAUUGACUUUUUAUGAUAUAUCAUUUUCAACGAAGGACUUAUGAUGGAUCCAAAGAAGGUUUAAACUAUUAUAGAUUUGAAGAUUUCAAAAACAGUAAGAAAUAUGUAAUUUUUUUUUUUUUAUCUUUGCCAAUUACUAUCGAAUCUUCAUUAAGAUUUUUUUUUCAAGCUGCGGCUCCUCUUAUACAUCUUAUAUGCAAAGACAAACUUGAUUGGAACAAAGAAGCUGAAGCAUCUUUUGAAGCCUUGAAGUUAGCAUUUAUUUUUAUAUCAAUCUUGUAUUGUAUCGACUUUUUGAAGGUAUUUUUUAUGAAAACAAAUGCAUUAGAUUUUGUUUUCAAUGUUGUUUUGUCAUAAAUAGGAAAAGAUGACAAGCUCUACUUAGUAGCUUUUUAUUUUAAAAAAUUCUCAAUAGCUGAGAUUAACUAUGAGUUCCAAGAUAAAAAAAAUCUUACAAUCAUGGAUUCUUUUCAAGAAUGGUAUCAUUAUCUAGAAAGCACUUUCAGUCUAGUCACCAUAUAUAUAGAUCACAAGAACCUUGAGUAUUUCAUGUCAAUACAUGUUUUGAAUCAUUGCUAGGCUCGUUGACUCAAGUAAAUUCAAUCAAGUAUGUCAUUUGAUCCUCAUGUUUAUGAUAUCAAGAAUACUUCUUUUAAGUCUUGUGAUACUUCCAAGUUCAAGUUCAAGAACAAUCUACUUUAUUUCGAAAGACGCUUAUAUAUUUUAGAUAGAAAAGCACAUUUAUGUGUUCUUUAGACACAUCACAACUUUCUAGCAGUAUGAAAUUUUGAAUACAAUAAGACUUUGGAGCUAAUAUCCAAAGAUUUUUAGUGGCUGCAAAUGUAGAAGGUUGUAAAAGACUUUGUUCAAUCAUGUGACAUUUAUUCAAGGUCAAAAAUUUCUUGUCAUCAAUUUCAUGGACAUCUACAACCAUUACAAAUUCCAGAACAAUUAUAGACUUCUAUUUCUAUACAUUUUAUUAUGGAUCUUUCAAUCUCAAGUUUGUAUGAUUCUAUAUUUGUCCUUUUAUCAAAAUGGUUUAUUUUAUACUAUAUACAAAAUCUAUAAAUGGUAAAGAAACUGCCAAGUUUUUCUUUGAUAAUAUCUAUCAGUAUCAUAGAUUGCCAAAAGAUAUUAUAUUGGAUAGGAAGAUUCAAUUUAUAUCAAGAUUUUAGAAAAUCCUUUUUAAGAUUUUAAAGGUGGAUAUAAAGCUUUCUUCAGCCUUUCAUCCUCAAAUUGAAGGACAAACAAAGCGCAUAAACUAAUUUUUGGAGCAAUACUUAAGGUGUAUCAAUUAUCAACAAGACGAUUGGACAACUCUCUUAUCAUUGAUAGAGUUUACUUAUAAUAAUAUAAUACAUUCUUUUACACAACAAACACCUUUUUUUUAUUAUUAAUUUUGGUUAUCAUCAAUGACUUGAUAUCUUUUACUUUUCAAAAGUUAAUAAUCUUAUGGCAAAAGAUUUGAUAAAUUAUUUAUGAGAGCUACAUAUAAUAAUAAAAGCAUAAUUAAAGAAAGUUAAAAAAUGACAAAAAUUCAAUGCAGAUGCUUAUGAAAAAAAAUAAUGACAAUUCAACGUAGGCGACAAGAUAUGAUUACAUCGUCAUAAUAUCAAGUCUACUUGUCUUUUGUGAUAAGUUAGACUACCGGAGGCUUGGACCUUUUUUUAUUUGUAGAUAAAUCAAUCCAGUUGCUUAUCGAUUACAUCUACAAGAAUUAAUAAAAAUCUAUUUUAUAUUCCACGUGUCUCUUUUUGAACCAUACAAGAUUAUAAGCAUACAAAGAAGAAGACAAGUUCUACCUUUUCUUGUAGAGGUAGACAAUAAUAAAGAGUUUAAAGUGGAAGAAGUUUUAAACUCAAGCCAACGCCAAAAUAAGUUGAAAUAUCUUAUCCAUUGGUGUAGAUAUGAUAUUAGUGAACGCACAUGGGAGCCAGCAAAAAAUCUUACAAAUGCAACAAAGAAAGUCAAAGCUUUUUAUAAAUAAUAUUUAUCAAAAUUAAGAUGAAUGAUAAGAAAUCUUUUCUUUAAAAGAAACAUAAUUUAGAAAAGAUUACAUUCUUUCUUUUAUCCUUGUUUGUAAUUUUUGUAUAAUUGUGGCAUUACAAAAAUAAAAAAAACCAAUAUCUGGCAGAUUCAACUCUAGAGUCAUUAUUUGCUAAUUUAUCAAGUGAGAUAUUUUGAUUAUUAUAGCCUUCAAGACAACAUAAUAGAGAUGAAGACCUUCAAGAAUAACAUGUUUUUGUUUGUAUAGAUGGUGAGAUAUAAUGCAUUUGAUAUCAUGACCUAAGAAAAGACUCUCAAUGUUUGGUGAUUUUAUUGGAGGUAGACACGACUCUUGAUAGUGUAAUAAAUAUUUUGUUUGAAGGAAGUUAGAAAAGUUUCAACAAUGAUCAAAUCAUAGGAUGGUCUUCCCACUUUGGAAUAAGACAUUACUAAUGGCUAAAAGAACCUAUCAACUACCUUCAAAAGAAACAAAGAUUAAAGUACAUAGGAAAUAUAAUUUACUGCAUCUUAAACUUCUUCUACAUAUGAUCAUUGCUUCUUAUAGAACUCAUCCUUAGAAGGAGAGAUAAUGUCAUAAAUAUGUAUUUAUUGUAAUUAUUACCUAAAUAAUAUAAAUAAGUAGAAGUAGAUAAAAAUAAAUUAAUUUCAUAAUAUCUUUUAGAAAAGCUUCUUAGAAGCUUCUUAGAUGCUAUUUUGACUUUAUAUAUAUUUGUAGUUGAUUGGUAGGUUAAAAACUUGGUCAACAAUCCAUCCAUAUACCACAUGUGUUGAUAGCUUGCAAAACAAACUAACUAUGUGGUGCCCAUAUAGAAAACUUGCCUUGUAAGUCAAGAUAUGUGUCAUGCAAAGUUAACACAUUUUUGGAGGUCCUAUAGAACGUCACUACAUAGAUCCUAAAUAGAUAGUAUAUGUAAUGGCAAGAAUGAAGUCUUCUUCACUCUUGUCAAUUCCUUUCUUGCUUCUAAUCUAGAUUCAAGAGUCUCUAGUUUUCUUAUCUUUUAGCAAUAGCCAUUCCAAUUUCCUUUUAAUAUACACUACUUCUUUAUUUUUAUUUUGUUACUUUUCUUUUGACAUAGAUUUCCUAGGUUCUUUCAAUUCAUGUCCUUGACAUAAAAGCAUAUAAAAAAAAUAUAUUUGACAACAUUGGUGAAGAAAGUAAUAUUGUAUUAAUAAAAAACAUAAGUUUAUUCUAAAAUCUCCUAAGUCUUAAACUUCUUUAUUGUAUUCUCAAAAAAAAAAAAAAAAAAAAAAAAAAAAUACACUUUUUUAAGGACUUUGGUAGAUACUUUUAAAUAUAAUUUUAGUACUAACUGUUGACCUUCUAUCUAUGAUGUAGUAACACUUCUAAGGUAAAAUAAAUUAUUUUUUCAAUCUUUAACAAAUCUAUUAUAGAUUAGAAAUUUGUUUAGAAUGUACAUUAAACACAAUGGUCCAAUUUGCAAGUAAUAAAGACCAUCCUAAUUCCAUCUCAUUUAAAAAAUAUUUCUUAUAAUUUUUUUUUAUAUUUUUUUGAAUAUGCCAAAUGCAAAGUAAUACAUUUUAAGUAAGAAAUACUUAUUCAAUGGCAUAUAUUAAUGCCAAAUUUCUAUGAAUACUAAUGCAAAUGGAACAAAUACCUCCAUUUACUUACAAAAGUUGGAUUAUUACUCAAUAAAAGAAAGAUUUUGUUUCUUGUUAGAGAAAAAGCAAUGGUAAUUGUAAAAGAAGUAUUAAAACUUUUCAUUCCUAUAAUAUGCAAUAUAGGCAUUCUAAAUCUAUUUGUUUUGUAGGUACAAUCUAUAACAAUAGGAAAAGAAUAUCUUUUUGUAAGACUAACAUAUUUAGAAUGUAUGAAAAAUAAAAAAGUUACUUUACCUUCUUCACCACAUCAAUAAGUAAAAUCAUAUUUAGCAGCAUGUAAAGUUUUCAUAAGACAAACAAUUAGAAAGCAUCAAGCAAAAUAAUGUGAUGAAAUUUUUAUUAUUUAUGGUAAAUAGUUUGAACAAUAGUUUUACUAUUAGAAUUACUCUCUUAUAGCACAAUGAUAAUAUUUUUUAGUGGAACUCUUAUAGCAAGCAAUCAUGUAGCGAAUUCUGUGUCUACUAGUUGAAGAUAUUGAAUAAAUAAAUAACCUAAAAGAAAAAAAGAAAGUCUAUGAAUAUGAAAACUAUUAUGAACUCUUAAGUGCCAUUGUAUAUUAUUCUAGAAACAAUAAACAUGUAAUACAAAUGGACACCCAAUCAAGCGACUUACACUAUUUCAUUGAUGAAUAUGACAAUUUUGGUCAUAGUAAACUUGUCUUUUGUCACACUUAAAGUUAAUGCAAUUUUUGUCAGAAUAACUUUUGUAAAUGACAUAUCUUUUGUUAUAUACAACUACAUCUACAUUAUCUUUCAUUUCUUUUAUCCCUCUACUACUGCAAACAUGUAUCCUUCAUUUUCUAUUGCAAGAUCAAAACAACUAUAGAAUAUAUAGUUCCUUCUCUUCUACACACUACACACAAUGUAAAAAAUAAUAAACUAUAAUAUAAGAUUAUCACAAAGAAGAUUGAGUAUAAAUACUUAUAGAUGUAAUAAAGAGAAGCAAAUGCAAAUAGACAUUGGUAGUAGCCAUUGGAAACCAUUGAGAAUUAUUAAGAUGUACAAAAAAAAAAACAUGAUUAUAUUUAUCCACUUGAUGUAGUUGUAUAUUACAAAAGAUAACACCAAAUGAUGGUGUUAAUAAUUAAGUUGAUGUAUACAAACCAUGUACUGAUUUGUGAUGAUGGGUGGAUCACUUUAAUAAAAACAUGGGUUGCUUUGACAUUCCACUAUAUAUAUAUAUAUAUAUAAAAAUUUGGAGUACUUUAUUCUUAUAUAUAUACAUAUAAGAAUAAAGUACUCCAAAUUUUUAUUCAAUAAUUGUAUGUUGUCAAAAUUUGUUAUGCUAUUCCAAAGAGACUUGAAUUCUAUUCACUAUAACAGUACACACAAUUUUGUUGAAGUAAUAUAGUUGUACAAUACUCUAAAGCCAUUAAAUACAGAUGAGAAGACUAAGAUAAUUUUUUUCCAACACUACAACAGAUAAUAGCUUUGACCUACACACAUAUCACUAUUUUUAAAAUGAUAUAACAGAAUGGCCUACAUAUCCAAUCAAGGGCAAAAGUUCUUACAGGAUUCUUAAGGAUUUGAUUAUAUUUAAAUGAAAUAUUAACAAAUUGGAGAUUGAUCACAAUACCAAUUGAAAGGACAUUUAGUUUAUGCAACAGACAAUUACAGAAGCAAUGUUUAUCUACAUAAUUUAUCAUAUUGACGUUGCAGUAAAUGUGGAUGAUACAAUCUAACAAAUAUGAUUCGUUCUUAUGCUAAUCACAUAUGGGGACGACUAAAAAUCAUGUUCCACAAAUUUUGAAAACGUUUCUCGUAAAAACAAUUUGUUUCUGAUAAACACAUCGCUUGAGUCGAGAUUCUCAGCGAUGUGAUCACUAUUCUAAGGUUCUUGUUUUCAGACAGUGCCGAUAUUACACAAUGCGCUUCCUUUCAGUAGCACAGCAUACUAAAGUACUAUUUCGUAAAAUCCUACUAUUGUAGAACAGUUCAGUAGAAAACAUCAGGUGUCAGCAAAGGUAAUACUGGUAAAUCCGUCGAAAAACGGAGCAACCGGAUUACAUUAAAUUUUGCAAAUAUGAACUGGCGGUGUCCGCCUCACGUGUGCUGGCUUUACCCUAGUCCUUUCAAUUGUCACAAACUCUAAGUCUUCUCAUCGUAACCCUAAGUCGACUUUUGACGCAGGAGGACAGGCCUGAAGAGCUGUCAACCCCGUUGCUACGCUGUAUUGUUCAGAAAUUAAGACAUUUUCUUUGCAAUGUGCAUUAUACGGUUUAUUCUCACUAUCAUCUCAAGCGAGGGCACAAAGCUCCUAACGACGGCUUACCUGUUCUAUUAAAAAUAUUAGCAUUCUAUGCUUGGGUUAAGGCCCAUCGUCGCGAGGGAAUCGAAGCUGAUCGAAUCAAAGGUAACUAAACUCAGAGUUCCAAUGAUAUCUCCGUCAGAGAAGUUCAUUAAAUUUUAUCCCUCCACAGUGUCUCCACUUCAAGCGAUAGGUUUACUUCUCAUCACCCGGCAUGUCUGAUAAGGUAACCAGACUACUCCUACAAGUCCAUCGCCGUAUCCCAAAUGCAUUAUGGACAACUCUAAUACGUCCUCGAAGCAUCCCCAGCAGAUCAUACACGCACAUAGAAGCCUACAGUAUGAUAAACCAACACGCUGAAUCCAUGGGAUAAGCAGGUCAGAGAGAUACAACAACCUCCACAUGAAAUAAGACAGCCAACACGAUAGAACUUGAUCACUAAGCGAGUUGUGCAACAAUAUAUAGGUUGCACGAAUGAGUUGAACGGCGGGAUGAAGGUUCCGGAGACGAGCAUCGCAUUAUUAGGGCUAGGUCAAACUCAUCCAACGUCCAGGAUUCUUCCAUUGGGAUAUUUAAGGUCGAGCAGCAAUCUACGCUGUAAGAGUAUAUGUUCGCUUGUUUCUGAUCGUCAACCUCAUUAUUGUGUCUUGUAGGAUUAGGGCGUGUGUAGUGGUAGAUAGCUGGGUUGUUAUUUGGAGUGUUAAAAGUCACGUCUAGGUUGAUGAUGAUAAUCCCACUGGCUUGCUUCUCAAACAUUCGCAGUGGCCACCUAAAACUCUCGCCUGGCCGGGCUUGAGAGUUAAUGCUGCUUCCAAACCUUCCUUGGAUAUCUGAGACCACUGGUCAGUCGUCUCUCACUGUCGGCGAAGGCUGUGAUUAGAAACUACCCGCGCUUCUGAGAGGAAACUCAGUGAAGCAAAGAGAUAACAUGGUUAAAUUUCUUUAGAUGAGCCUUCCGGCUAGUCUUGCCUGUCGUAGGGUUUAAUGGGAUUGUCACAGUCUAAGGACGAUGGGGCUUAAUUCCUCUAUUAAUGCAUUGGUUUUUCCAAGCCACUCAGCUACGCGCCAUUAGACUAGAGCCCCCUUCACUUCACUUGAUGAAGAGACGCCUCAAGUGACACCGUAAUUUGGGUCUGCUGUGUAAUUUAGUUAACUCUAUCCACCCUCGAGGCGGAACCCCUUUCUCAAAAUGAGGUUGAGUCCUACUGUGUGUAAUAACUUUAGGAGCAUGAUGAUUUGGAUGUUUCAUCUAAGUCCAUCUCUGUUCAGAAUUCACCGUCAACCCACGUCCAAAGUCGUUCGUUUGCAGCCAUUGCUGUGAUUUAGUGCAUUUGAUCGUACUCUUAGAUAGGUCAGACACCAAAUACCACGAGGAAACGGAUUUGAGCUUCUUCAGUCGAUCCGUGGAGUAUGUUGGUGAAAAAGCUUUUGGGCUCUCGCCAGGUGGCUGGAAUCCUGGCGGGUGUUUGUGCAGGUGUAGAUGCAGUAAAUGGUGUCGUUCCAAUUUGGUUUAAGUGGACGUCCAAGUAAGUAUGCUGAGGCAUAGAUACUUGGUGAUCCUUAUGCUUUGGUACUAACAUACUUCGAUCAAAAUGCACCUAACUGGUGCACCCGUCUUCAGGGUGCUGACUGAGUUGGUUAUCCUCCAAUUGGCGUAUGUGCAUCCUAAUACAGCUUUGAAUCGAGGCGAUCCUCUUUCAAGUUCAUGGACAUUCCAAAUUCAACCUGUAAUUCACCAGAUUAUCCUUGCGACCUCCUGUCUAUUUCCAACAAAUUAUAGUCGUCUUCACGUCUAUCGGAAUCAAAAGACCUAGCUGACACCAGGUGUUGUACUCUUGAGAUGUUGGAAAAGGAUAACUCAAUUGACCCGGCAAAUUCAGUCACCAAUUGGCUGUGUACGAAUCCCGACCUGUCUGGUCAUUCCAGUUGCUAAAUGUCAGAGCAGGAAGCGAUCAAGUCAGGGCAUACACAACACGCAAUUAUAAGCAUCACCAGCCACCGUGGUACGUGGAUGCUGUGCUCCGUACCUCUCUACGAAGGAAUUAUUACACCAGCAGAUCGCCCCCAGUUCAAGCUCUCAGUGAUGGAUUCACAACCACAACUGCUGAAUGGAAGGAUCGAAUUCAUACCCAAUAAUUGGAAGAGAAGAAAGCUGUGAAUCACACGGAAUAAUGAAUAUUACAACAUUUACUCGCUAUUUAUCACAAAUAUUAGUGAUAUUUUCACUCGUAGCUUAGCGGCGAGCACAACUAACUUUGGAGACAAUCCGUUUCGUACACACCAAAUUGAAGUGUGUUGAUUUUUGAGCGUACAUUCUUGGGUUCUCCUCCAGGAGAUCUCAUCCUCACAAAAGAUGCAUUUCAUCACCUUCUGUUUCUUCUAUAAGUGCCAGAUCGGCUAAACCAUCGAGCCUCAUCACCAACUUGACCCAUUUCAAAAGCAACCAAAUAAGCAGAAGUUCUAAGAACUCCCACGCACAUCAUCGAGGGAUUGCACGAGCCGUCUAGGUGAGUCUUGAACGGAGUAGCGGUGUGCUGCUCUAGUAGUAUUCAAACCUCUCAAAGACGAAAUAAACAGCAAAUUGCUACUAAAAUCUCUAUAGGAUUCCAACUAUAUGCAUGAUGAACCGACUUUUGAACAAUAUCUUCGUCAAAAUUUUACAUGAAGACUCCACUGAUAAUACGUUCCAAUGUUUAGACGCCCUGAUUUAUCUAUUUUUUGUCACCGUUGGUUGGGAACGACAUGAGGCGCUGCGAAAGUCUCGCUCUUUUAGAAGUUUCAACCUUAUGUCUAUCCCCCAAGGUUGUCGAUGAUUGCCUUCGUGUAGUCGCUGCAGGUGGCGGAACCUCCUAGAUCACCUGUUAGGCACUUUUCCUCAGCGAUGGUCUUCAAAACAGACUUGUGAAUCAGUUCUGCAGAUUCGUCCAGCUUCAGAUGUUGGAGCAUCAUCACUGCGCUCAACAAAAUGGCUGUAGGGUUUGCCAAGUUCUGGAACCCAGUGCACAUUUAUCAACAAUUCGUUAAUAUAACUCAAGCAGGCGGACACAUUCAACUCCUAAACAACAGAAUGAUUAUUUGAGCAUGAUGUGCUGUAAUACCUUCCCAGCAAUGUCUGGGGCAGUACCAUGCACAGCUUCCAUGAGUGCCAGUCCCUUAUCUCCAAUGUUACCACUGCAACGAAGAUCAAGAGUUCAGGGUUUGGGAUGAUACUAAACACUUAUUUCGCAUGUAAAGAUUUAUGGGGAUGAAGGUCACCUUGGUGUCAAACCCAACCCUCCAAUCAGACCAGCACAGAGAUCACUGAUAAUGUCUCCAUAUAAAUUAGGCAUCACCAAGACAUCGAAGAGUCCCGGAUUUUUUACCAACUGCAUCACAAUCACGAGUCCAUGACAGGAAGAAUGAAACGUUUGCGCUUAAGGAAAUCUGGCAUUACAGGAGAAUCUUUCAAGGUUCCUCAUCUGUGGAUUGCAGCCGCACAUUGCAUUAAACGGCAAGCUGUGGCCUGACAUCAUGAAAUGCCAGAUUGAGUGCUUGACACUAACCAUCAUGCAACAAUUGUCGAUGAUGACCUCCUCAUAGACGAUAUCAGAAUACUUCUCGGCUACCUCUCUACAACACUGUCAUGUCCACAGUACGCAUGUUAAAACCGUUUAAACGUUCAUGUAGGCAAGAUGGUAAGAUCUUGAACCAAGCUAUAAAUAGUCACAGGAUUCACAAUCCUCGAACACAUGAGAAACAUUGCCACGAUUGAAGAGAAACGGGAUACAGUUCACUUGCCUGAAGGAACAGACCAUCAGUUUUCUUCAUGAUAUUGGCUUUAUGAAUGGCUGAAACCCGUUUUCUACCAUGAAGUUUGGCAUAGUGGAAGGCAUACUCAGCAAUGCGUUUGCUUGCAUUGUGGGUGAUGAUCUUCAAGCUCUCCACAACACCUUUCACUACCUAACAAAGUAUGCCCCAUAACGAACGAGCAAUCUAUUUCAGUUUUGCAACUCUAUUGCGUCUUCAGUGGAGCUCAUCAUAUUGGAUCCAUUUAUUGGACAACACUCACUACCCCAGAUAAUUUGAGGACCUGAGACCCACACUCAAAACGCCCACGAAUCGUGGGUUCACAAUCAGAGAUUUGUCGUCACAAUUAUUUCGAUUUCACAACGAUUCGUCACUCACAGCAUUUGGGAUAAUUACCCUCCAAUAAUUCUCACUUGAGAGCCGUUCGAUAUACCAUCAUGCAAAGUGAGAAUUGAACGGUGGUCCACACUUAAUACGUCAGAUUUUAACGUUGUAUAAUUAUUGAUUGAGAAGAAUGGAUCUUAAACAAGCUUCACAGGAGCCAAUAGGAGUAACUGAGGAUUGAAGAAAUUUGCAAAUACCUGGUGCUCUAAGCCACUGUACUCGCCCUCUGUGUUUUCACGAAUGGUGAUAAGGUCCACGUUAUCGUAGCGUGUUUUGUAGCCAGGAAUGCUUAAGCAUGGCCGCACAUUAGCAUACAACCCGAGCUCUUUUCGUAAGGUCAAGUUCAAGGACUUAUGACCUUUACCAAUGGGAGUGGCCAUGGGCCCCUUCAGACCGAUCCCGCACUGUCUCACUGACUCCAUGCUAUCCCAUGUGAUGUAGCUUCCUGUCUUGGGAUCCACUGUCUUGCCUACGAAGUGAACAUCCCAUUCGACUUGCACUUUCACGGCAUCAAAAAUCUGCAACCACGUAUCAUCAUCGAAUGAACCACGGCUGCGUUUACAAAACCUAUAUUAUGCCGUUAUUUGACAAAUUCUCAAGAGGUGUUUAGGGUUUCGAAGAGCCCAAUUCUAACGCUGCAGUUUAAUAUUCUGAUUUCUUUUUUAGGAAAAACUUCUCAAUAAUGUUGCUGGAUUGCUCGAAUGAGCUGAGAAGAUAAGUGAACCUAACCCCCAUUUGAAGAAGAGACAGGAUCUGAUUCUUAGAAAGAAUUCAACUUGUUAUGGUACAUCCUUCAUACAUUGUUAGACCAAGUUCUUGUUUAUUGAUACAAGCGACCAAGACUCAUAAAUUCAGCCCUUCCUCCAUUCAAUGCUUGCUCAGAGAUAAUUUAAUUUGAUCUCAUAGGAAGUGCCCAAGGGUCUGAAGAUCAGAAGUUGAAGUUUGGAAACCACAUAACAAAAAUAUUGUGGGAAUAAUAACCUGUUGUCCAUACAGAACUCAGAUGAUGAUCAAUUGAUGAAGGAAUUGCUGCAAGCAACCGAAGAAGUGAAAAUAUCAUCAGAAUAAGAAAAAAAAAAAAAAAAAAAAAAAAAAACAUAAGCAGGUUAUCGUCACCUUCUUCACUGAUUCCGCAAUCUCGGGACCAAUUCCAUCACCCGGAAACAAAGUAGCCUUGAUACUUCCGCCACUCGAAGAAAACUCCCUACUACAAACGCUUUUGUCAGCACCUUGCUUCGGAAAUUGCAACGCAGCAGCGGCAGGGGAGGUGAGUAACCCAGUGGGACCAGGACCAGGACCAGGACCAGAACUGAAACCCGGUGGCAGGAUCAGCGAAGGAGCUACGAAGUGGUCUCUUCCCGAUAGACAGACGUGGUUAACCACAGACAACGCCCUCCGAAGUAACGAUUCAGGGCUCCCCGGCGCCCGAAAGGCCAUAAUUGGCAGUCACUGCAACACCCCCACAACCCUAAAAUUUUCUUCCUCACUGCAACUUCUCUCGGAAGGAUUUCAGAGAGAUAUAUAUAUAUAUAUAUAUAUAUAUAUACACAUAUACACAAAUAGAGCUCACUCUUGUUGAUUAAUUACUAUGAACUAAAACAAACACUCCGGGAGUUGGUUCUACAAUUCUCUGAGAAAUCUUGAGAAAGCUUCGAAUGAAACUGGGAAUUGGGCCUACAUAACUCCAGAAAAACUGCACAUGGAACACUCUAAGAAGAAGAGGAAGAAGAAGAAACCAUCACCACUACUUCCAUUGCAUUGCAGUAUCCACAAACUUGAAGUUUAUGAAGAGCCUCCCUCAUCUCGUACCAAAGACAAUACAGUAAUCUCCGUCACAGCCAUAACAAAGCAUAGCAAAGCAAAGCACAGCAACUGUCUCGCCCAACCCAGAGUAGUCCCAGCCUCCGGACAUAGCCGUGGCACCCCCCGCCCCCAGCGCCACUUGGCCGCAAAGUUUUAUUACACUUGUUCUACGUUGUUAGUUAAUGCAUAAUAAGUAUGUAGGACAUGGGUAAAAUGUUAUAACGGUGUUGUUGUUGUUGUUGUUGUUAUUAUUAUUGUUAUUAUUAUUAUUUCCCUUUGUUUUAUCCAUGGUUAAAAGGGAUUGGCAAUGUGAUGAGAAGCAACCCAAGGAGAGUUUCUAGAGGAUGUUGAAGUGGUGCAAAAUGGAAUAAGUAGAGAGAUGAAGUUAUACAUGGAUGAAUGAUUGAAUUUAAGAAUUGAUUUAUUGUAUUUUGACUGGAUGUAUACAAAUACAUAAAAAUUCAUAAAAAAAUUAUAUAUUUAUAAUAUUUAGAAGUCAUAAAGAAGUUCAUAAAAAUAUGAAGAAGUUCUAAAACAUUAAAAAAAUUAAUAAAAAUGUUAUCAUUAAUUUUGUUGAUAAAGAAGAAAGAAUGUUAUCAUUAAUUUUUUUAAUAAAGAAAAGAAAAAAAAAAAAAAAAAAAAAAAAAACAUAAGCAGGUUAUAAAAUUAAUGAUAAUAUUAUUGUUGUCUUUAAUUUUACUAUAUGUAAAGAUUAAAAAAAUUACUAAAAAUUUAGUAUUAAUCAAUAGAAAAAAGUACUAUAAUAAAAUAAAAAUCAAAUACAAACAAAAUCUAAUAAUUUUUUUAUAAUUUUUUUAUCUACAUAUUUAUAAAAUAAUUUUAAGAAAAUAUUUAAGAAAAUAAAAGAUUUUGUAACUAUUUUUAAAAUUAUGUUGGUAAUAAUGCUAUAGAAAAUUAAAAUUAAUAGCCAUUCUAUAGAUUCUUUUAAUAUUAUUUUUUAUCUAACAUAUUUAAAGAUCUUGAAUUAAUUAAAAAGUUAUACAUUAAUAUGGUUGUUACUUGCAGAAGUAAUCAAAUGGCAUGAGGUGAGAACAACAAGCAGGAAGAUAAGAGGCGCAUUGACAAUGUAGCCACAAAAUGCAAAGGCACCUCUCAAGUACAGACUAGAGAAGCAAAAUAUUUAAGGAUUGAAGAAAUACCAUACUAAGCAGUUCAGAAUUAGCAAAGUGAAUAUAGUAUUACCACACAAUAAAACCUUAGAAUAGAAUAGUACUAGAUUAGAAGUCCUAUAAUUCUAAAUUUUGGUAAUAAACUACAUCAUUUACAUAUCAAUGUGUGUUGUUGGUUGUGGUUUUACAAAGUUUUGUCUUGUGCUUGCUUGCAAAUCCUAAAGCUCAAAAAACCAUGACUGAAGUUAAAUCUUACUACUAAUCUUUAUAUUGUAUUUGUAAACCAAUAAAAAAAAUAAACUUAAAUAUAAAUGCUUUGAGCUCUAAUUAGUGAUAAGUAAAACUUACAAAAAAAACAUAAAAACAAACAAUUUUUUUUCAAAACCAUUUAAAAAGAAAUCAUAAAAUUUAUAAUAUUCUUAAAUAAGUGAAAAUAAAUUAGUAUUACUAUUAGAUGUAAUUUUAAUAUAAAUUAUGGUAAAAACAUUCUAAUACCUUAAACAUUAAUGAAUCUAUUACAAGAUUUAUUAUUUAUAAUAUAAAGUUAGAUUAAUAAUAAUUUUUGAUAAUUUUUAUUAAAAAUAUCAUUAAAAAAUAGUAUUAAUAUGAUAAAAUUGAUAUACUAAUAUAUCAAUUAUAAUUUAAUAAUACUAUGUCUAAUAAAAUAAAAUAUUAAAAUUAAAAUUUAGUAAAAAAAUAUUUUUUAUUUUAAUUAUUAAUUUUAAAUAAUCUAAUUAGAAUUUUUUUGAUGUGUAUUUUUUAAAAAAAUUAAAAUAUAUAAACAAAAAAAAUAUUUGAAGUCAAAUUUUAAUAAUUUCUUUAGUAUAUAUUCCAUCAAAAGUAUAAAUCAAGACAAAACUCUUUCAAAUAGAAAUGUGCCUAUGAAUUUAACUUGAAUAUAUCUAUUAAAGUAUUUUAAAAAAUACAACUUUGAAUAGAGCUUAACUUGUUGUAAAAAUGUUUAUCAUUUUGAUCUUAUUCUAUCAAACUUCUCUUACAAAUUAUUCUUUGUCCCUCUCAUACUUAUAAUAAUAAGACUUUUUGGAUUCAAUUGUGAGGUUUAUUUACUUUUUUUUCUCAAUUGCACAACUUCUUGGCAUAAAUAUUAAAUUCAAUUGUUGACUUAUUUGAUAGCCAUAGGAAUAGUAUCUAUAUAAUUGACAUUGAUAAUAUAUGUGAUUUCUACACUAAGAGUAUUGACAAGAUUAUGAAGAUCUACAGUAGUUACAGAUCUAUUUUCACUUUUGCCAAAUUUAGAAUCAAUAAUUUUUUCUUCUACCUUUAAAAGAGACAACUUUGAAAAAUCCAUUAGUCCAAUUACAAGAAAGAAAUCUACAAAUUCUAUUAUCAAAUAAAAAUUUCUACAAAGAAGUGUAGUAUCACGGCCAUAAUCAUGUAAGCUAAUAAUUACAUAUAGAAAUAGGUAGAAGUAAGUAAAAGUAGAUAAAAGUAAGUUAAUUCUAUAAUAUUUAAUAUAGAAGCUUCCUAGAAACUUUCUAGAUGCUGCUUUGACUUCAUGGGUGUCUUUAAUUGACUUUUUGGAUUAGAAACGUGGUCAACAAGUUGGCCAUGUGCCACACAUGUUGUUAGCUUGAAGAUCAAGCUAACUAUGUGGCCCACACGUAGAAAAACUUGCCUUAUAAGUCAAGGCAUGUGUCCUACAAAGUCAACACAUAUUGGAGGUCCUAUAGAACGUCGCCACUUAGCCCCUAGUUAGAUAGUAUAUAUAGAGACAAGAGUGAAGGCUUCUUCACUCUUGUCAACUCCUUUCUUGCUUCUAGUCUAUUUUCAAGGGUCUCUAGUUUUCUUGUCUUUUGGCAAUAGCCAUUCUAGUUUCUCUUUUCAAUAUACAUACUUAUUAUUCAUAUUUUGUUAAUUUUCUUUGAGUGAAGGCUUACUUGUCUAAACUGUUUUUUCAUCGAGUUCUUGUCCUUGACAGAUUGACAAGAGUUACACUUACAAUAUCAGAGCUUUGUUUUUCUUGAGUGAGAGUGGAUUACCCCUUUCUCUUGACAAGACAUAAGCGUAUUAGAAGUUUGCAGAUUACCCACUUCUAAACUGAUAUUGUUCUUAGUAUCUUCUUUGUUAUCAAGUCUUUCUUUUCUUUUGUCUUGAGCAGUAUCAAAAAAAAAAUUCUUCUUAGUGUCAUUAUGACAGAGCUUGUUGAAAUGAAGAGUACAAUGGCAUAAAUGCAAGAGCAAAUGAGGGAGUUAAUGCUUGCGAUGCAUCAACUCAAUUCACCAACACAUGAAAGAACAAGAAUAGCAGAAAUUGAGGAUAUAGAGAUGAACGGAGCUGCUUCAACAUCUACAACAAAUCACGUUCCUUCUCCAAUUGUACAACACCCUGUAAGCACUAGAGAACCAAGAAUUGCCUUACCCGAGAAAUUUGAUGGUACGAGAUCUAAGUUUCGAGGGUUCAUCAAUCAAGUACAAUUGGUAUAUGAACUUCAACCGCAAAGCUAUCCAACUCUAGGAUCACAAGUCAGGUUUAUUGGCACUCUACUUUCUGGUUCUGCAUUAUCAUGGUUUUCGUCUUUUCUUGAACAACGAAAUCCAAUAUUGGAUAAUUUGGAAGCUUUUUUGGCAGAGUUUCGAUCUAUGUAUGGUGAACACGAUGCAACUCGUGUUGCAACAAAUAAGAUCCGAAUUCUGCAACAAAGAAAUCGCUCAGUAACAGUGUAUGCUUCACAAUUUUGACAACUUACAAUUGACAUCAAGUGGGAUGAUGCUGCACUCAUCAGUCAAUUUUUUUAUGGAUUGCAAUACGAAGUAAAGAAAUUGAUGCUCAACUUACCUGAUCCUCAAACUUUGAGUCAAGCAAUCGAUUUUGCGGUAAAAUGUGAUAAUCGACUUUUCGAAUUUCGAUCUGAGAAUCAUUCACAGGAACCUCAACGUUAUUACUCAAUGGCAACAUCAACAUCUUUGCCAAACGUACAUUCGGAAGUAGAAGACAUGCAAAUUGACACGGUACGUUUUAAACCCCUAACUAAGCAAGAAAAGAUUCAUCGUCAUCAAGAAGGAUUAUGUUUAUAUUGCGGAGAACCUAAGCACACUGCUCAACAUUGUCGAAAGAAACGACGCAACUAUAAAAUGAGGGGUACGACGGUCAAAGAAAACAAUAUGUCGGAAAACGGAUUCGUCUAGCUACAAUAAGGACCGUGCAGCUGGAACCUUGUACAAUUCCUAAUGAAGGUCCUAUCCUCUCCUCAGAACCCUCUCCUUGUUUUAUAAUAGACUUAUAUUUAGGACCUAAGAAUUACAAAGCCUCUGCUUUAUUAGAUUCGGGAGCCUCAGUAUGUUUUUUAGAUGAACAAUUUGUUAAAAGUCGUAAAAUACCCUUUGUACAGAAACCUAAACCAGUACAUGUAGAAGUCAUAGAUGGUCGUCCCUUGUCUUCUGGAGAUGUCACUCAUGAAACUCAUCCUAUAAAAGUAACAAUAGACGGACAUGAUAGCUACAUAGCUUUUAACAUAAUUAAAUCCUCAUCCAAUCCAGUUAUUUUAGGUUUAUCCUGGCAAGAAAAAUAUAACCCUCGAAUAGAUUAGAAUUCGCGUAAACUUGACUUUUUCCAGAGCGUUAUUAAUAGUUCUACUAACCAAGUAAAAAAUUAUAAGUCUAAUAUAGUAAAACCCCUACUGAUAGGUGCAAAAGCAUUUAUACACGCAGCAAAAGAAGGAUCAACUUUUGCUAUUUAUGCUGCACCUAUUUCUGAAAACGUAAAGACUUCAAGUGGGAUUCCAAGUCAAUAUCAGGAGUAUGAAGACGUUUUUGAGAAAAAGAAUGCAGAUAUUCUUCCUGAGAAUCGCCCAUAUGAUUGUUCAAUGAAUCUCAAGGAAGGAACUCAGCCACCAUUUGGACCAAUUUAUAGUUUAUCGCAAGAUGAGAUGGCUGAACUCAAGACAUAUAUUGACGAGAAUUUAGUGAAGAAUUUCAUACGCCAUUCAAAAUCUCCAGCAGGAGCUCCAAUUCUAUUCGUAAAGAAAAAAGAUGGAUCUUUACGAAUGUGUGUUGAUUAUCGAGGACUCAACAAGAUCACAAUCAAGAACAGGUAUCCAUUACCUUUGAUAUCAGGACUCCUUGACCAGUUGAAUCAAGCUAAGAUCUAUACAAAAAUAGAUCUAAGAGGAGCAUAUAAUCUAGUACGGAUCAAAGAAGGAGAUGAAUGGAAGACUGCGUUUCAAACCAGGUAUGGACAUUUCGAAUAUAAUGUCAUGCCCUUUGGACUCACGAAUGCACCAGCUGCUUUUCAACAUCUCAUGAAUGAUGUAUUUCGUGAAUUCUUAGACAAUUUUGUCGUCUCCUAUCUACACGAUAUCCUGAUCUAUUCUAAGAACGUCGAAGAACAUGAAAUACAUGUUCGUCAAGUAUUACAAAAACUUAGAGAUGCAGGAUUGUACGCCAAGAUGGAAAAGUGUGUAUUUCACACUACUCAAGUUGACUUUUUAGGAUACAUCAUUUCAAAUGAUGGUCUCAUGAUGGAUUCUAAGAAAGUCCAAACAAUCAUGGAUUGGAAGAUUCCAAGGACGGUGUCGUAUUACGUGCUUUCCUGCUCGAGAACGCGCCGGGCGUCUGGCUGUAGAAGGUAGUAUGGAGAUUCGCCGAUAGUCAAGCAGUCUAUCAGUUUUUGACUGCUGGAAUAUAAACGACUGCAACAAUGUACCGUAAAUCUAUACGGAUGCUCUUCGACUGCUUGUCGAAGUCUUUUUUUUUUUUUUUUUUUCCCAACCGAUAGGUCUCUAGACGUUACAGAGAACUCCGAACAACCCAAACUGUUAAUCUUCAAUACCCCUUUGUACUUACGAUCUUGUAUCCACUGACUGUCCUGUUAGAUUAACCCAAUAAAUUUCAUUCACUCCGCAUACUCAAUCCUAUAGACACCCCUUUAAUCCUUCAAUCACAGACGUAACUCGAUUUUACAAAAAAGUCAAGAGUAUUCAAACCCACUUUAUUUAAAAAUCUCGAUUCGCCAUUACAACACUGACUUCAGCCGCGAUUGCCUCAGUCUUCCCAAAACUCUAUGAAGAAGAAAAAUCCAAAUUCUAUGUCUUUCCUUCCCCGACCCGAAGCAUGAAGCUCCUCUCUUUAAUUCCCUUGAUUUUCAAAAAAAAACCUCCAAUGAAACCCGAACUGGUAACCUUGCAGAAGCUUGAAAAAAAAAAACUCGCUUCCCCCCCCCCCCCCCCCCGAUUUCCCUUUUGAAAAAAAAAAAACCCCCCACCACUCCAAAACUAUAUCCCCCCUAACCUUAUCCUCUGAAUUUCUUCAAUCUUCCGUCUUAGAUCCGGAAUUGGCUCCCACCUCAAGCUUGGAUCCGAAAUUGGCUCUCACCUCAACUUGGAUUCGAAAUUGGCUCUCGCCGCCAAGCUUUCUCCUCCGUUUUUACCUUUAAGAAAUCCAUUUACCGAAAACAACGUUCCCUGAGACGGCACAGAGAACAGGACAGCCUGAAACAGAAUCGAACCCCGUAAUCGGGACCACAUUGAGUCGCCCGACCAAUUCAGGUCCUAUAUUGGGAAGGAUGCCCGUAGUAACCUGGAUGUUCCCGUAAUUGGGUCCAAUUGGUCCUCGCGUCAGAUUGGCUAAGACCCGUAGUAAGACCUGGAUUUCUCGUAACUAGACUGCAUUGGGUUGCCCCACCAAUACAGGUCUCAUAUUGGGUAAGAGGACCUGGAUUGGAUUAUCGAAAUUGGAUCCAAUUGGCUCCUCGAAUCCGUCGUGUGAAUUGGUCCUUCUCUUCCUGCUGACUCCCGUUAUUGGAAUCGAACGGGGCAUUCCAGUAUGCCUCGGCUGACUGUAACGGAGUCACUGAACCUGACCACUCAGUAUUUGUACUGGAGUUGGUCGAUGCUCCCAAUAUUCGAGGUAACUAAAUAUUAAUAAAAUUCCCCUUUCUUUUUAUUUUCACUGUAUACUCGUGUUACAACACGACAUCCACCCCCUUUGAACCUGUGCAUCCUCCGGUAUGCACCAAUUUACCCAAUUGUUGUUUGAUUCAGAAUAUAUCCCCUACGUCUUUGUCCAGUUCGUCUUCGUCACCUUCAUUAUCCAUAUUACUUUCAUCUUCUUGUUGUGGAAUCUCUGUACCUUCAUUAAGGUCUUCUAUAUUCAUCUCUGCGUGUCUUCGUUUAAAUAUUUUUACUCGCUUCCCUGCAAUUGGUAUUUUCAAUUUUGUACCAUCUAACUCCCGUAAUGAGUAAGUCGCAUUAUCAUGAACAGUUGUUAUAACAUAUGGUCCAAACCAACGUUUUGAAAAUUUCCGCAAAGUACUAUGUUGAUUAUCCAGACUAUUGUCAUAAACAAGUACCCAGUCACCUUCCUCGAUUGCUUUUGGUCUCAAUCGAUGUUGCUUAUCGAAUCGCGCCUUGUUUUGUAACCUUGCUCUUUUUAACCUUUCCAAUGCUAUCUGGACAUCUUCCGUUCUUUGCUCCAAUUGUCGAAUCCUAAUAGCCAGAAGUUCUUCUCUUGUCAAUCCAUCUUCCCAUGGUAGCAUACUCCAAGUAAGUACCUUUUCUUCAAUCGGCAUAAUUGGUUUUUGACCUGUCAUAAGUUCUACCGGCAUAUAUCCUGUCACCGAACUAUGUGUUGUUCGAUCAGCCCAUAAUGCAAAUGACAAAAGCCGUGGCCACUCUUUAACCUUCCCAUUACAAGCUUUAACCAAUGCUUUCACAAUCGACGGGUGACCACGUUCGCUUUUUGCAUUCCCUUCCGGAUUAUAAGCAGUAGUCAGUGAUAGUUUAACUCCACAUUUUUCAAAGAACUUACGAGCUUCUUGUGCAUUUAAUUCUCCACGAUCUGUAGUGAUUUUUCCUACGCACCCGUAAUGGCAAAUGACAUCUUCAAGCAAAAACCUACAAAUCCCCUCUGUAGAUUUUGUCCUCAAUGCUCUUCCUUCUACUUGAUUUGAUAAAUCUUCACGAGUUAAAACCAAAUAUCUCAUCUGCCAUAACCCAACCGGCAUAAUAACCAAAUUAACAACCCAUUUAAAAUGAAUAGCCAGAGGAUACGUAGGAUGAAGACUAUCUCGAUGUCGGAUAUUAGAAUACGAUUGACAGAUUUCACAUGACUCUACAAAUGAGAGCACAUCUUGAUACAUAUUUUUCCACCAAUAUCGUUCCUUGAGUUUAGCAAAAGUAGCCCAGAUUCCUCUAUGCCCUGCCCAUAAACUAUCAUGAAACUCCUUUAAUAAUUUUAGUUUUUCUUCCCUUUUGCCUAUCACUCAUUGUGGCAUCCCAAUUCCUUUCUUCGGUCUCUUCCAUAAGAAUCCAUCUCGAAGUAAAAAUCCAUAUGCUUUUUUUCUUAUUUGUUUGAAUUUUUCUAUAGACCAAUUCCCCUGCUUAGACAAGGUAUUCAAAUAAUGACCAAUAUCCAAUAAUUCUCCUUCAUAAGAUUCUUCAAGAAAUAGCUUAUCUUCUCUGUUGAGAUUUGAAAUUGAAAAGAAUUUCAAUUCGACAUCAUCAAUGUCUUCAACCAUUUCGUCCUCCCUCUCGUAUCUUGCUCGAGAUAGCAUGUCUGCUACUAAAUUGUCCUUUCCAGUGAAAUACUUAAAUUCUAGAUUUAGUGACUUAAUAUAAGCAAUCCAUCUCAACAUUGCAAUAUCUGGCGUUGAACAGUUAAUAAUCAUUCCAAGCAAUGGCAAGCAAUCUGUUUCAAUUACUACUACUGCCCCAAUCAAAUAGUCCUUUUCAGCUUUCAUAGCCGAAACGACUCCCCAAAGUUCUCUUUUGACUUGCGAAUAUGCACGCUGACGAAUACUUAAAACUUUAGCCCCAAAUCGAACUACAAAUCUACUCCCAUUCGAAUCAUCUUGAGCCACCGCCCAUCCAACGGCAAUUGGACUAGCGUCUACAGUAAGAAUCACUGGUCUAUUGCACUUAUAAUCAACCUUCCUCAAUAUUAGAGGUGACAUCAAUAAUUUCUUCAAUCUUUGCAUUGCCUGAAUAUGCCUUUCUUUCCAUUUAAAUCGGUAACCCUUGCAUAACAGUUCAUAUAAUGGAUCCGCUAUGUGAGCAAAAUGAGGGAUCCAGAUUCGAUAAAAUACACAUGCACCCAAAAACCUGCGAACCUCUGUUAAAGAACCACAAUCCUCUUUCAUCCUUCCAAUUGCAUCAACUUUAGUCGGAUCUGGUUUUCUUCCGUAAGAUCCGCAUAAAUGUCCAACAAUUACAACCUCUCGCACUCCAAAUACGGACUUCAUACCCGAUAAUGUAAGAUGAACUUCUCCAAGCCGAGUUAAAAUCUUUUCACAAUCUUGUAUAUGAUCAACAACAUAUCUGCGACACCCCCUCAUAUCUAAAGUUUCAUCCUUGUCUCCUUCUUUGCACCCUUUUAUAGGAACAUCAUCCAGAAAAGGCAUAGUCUUUUCCGGGAUAAAAUCUCUCAAUACCUUAUUCAUCCCAUUCAUCAUAUGCGCAACUGAGUUGGUCGCGCCUUGAGGAAGAGUGCACAUUCUAACCAACCCAAGCGGUGUCCUCAUCGUUGUCAUAUCUCUACUUCCUUCGGCAAGUUGAAAUUGAUCAUAACCUGAAUACAAAUCACCCAUUGAAUAGAUCGCCCUUCCAGCAAACGCCUCAGCAAAUUCAUCCACAAUAGGUCCAAUUCCUGCAUUCCUGACAGUUACAGCAUUCACCGGCUGCAUAUCUUGAAUAAACCGCAGUGAUCCAUUCUUCUUAGGUACCGUAAACCAUCGACUAGAAUACGGCGCAAAUGAAGGUUCUAAUAUUUUCAUCUUUAUCUUUUCUUUCAAUAGUUCCACCAAUUUAGGUAAAUGUGCCCUCGGUACUGGAAUCGGUCUUAGAUUCCAAGGUACAUGCGGUACAGUGAAGAUAACCAUAGGUGUUAUAAUAUUUGGAUCCACACACCCAAUUUCAUGAGAUUCGAAGGCAAACGAUCUACCUUGUUUAGCCAACAUCUUUUUGAAGCAAGUAAUUUCCUCCGGCAAUAAAGAACCAUCAGAACCAAUCUUCAAUUCUUCAAAAGUCUCUUCAGUAAAUUGAUGUCCAAUACUCAUUGGAUCUCUUAAACUUGCUUCUUUUGAUGCUUCUCCCAUUUGUUCUUUAGAAUCCUCUGGUAAUGGUCCGGCAACAGGCUUUACCUUCUUAUCUGCCGUUUUAUAUCUUGUCUCUACUGUGACUUCUGGUGCUUGAAAAGAUUCAAGCAUGGUAUAAACCUCUCUCGAAUGAAUCUCAACAAUCUUAUCAUUAUCCCCUAACCCAAUAGAUGUAAUCAAUUCCAAUGAAUCUUUCAGUCCAUUUUCUUCAUAAACACCCAAAAUCCUCUCAUCAUCUUGCAAUGUACCCAUCUUGCGUAACUGUCCUUCAAUAUCAUAUAAUCUUUUUCUUUCUUUUCUUUUAAAAUCAUCAACUUUCUUAUACAUAAUAUUUCCAUUCUCCAAUAUACCAAUAAAACUCGCAUCAAAGGUACCUUCAUCUCGCGAGAGUACCUCCUCUUUUGUACCUCCAUAAUCUCGCUUUACAGUGGUACCUACCAAAAUCCUUAAAUCCUUCAACAAUCUUUGGCAAUGGUUUCUCCCUCAACCUAUCUCGAUUCCGUUCAUGGUUAGGAGGUACUGUUAGAAAUUGUACAGCUUUCCUCCCAUCUUCGCUCCGUACCCUUGCAUAAGCAGAACCAUCGUCAAGUACCUUUGUUUCCAUCCGUGUUGCCGUGAUAUAAGGUUGUCCUAAAAUCAACGGAUAAGACGUUGUAUCUUGAACGAAGAAAUGUUGCUCCGUAGCAACAUCCCCAAUCCGAAUUUUGACAUCUGGACAAGCUCCAUAUAAUUCGCCUCGUGUGUUAUUAGCUGCUCGUAUUGCCCAUCCAUGUUCCAUAUCAAUUGGCCAUUUUUGCUUCUUAUAAAGAUCUUUAGACAUGAGAUUUAUUUCAGAACCAUGGUCCACCAAAGCAACUAUUGGUUCUUCUAUAUCUCCUACCUUCACCAAUACCUCAAUAGUUGCCCUUGCCCAAUGCUUUCGAGUAUAAUGGCUCAAAGUUUCCAUUCCCUUGUCACUAGAAUCUUCGAAACGUACUCGCUGAUUAUACCCAUUCUUUUCAUUUGUUGGUUGCUUGUAACCAAUAUCAACCUCUUCUUCAUCUCUACAUAUUUUUGCGUCAAUAGCAUGACUCAUUCCAGUUUCGCUCAUUAAUUACCUCUUUCGCUUAAUGCUGUCAAUGAUAACAUCAUGAAACUCCUUCUUUGCAAUUCCCAAGACUUCUUUCAAUGUGAAUUCCACCUUAGCGUUUAAUAUACGUUCUUCCAACACCCCUUUCAAAUUUGUUGCCGCUUCAAUGUCAGAAAGUAGCUUAUAAGCAAUUGAUUUGCCCUUAUCUUUUGUCUCCGUUGUUUUUUCUCCCAAUGAUGCUGAGGUAUCCUUUACAGGCAAUUUUUGUGAAGCUGCCUCCCGAGCCUUGUCUCCUCGAGUUUGCCUCUUAGAAAAAUUUCCUUCUCUAGUAUCAUCAAAAUUUUCUCGUCUUUUUUCUUCCAUCAAAGCUUCAUGUUGGCUCUUAGCAAUAUAUGCAUGAACUGAAAGAGACUCAACAGGAUCCUCCCAACCUGUUCUUCCUCGUAUUGUAGCUGCAGUUCUCAAUAACGCUUCUCGAGGUAAUUUCCCUUCUUGCAUUGUAGAAAUGGCAGAAGCCCAAAACUCACUAGUUUCCGUACUUCCACCAAUUUCAUCAUCUACUCUAGCACCAUAACUUGCACUUUCUCGUUCUACUGUUUCAUGCCCUUUUAAGUAAUCUUGAACCAAUGCUCUCAUUCCUCCCUUGCCAAAAUUGGUUUGAAGAAGAUCCUCCCUAUCUUUCAAUGCUAUCUUCCCAUCUUUCCAGCAAAUAAUUCCCUGCCGUAUCAUAUUAUUAAAUUCAUUGCAAUCUUUUCUAGUGUGUGAAGCAUCAUCACACCAAAUGCAUCUUUGUACAUAUCCUUGUUUGAAACAUUCUUCGAAUUGUUUAUAGAAGUAUUCUCUUCAAGUCUUGCCAAUUUGAUUUGAAGAUCUCGCAUUCCUCGUAUAAUUUCUUCCAUACCCAUAUCUGUUUUCUUUGACAAGGAUGUCGAAGGUUGAACUGUAGGCAUUGUCGGUGGUGUAGUACGUACUGGAGCUUUGGGUGCUUGUACUUGUUUCGGAAUAUUACUCCUAUCCUUCCUCCUUUCUUUUUUUGUAAGCAACCCUACCGCAUCUUCAACGUUCUUCCACUUCGUUGUUAAUCCUUCAUCUUCUUCUUUGUCUUCAAGAAGGGGUUCUAAUUUCUCUUGCAAUUCUCCAUCAGCAGCUUGAAGAAAUAGAUCAACUUUGUUCGGCUCCAAUGUCAAUUUUUCUACCUUCGAUAAUUGAGAGUACUGCCUCUCAAAUUCCCUUAGUAGCUCUGUUGCUUGCAAAUUCUUAUUGGGCCAUUCAAUCCAUCCCAGAAACAGCUUCUUAGUAACGCGAUCAGCAUCUUCCAAGAAAUAUUCGUCUUUCAAUGCAUCUGAAAAAUCCUCCCAUGAAUUCCCACAACGAUCCGUAAUCGAUGUAAUGUGGUCUCUUAUCUCCGGUAUCGUGGCAAGUCCAAAUAGUGCAACCAUUUUCUUCUCAGAAACCCGAUUUAAUUCCAUUUCACGAACAUAACAUCUUAAAUACCUUGAAAUAUUCCUCCCAUCAAAUUGAUCAAUUUUAUUGACCACUGCUUGCAAUGCUUUGGUUGCCAAAGCUUCCUUUCGAUCAUUGCUUUGCUGUUGCUGCAUUGACAAUGAGAAGGCUUGAAACAAACUAGCAAUAGACGGAUCCAUGUGCAUACCUUGUCCUUUAGAAGACUCUCCACCAGAAAUUUCUCCCAAAAAUCCUUCAAAAUUUUUAUUUUCGUUUUCCAUAAAAAAUAAAGAUAAAAUCAACCGAAAUCCAAUACCUUCUACCUCAAGCUUUCACGUCGGAUUCACCACUUAUGUCGUAUUACGUGCUUUCCUGCUCGAGAACGCGCCGGGCGUCUGGCUGUAGAAGGUAGUAUGGAGAUUCGCCGAUAGUCAAGCAGUCUAUCAGUUUUUGACUGCUGGAAUAUAAACGACUGCAACAAUGUAUCGUAAAUCUAUACGGAUGCUCUUCGAAUGCUUGUCGAAGUCUUUUUUUUUUUUUUUUUUUCCCAACCGAUAGGUCUCUAGACGUUACAGAGAACUCCGAACAACCCAAACUGUUAAUCUUCAAUACCCCUUUGUACUUACGAUCUUGUAUCCACUGACUGUCCUGUUAGAUUAACCCAAUAAAUUUCAUUCACUCCGCAUACUCAAUCCUAUAGACACCCCUUUAAUCCUUCAAUCACAGACGUAACUCGAUUUUACAAAACAGUCAAGAGUAUUCAAACCCACUUUAUUUAAAAAUCUCGAUUCGCCAUUACAACACUGACUUCAGCCGCGAUUGCCUCAGUCUUCCCAAAACUCUAUGAAGAAGAAAAAUCCAAAUUCUAUGUCUUUCCUUCCCCGACCCGAAGCAUGAAGCUCCUCUCUCUAAUUCCCUUGAUCUUCAAAAAAAAACCUCCAAUGAAACCCGAACUGGUAACCUUGCAGAAGCUUGAAAAAAAAAAACUCGCUUCCCCCCCCCCCCCCCCCAAAAUAUCUUUUGAAAAAAAAAAAACCCCCCACCACUCCAAAACUAUAUCCCCCCUAACCUUAUCCUCUGAAUUUCUUCAAUCUUCCGUCUUAGAUCCGGAAUUGGCUCCCACCUCAAGCUUGGAUCCGAAAUUGGCUCUCACCUCAACUUGGAUUCGAAAUUGGCUCUCGCCGCCAAGCUUUCUCCUCCGUUUUUACCUUUAAGAAAUCCAUUUACCGAAAACAACGUUCCCUGAGACGGCACAGAGAACAGGACAGCCUGAAACAGAAUCGAACCCCGUAAUCGGGACCACAUUGAGUCGCCCGACCAAUUCAGGUCCUAUAUUGGGAAGGAUGCCCGUAGUAACCUGGAUGUUCCCGUAAUUGGGUCCAAUUGGUCCUCGCGUCAGAUUGGCUAAGACCCGUAGUAAGACCUGGAUUUCCCGUAACUAGACUGCAUUGGGUUGCCCCACCAAUACAGGUCUCAUAUUGGGUAAGAGGACCUGGAUUGGAUUAUCGAAAUUGGAUCCAAUUGGCUCCUCGAACCCGUCGUGUGAAUUGGUCCUUCUCUUCUUGCUGACUCCCGUUAUUGGAAUCGAAUGGGGCAUUCCAGUAUGCCCCGGCUGACUGUAACGGAGUCACUGAACCUAACCACUCAGUAUUUGUACUGGAGUUGGUCGAUGCUCCCAAUAUUCGAGGUAACUAAAUAUUAAUAAAAUUCCCCUUUCUUUUUAUUUUCACUGUAUACUCGUGUUACAACACGACAACGGUAAGAGAUGUCCAAUGUUUCUUGGGAUUUGCCAAUUACUAUCGGAUCUUCAUCAAAGAUUUCUCACGAGUUGCAGCUCCACUUACACGUUUGACUAGUAAAGAUAAAUUCCAAUGGAAUCAAGAAGCGGAAGCAGCAUUUGAAGCCUUGAAGACAUCGUUUGUCUCUGCACCAGUCUUAUAUCGUGUUGACUUUUCCAAGGCAUUUUUUAUGGAAACAGAUGCAUCAGAUUUUGCCUUGGGUGCAGUUUUAUCACAAAUGGGAACAGAUGACAAACUUCAUCCGAUAGCUUUUCAUUCAAGAAAAUUCUCAGCAGCCGAGAUCAAUUAUGAGAUCCACAAUAAAGAACUUCUUGCGAUCAUGGAUUCCUUUCAAGAAUGGCGUCAUUAUCUAGAAGGCGCUUCUAGUCCAGUCACUGUGUAUACAGAUCACAAGAACCUCGAGUAUUUCAUGUCAGCACGCGUGUUGAAUCGUCGUCAAGCUCAUUGGAGUAUGUCUUUGUCAAGAUUCGAGUUCAUUAUCACUUAUCGGCCAGGAAAACAACAAGGUUUGUCCGAUGCCCUAUCUAGACAUUCUUAUUUUGCACCAAAAAAAGGAGAUGCAGCUUUUGAGCAACAAAGAACGGUCCUCUUGAAACCAGAGCAAUUUCAUCUCCGAGCAAUGAAAUCAACAUUGAUUGUUGAUUCAACUUUUCUCAAGCAAAUCCAGUCCAGUAUGUCCUCAGACCCUCUUAUUCAUGAUAUCAAGAAUAAUUCUUCUAAGUCUCAUGAUCCUUCUAAGUUCGAGUUCAAGAAUAAUCUAUUAUAUUUUGAAGGACGCCUAUAUGUUCCAGAAGGAGAAGCACGUUUACGUGUUCUUCAAGCACGUCAUGACUUUCCAGCAGCAGGGCACUUUGGAUAUAAUAAGACUUUGAAAUUCAUAUCAAGAGAUUUUUGGUGGCCACAAAUGUGGAAGUCAGUCAAAGACUUUGUACAAUCAUGUGAUAUUUGUUCAAGAUCAAAAAUUCCUCGUCAUCGACCUUACGGACUUCUUCAGCCAUUACCUAUACCAGAACAACUAUGGUCUUCUGUUUCUAUGGAUUUCAUCACAGAUCUUCCAAGCUCAAGAUCUUAUGAUUCUAUAUUUGUGAUAGUAGAUUGUUUCACCAAGAUGGCAUAUUUUGUGCCAUGUACAAAAUCUAUCACAGGUGAAGAAACAGCUAAGCUUUUCAUUGAUAAUAUCUAUCGCUAUCAUGGAUUACCUAAAGAUAUCAUAUCGGAUAGGGGAACUCAAUUUGUGUCAAGAUUCUGGAGGACCCUUUUCAAGAUUUUAAAAGUGGACAUAAAGCUAUCUUCGGCUUUCCAUCCUCAAACUGAUGGACAAACAGAGCGUGUAAACCAAGUCUUGGAGCAGUAUUUAAGAAGUACUAUCAACUACCAACAAGAUGAUUGGAUAACCCUUCUGCCAUUGGCAGAGUUUGCUUAUAAUAAUACGAUACAUUCUUCCACGCAACAAACACCUUUCUUUGCCAAUUAUGGCUAUCAUCCACGACUUGAUACUUUUGAUUUUUUAAAAGUUGAUAAUCCUGCAGUAGAAGAUAUGGCAAAUCGGUUGUCAGAGUUACAUGCAAUAAUGAAGACACAAUUGAAGGAAGCUCAAGAACGACAAAAGAUAAAUGCAGAUCUAUAUCGUAAGGAGCAACCACAACUCAACGUGGGUGAUAAGGUAUGGCUACUUCGUCGCAAUAUCAAGACUACUCGACCUUGUGAUAAGUUGGACUAUCGUAGGCUUGGCCCUUUUUCUGUUUCUGAACAGAUCAACCCAGUUGCAUAUCGGUUACAUCUACCGGAGUCAAUGAAGAUCCAUCCUGUAUUCCACGUAUCUCUUUUUGAACCAUAUAAGACAGUGGAUAUACAAGGAAGAAGACAAAUGCCACCGCCUCCUAUAGAAGUAGAUAAUAAUCAAGAAUUUGAGGUGGAAGAGAUAUUAGACUCAAGGCGGCACAGAAAUAAGCUGGAAUAUCUUGUUCAUUGGCGCGGAUAUGAUAUUAGUGAACGCACAUGGGAGCCAUCCAGGAAUCAAGCAAAUGCAUCAGCUAAAGUCAAAGUUUUUCAUCAACGACAUCCAUCAAAACCAAGAUGAAAAUCUUUCUUAUAAAAGAGAUAAGAUUGAGGCAAGAUAACAUUCAAUUUCCUAUCCUUGUUUGUAACUUCUUUGUAUUUGUGACGCUAAUUAGAUGGAGAGCCAACAACCAGCGGAUUCAACUCAAGAACCUUCAUUUGCUGAUCUACCGGACGAGACAUUGCGAUUGUCACAACCUUCAAGACGACGCAAUCGAGAUGAACAUCUUCAAGAACGACAUAUUCUUCCUCGAAUAGAUGGUGAGAUACAACGCGUUUGGUAUCACAAUUUGGGAAGGGACUUUUGAUGUUUGGUGAUUUUGCUAGAGGUAGGAACAACUCCUGAUGGUGUUCCAAAUAUUCUAUUCGAAGGAAGUUACGAAGGCCUCAACAAUGAUCAAAUAACUGGGUGGUCUUCCCGCCCUGGUAUGGGAUACUACCGAUGAUUGAGAGGCCCUAUCAAUCAUCUUCGAAGAGAACAGAGAUCAAGGUAUGUGGCGAAUACAAUUCGUCGCAUCAUAGAUUUCCUCAACAUGUGAUGACCGCUCCUCGUGGAACUCGUCUCUAGAAGGGAGGGUAAUGUCACGGCCAUAAUCAUGUAAGCUAAUAAUUACAUAUAGAAAUAGGUAGAAGUAAGUAAAAGUAGAUAAAAGUAAGUUAAUUCUAUAAUAUUUAAUAUAGAAGCUUCCUAGAAACUUUCUAGAUGCUACUUUGACUUCAUGGGUGUCUUUAAUUGACUUUUUGGAUUAGAAACGUGGUCAACAAGUUGGCCAUGUGCCACACAUGUUGUUAGCUUGAAGAUCAAGCUAACUAUGUGGCCCACACGUAGAAAAACUUGCCUUAUAAGUCAAGGCAUGUGUCCUAUAAAGUCAACACAUAUUGGAGGUCCUAUAGAACGUCGCCACUUAGCCCCUAGUUAGAUAGUAUAUAUAGAGACAAGAGUGAAGGCUUCUUCACUCUUGUCAACUCCUUUCUUGCUUCUAGUCUAGUUUCAAGGGUCUCUAGUUUUCUUGUCUUUUGGCAAUAGCCAUUCUAGUUUCUCUUUUCAAUAUACAUACUUAUUAUUCAUAUUUUGUUAAUUUUCUUUGAGUGAAGGCUUACUUUUCUGAACUGUUUUUUCAUCGAGUUCUUGUCCUUGACAUGUAGUCUAUUCUUUUUAAAAAAAGAAUCAAAAUUAAAAAAUAAAAAAAAUAUUAAUUUAAAGAUGGAUGGUUUGCAACCUUCAAAGUUUAAGAAAUAAAGUGAGAUGAUUCACUCAACUCUAAAAUAAAAUAAGAAUAAUAAAUUAACACUCUUUUCAAACUAUAAAAGACAUAAAUCACAAAGAACCAAAAGAUCAAUACAUUCUUGUUUCACUAAAAAAUAAUGGAUGAUCAUUCAAAGAUGGUAUAAUAUUAAAUUAGAAUGGUUAUUACUAAAGACAAGAAAAUGAGAUAUUCUUGAAACAAGACUAAGAACAAGAAAGAUGUUGACAAGAAUGAAGAAGGCUUUAUUUUUGUCUUUAUAUAUACUUUCUACCUAAGAACUAGUUGGCAACGCUUUAUAGGACCUCCAAUGUAAGUCUAACUUACAAGACACAUGUCUCACUUAUAAAAUAAAAUAAAAUAAAAUAAAUUAUAUAUGCACCAUGUAGCCAACUUAUAGCAUAAAUCACCAACAUGUACAACACAUGGCCAACUUAUUGGCCAAGUUUUUAACCAAUCUACUUAUAUCUAUUGCUACUUUCCAAUUCUUAUAGCCUAGAUAAAUAAAUAUAUAUAUAUAUAUAUAUAUAUACAUAUAUAUGUGUGUGACAUCCAAAUCCUUCUAUCUCCAUUCAAUGUCUUUUGUUCCUUAUUCUUAGCCUCCAUCUUCUAUUCCAAACCUCUACUUCUUCCAUCUUAACAUCCGUCUUUUAUUCUUAUUCUUUAUCCUUAUAAAUGGCAAUAAUAUCCUUGAAGAGAGAUGUAUUUUUUACAUAAAAUAUUUUGUAAUUAAAAUGUUAAUAUUAUUGCAUUGUAAUCUUUUAAUUGCAAUUAAAAGAUAGUAUAUCUUAUUUUAAUUUAAACAUUAUUUGGAUUAAUUGAUUAUAUUCUCUAUACUUGUAGAAUCUAAAAAAAAAAAAAAAAAAAAAAAAAAAAAAUGAAAUUUAUUAUGUAGAAGUUCUUUGAAAUAAUAUCAUGUGUGAAAUCUAUGGCUAAAUAUUUUGGAAUUCAAUGUUGGUUCUUCAAGAUAAGUGCUAAUAAUGGCAAUAUAGGGAUUUGAAACCUAGGAUAAGAGAAUUUGAUAUAAGAAAUGAAGGCUAAGAACAAGAGAUGGGAAAUAAGAAAUGAGAGUGGGAGGAGAGAACAAGAGGAUCAAGAUUGGGACUAGGCACAAAAAAUUGACAUGAAAUAGAAGACUAGGAAUAAAGAAUAUAGAUAGAGGAUUAGGGACUGGGAACAAGGGAUGGAAAUAGGAAGAUCAAGAAUUGGAAAUAAGAAACAAAGAUGGGAGACAUUAACAGAGAAUAAAUUGAAGUAAUAAUGAAAUUAUAAGUUAUAGCAAUCCGCCAAGUUUUUCCACCUAAGUCAAUUAGCAAAAAAAUCUAAGUAGAUGAAAUACCACUAAAUCAAACUAAAUUACAUAUAUCCAAUGAGAUUAGGCAUCCAAUGCCACAUCACAUGACAAUUUUGAUAUAACUCAUAUUAACUUCUUAAGAUAUAUUAUUUAAAAUGAUGGUUUUAUGAUAGAUCCUAAGAAAAUUUAGAGAAUCAUAGAUUGGAAGAUUUUAAGAAUAUUAAGAAAUAUGCAAUUUUUUUGAGAUUUGCCAAUUUACUAUUGAAUUUUUCAUUGAAAAAAAAUUUACAAGUAGUAGCUCUACUUACACAUUUGUCUUAUAAAAAUAAACUUCAAUGGAACUAAGAAGCUAAAGCAACAUUAGAAGCUUUGAAGACAACUUUUACAACAACCUUAAUCUUAUAUUACGUAAAACUAAGGUAUUAUUUAUGGAAAUAGUCACAUUAAACUUUGCUUCAAAUAAAGGUAUUGUUAUAUAUGAGAACAAAUGACAAACUUUAUCUGAUAGCUUCUCAUUUAAGAAAAAAAUUAACAGUUGAGAUUAAUUACAAGAUCCACAAUAAAGAACUUGUGAUUGUAAAUUUAUUUCAAAAAUAUAUCUAUUAUUGAGAAGGUGCUUCAAGUCUAGUGAUUUUUUAUACAAACACAAGAACCUCAAGUAUUUUAUAUCAAGACAUGUUUUAAAUUAUUGCCAAGCCUAUGGGAGCAUGUUUUUGUUAUCACUUAUCAACUAGGAAGACAACAAGGUUUGUCAAACACUUUUUUUAGACCUUCAUAUCUUAUGCCAAAAGAAGAUGCAACUUUUGAUGAAUAACAAAAUAUUAUUUUGAAACCAAAGCAAUUGCAUCUUCAAGCAUUAAAAUUAAAGUUGAUUGUUGAUUCAACAUUUCUUGAUCGAGUACAAAAAAUUAAAAAUAAAUAAAUUUAUAUAACUUCUGCCAAAUUAUGUAAUUGUGAACUAUGUUAGAUGCCACAAGCACAGUUCACUACCAAAUCAGUUCUGAAAUAAAAAGAAAUAAAGAAUAGAAACCAAACUUGAACUAGUGUUUGAACUGAAAAAUCUGUGCCUUCAGAAUGACGCCAUUCACAUUAAAGCAGUUGAGAAACAAGCCCUGUCACCACAAUGGCAACUUCACUGAAUGUGAAUUUGAGGAAUUCAUGCUGAAUAUAUGUAUUUAAAUAUUUAUACUACAAAGGGAGGAACUGCACUUUAGACUCCAUGAGGUCUACUCUUCACUGCACUGCACUGUGAAAGCAGAGCUAGUCUACAGAGAAGGCUGCUCUGACAUCGGAUACAACAGUUUUAUAUAUAGAGAGUUCGGAAGCAAGCUUAGCAAAAAUUCUCUCCUCCAUCACUGCAGACAGCAGAGCAUUCCGGGAACAUAAUCUCAACGCCAGGCCAAGUUCAUCAAUUAUCAUGUACACAUACCUCCACUAGCAAACCCGCAGGUUCUAGGAGCAAAACCUCAGCCAGGGAAAAGAAGCUGACUGGACAAGUGAAGCACCUCUCCACAUGACUUCACACACCAUGAAUUAAUGGGUACUAAUGAAACAUAUCAACUAUCGAAUAGUGAAGAACUAUAUCACAUUGUCACUCCCACAGCCAUCACUUCGCCAUUGCAAUACUUGGAUUGGAAAAGGGAACUGUGGCCACAGAAGUAAAAAUAUCGCAAUCUGUUCUAUAAAGACCUUGAUGCUACACAGCCACGGUGGACACAAAAUUAAUGCUGUGUGGCAGAGCAACUCCCUCAAAGGCAUCCUUCACUACGGAAAGCCCCGCAAUCAACUCCACAACAGGACCUCCAGCAGUGCUAAUAUCGACAAGAGAUCUCGAGAUGCUCUUGGAAAACACAUCAUCGACCCAGGCGUUGAAUUUUUGUCGCCCAUCGGGUAUUUUCCACACACAUGACAUGAGAUACUCCAGGAGACGAAGGUCCACCUCAACACCUGCUUCAGAUGGGGAAUGGUCCUCAAAUGAUUUGCUAAGCGUGUUCAAGAUCUCCGUAGCGAGUCCAUUGAAAUCGUAAGGGUCGAACCCGACGGCAUAAUCAGGUAAGGCACAAAAUUUGUCAGUAAGCAUUAAGCGGACGUGCUCCAACACCUUCUUACGUUUAACUUCUUCUGCGUCGAAGUCGGUGACGCAGUGAUCAUCCGUCUCACCUGUCCAACAACCUUUGUUUUCUCCAGUAGAUAGAUUGAGAUCCAAGUUUAGAAAUCGACCUUGGCCAGAUUUUGUUCGUUUCGCAUCGAACUUCGAGCGAAGUUCACCUUGAAGAAAUGAGUCUUGCUUUCGCUUGGUCACCCAUAAUGGAACUUCCAAUGGCGAGGAAGUAGUCUCGACGAAUUUCUUCUGCUCUUCUUCACCAUGAUCUACGACAACUAUCUUGUUGUUGGCGCUUUUGAAAACAAUCUUUUCGCUACUUGAAUGUUUAAUUCUUACACAAAUUUCGGCUCUUUUCAAGGCGGCCAGCUUCGCUUCUGAGAAAGAUAGGGCCCCUAGGCGCUCCACUGGCUCGCAGUCCACACUGCCAACGCUUGUAGUCAUGACGAUGAUAGAGUUGCUGAGGCUCACCUCACGCAUACUAGAAUCGGCAAGCUUUCCUCUCUCCAUAGCCCUAACAACGUUGUUCUUAAACACACUGGUAGCCUUAUCAAUAUCCUCCAGUAGUAUGACUGAUGAAGGCUUCAACCGGACAGCUUCCGCCAACCUGUCGAGCGGUGUUUUACCUCGGUACCGCAUACCACUGUCAUCUCCUUCCAACCUUGCAGGCGAUCCGUCUGCAAAUCCAAUAUGCAGAAGGCUCCUUUCACCACCAAAAACCAUCUCUGCCAAAGCCUUAGCAAUAGCAACCUUGGCCACAGGAUCAGGUCCUAACAGAAGCAGCCAUGUAUCAGUCUUAGCAGUAGCACCUCUGAAGGAGCCCAUGCCAGACCGACACUUCAUGACAGUAGUUGCUAUGCCCGCCACAGCGGCAGCCUGCCAAGGAACACGUUGCAUGAGGCCCUUGUAGAGACCCUUCAAAGUGGGAUCAUCCACAACGUCCUUCAAAGGAGCAGCAGGAGGAGGACUCGGCGAUUUUGACACGCGAGCUUGUCGCCUUGUCAAAGGUGAUGCAUAUAACUGCCUUGACAACCCUCUCGGCUGGGAUGGGUUGUUGGCAACUGGUCUUUGUUGUUGCAAAGGGGAUUGUAGAAGCCAAUGUGGCUUAGUGGUGUUCUUCACACUGAUAGGACAAGCACCGACACCCGCGCCCCCGGCGUGGAGUGGACUGGGUUUUGAUGCCAGUGAUAUGGGAGCCCUCAGCUUACCAGCCAUUGGGGAGGCAUCGUUGGCUCUUCCAAGAGCCAAAUUUGUAUGAAUAUUUGCCAGGGAGGCAUUCUGGGCAGAUGUCCCAGUUGAAGUGUGGGGAUCUUCGUGAUCAUCUGGUGCAGAAGCUACGCUACUCCCAUCCUUCGGUGAGCCCGUAUCAGGCCCACCAUUGGCCUCUAAGAUUUUGUCAGCUCCUAGAGAAGCUGCAUCUUGCGCUUGCACCAUUCUUUGCAAAGGACUGAUUGCACCUUGCCUUGCAGCAUUCAUGGUGAAUAACGGUGACGCUCGAAUGGGCUGAACAACAGCGGGUGAAGUUACCGACCUGUUCCCUGGGCCAGACCAUCGGGAAGAUACGUCCACACCUAAACCUGCACGUUAAUUGAUGAUUAGAUCUUGAAAAUCUCAACUCAACAAGUAGACGAACAAGCUGAAAAGCAACAGAAAAACUAGUGACAUGGCUUCUCUGAUAACGUAGACUUAAAAUAGACAAGACUCUUCCAAAAACACCAAAAGAUAAGAUAGACCGAAAACAUUCUCACCACAAGACUUCGGAAGGUUGAUGUGAGAGGAUGCAGUCAUUCGACUAAAGGGAGACGGCAGCUGUGGCCUUGAUUGGGCACCAACAGACUGUGAUGAGUCUCCAUGGAGCAUCCUGCAGUUCUUUUGCCACUUCUCCCGGAGCUGCAUUAACUGCUGAACAACUGACUCUUUCCCUACCUGGCCCGUUCCACCGUUCACAACCCCAAAACUAGCUUCAUCACCUGUAAGUGACAAAUGUAGAGAAAGACUUUCAUGCUCGUGAAUAAGCCGACGCUCCUCUUCAAACUUGGCCAGACAUUCAACACAGCAUUGAAACCUCUCAUUUGGACCAGAAUUGCUCACGGGUCGCGUAUCCUGCAUUAAUGUCACCCUAGGGGACUCUACACUGGCAGACGGUGUCGAGUGAAGCGAGUGAAGAUCAUGCACAACUCGAGUGCAAUUUGUCAAUCUGGAAAGAAAAUAAAUAUAAAGUCAGCUAAUGCUCGGUCCAAGACUGAACAAGAAGCGCUCGCGUGAAUGUGUGUAUAAGAAUAAAUACAAACAUACAUUCACGUAUACAAACACACACACACACAAAUAUAUAUAUAUAUAUAUAUAUAUAUACAUACAUACAUAAUAGGCACAAAUCAUCAAGGAUUUAGCAAUUGCAUGUAACAUUUCCAUGAGCAUCAGUUAGACAAACCAACCUUGAUAGGAAGUCGGGUUGGGACCCUAUUGAGAGUGGCACAGGCUGGAGACCCCAAUCUGCUAUCAAAGAUGGGUACAAAACUUGCAGUCGGGAAAAUGUUUGAGGAGUUGCCACUCCAACAAACCACAAUCUGCUACUUGCAUGCCGAAUUAGCAACUGCCGCAACUCGGAUGCAGUUCGUUGUGCGGGACAAAAAUUUGAUGGGCCCUUCUUGAGUUGCAUAGGCUCCGCAAGCCAUUGCAAAUCUCCAAUGUGAAGUAUGGCACCCGCAGGCAUACACUCCCCUACAAUCUUACUCAGCUCAGCAAGUUUCUGAUCCAUUUCAAGACUGCUGCAAUAUCCAAAAGACGAUGAAGAUAGCAGAGGAUCAAGAAUCUGCAGGCCUUGCAAUUGUGCUGGCACGUUCCCGUUUUUUAUCCUCAACGCCAAGUCAGAAUUCACAGCAUUAGCAGCAGUGAUAUCUCCUACUAAGAUGACAUUCUUGAUCCUGGGCCUUAAAAAGAUAUUCAAAAUGUUGAGGACGUCCUCAUCCUUCGAUGAAAGACCACCUCCAGGUCCAACAACCGGAUUCGAUCUAUUCGGAGCUCUGCACACCAACUCCCUCCUCUCAUGACUCUCAAUGACUGCGUCAGACUGCUGCCAUGAUUCCAUAGAACUGGUUUGAUUUGCAGGCAAGCGUGAAAACUUCACAGAUGCCUUUGUUUCAUUCUCCUCUUGCGUCACGCAACUAUUAUCAUAAAAAGGACCUGCAGUAAGGAAUAACACAACCCGACCAUUUAGAAUACAUUGUAAAACGGUGCGUCUAGCCACACAAAUUAUAACGAACCACACAGAUCGGCCUUUAACAAACUGAAAAGCAUCUUCUAAUGGAGGGAGCAAAAGCUGAAUCCCAAAACUCGCACGAAUAAAGAGUAAUCUUGCUAGUAGUAAGCAUGGGAGGGAGAUUAAACUAUGAGGUUGGCGAAAAGCAAAUACCUUGCGACACCAUAUCAAUUCCAUGCUUAGAAGCCUGCUCAUGGCUGCUUAACGCUUGUCCUACGCCAUUUGAUACAUGGCUAGUCAACCCUUUCCCGUCUCCGUUUGCUACGGUCGCUGUGACAGGCCCAUCUUCCAAGUUGAACUUGACAUUCGUACUAGAAAGUCCGGCCUCUUUCAUAACCCGACUGACACUCGGAUCAUCUAGAAUGGAGAUAAUCAACUGAUCAAUCUCAACUUUCACAGCAAGUAGUGGAGAUUGUUGGUGCUCCGGGCAUCCCCGUCUCUGAUGGGCGUGAGCCCGCUUCAGAGCGGCCAUCAAGGCGUUUGACAGAAUGGGCUGGCUGGCAGCGGCCAACGCGGACUGCGGAAGAUGAUCCAGGGCGACAUUGAAGCACACUUCAAGAGCCCGACACUCCGCGGAUUGAGAGUUUUGAGGCUGGGACAGCAUGCACGCUUGUCGCAGACGGCUUCCGGCGUGAGUAAGCAACAUGGACACAACAUGCAGGGGUUGCACCUGAGGGUGACCCCUCCUCCGAGCCUCGGUAACCGCAUACUUCAAGACACCGUGUGCCGCCGGAGUGAGCAAGUGUUGGACUGAAUUUGCCCCGCUACGCAUGCUCACGUCUAUGGUUCUCACAGGCUCUUCGAUUACUCCCUCAAAGUCGUCCAACUAAGGUUCCUCGCACUCACCAGAUUUCCUGCUACUCUACCAUCCACCACCUAAGAAUCAGACCCACUGAACCAUCUGCAUCUGCACCAGCACAACGUCCAGACAUCCGCGCGUCCUCGCACGAUAACAACCACCUCGUUUUAGAGCGUGAACAGCCCCCUGUAAGUCCUUUUCGCAUUGCAUCCCACAUCGGCGUCAACGAUGACACCACAUGGAACAUCCACCAAAAUCUGCUCUCUUGGCAGCUCCGUGGUCAAAAACUUUACCGUCAACCAUGCCAUAACCAUAACACCCUUAAUGCUGUUCGGUCACAACAGUUUCCAAGACCUUCCUCCAACCCUCCUACGAUUCUUUGACGCUUCAACCUACAAGACCAUCCAGGAUAUGUCAUGAGACAAUCUUCCAAAAAACAAGCUAUUCCUGCGCACAACAACCGGUCACACCAUUUGCCAAAAACAUUCGAAGCUAUGGACGCGUUUCUUACAAUUAAGUCUGCCAUCCAUAACCACUGCUGAGAAGGUUGAAUGUUGCUGUAAGACCCUCAGUUCUGAAGGCCCUUCAGCAUUCAGGAAACAUGGUGAUUCCGAAAACUAUGUCGACAGAAACCCACACACGUGACUAGCGAAUCGGUGCCAGACGGAUCCUUGAAGGAGCUGUACCAUCGCUAUCAAAGAGAAAAUGUUGAGGGGAGGGAUGUGUUAAGAUACUCUACACACGAUGCGAGGUAUGCGGCACGGCCCGGUGCCGGAUUUCACGAUUUAUAAACAUAUGUAAUCAUGGUUUCAUUAGAUAUCAGGAACAGUUCGAAACGGGCGCAGCAAACCCAAUCCUUCGACCUUCGCGGAGAGUAAUAGUUGCGGCACUCUUACAUCAUCUCAAGAUCUUACACACCACAAUUCGACACGAAGACUAGUUUCGCGGCUCGGCAAUUUCGUAGUAGCUACACAAGAAUUGUGUAACUGGCAUGGACGCUAGAGCAGUAAUGGCGGUUGAAUAGGCUAAGAAACCUACAAGUCUAGGUACUAAACCUCGUCGUAAUUCCUAGCUCAGAAACAACGCUGACCUUUACCAGAAAUUUGUAACAUUACAAGAGUGGUAGGCCUUUGUCGUAUGACUGGUGGAACUAAUAAUCGAAGUAUGUUUCGACAGGCCCGCCCAGCAAUUCGUGAUUUACAAGAGGAAACCUAGAAACAUCUGUGCUAGCUGUGACGAAUACAAAUUUGAACCAGGCAAGGGGCAGAAGCUGAUUGCCACAACUGCGAUAGCUACAUAACGUGAAAUCGGGUGCUCUCAAUGUAGCUAUGAGACGAGCGAGAUGACGCUCUGAGCAAUUCGAAUCACCUGAUUUUCUAAGAGUGAAGCGCGAGUAACAAUAGCCUCGGGUUUAAACUACUACACAUAUUCUGUGAUGAAAUCAGGCAGCGUACCUUUCAAUCUCCAACGCGGAUCAACCAGUUCGACACCUGCCAAGACGCCUGCUUCAGCGAGUGCACUACAACUACUUCUUCAGCCGCUUCUAAACCAACUCUUUCAGAUCGAACCCACCCGUCCACCAAAACGUUUCCUCCUGAACCCGUACACGCGCGAAUCCUCCCACAUACUUAUAAACACACUACAAAACCCGAUCGCCUCACGACCACAUACCCACACAUGCACCAGUUGGCCAACUCAGUAUCCCUCAAGCGAGUCAAACGAAAUCACACGCUAGAUGUCGGUGCAGCGAGCUCGUAAGUUGGUUCCGCCCGGGGAAGGUAAUCUACCAACUGCUCAGAAAACAAGGGGUAUGAGGGGGGCCUCAAGUGCGUCACAGACGCGAAACCUUCAGCUAUGGUGGGACAAAUAAUAGCCUGGUGAAGUGAGCACUGCCGAGAAUGAGAUGGGCACGGGGUUGGGGGUGGGGAAGUGGGGCAGCAAUGGAGCAAGACCAUAGACUGCGAGGGGUGCAGGAGGCCUUUGGGGGCGGGAGGAGGAAGGGUCCGCGUUCACCGAAGGAGAGGUUCAUCUGCGCUGCGUCGUAUUUUCCUUCAUCCAGAAUAUUCACCCCACCCCCACCCACGCAGUCAUUUGGUUUUGCAUACCAGUGCCCGAGUCCCACUUUCUCCCACAGCCUCAAGUUCCACGCUGAGAAUGCAGAUUCAGCUGGCCGGGCGGGGCGGGGCGAGGCAGGGCUGUGUGUAUUUAAGGGUGCACUUGGAUUCACCUCGUCCUCAGCCCAGCGCGUCAUUCCCACGCCCAUGUGUGGCGAUUAAAAAGUCGGCCAGCCUUGUGGAGGAGGAGCGGGUGCAUACAUUUGUAUUUCUUUUUAUUUCCUUAUUUAUUUAUUUAUUUAUUUAUUUAUUUUUACGUACAUACAAAUAAACUCUUGCAAGUAGUAAGUACCUAUGUCAAAUUACAGUAAUGCUGACGACCACCUCCAAACAGCAGAAGGGAUUGGAUGCUGGUGGUAUAGUUGCAGCAGUGGAAGUAUAUUCCUUUCCAUCUUCCUUCUUUCCAUUCAGUGGGGAAAACUGAGAAAACAGAGCUUGCAAUGGUCCUUUUUGAAGGCAGGAGCAAGAGAGUGGAGGCUUACAUACAUAGUGUACAAGAAGAAGCAAGGGGGGAGGCAAUGAGGGGAAUGUGAGCAGGUGAGAAUGGGGAAAAAAAAACAAAGCAGGACCUGGCACACACACCUUGUUGGCAUCUGGUUCCCAUGUUGCCAAGUGACCAGUGGCUCUGACUUGGACAUUAUGUUAGCCAAGUUGGGGAUGAGCCCAUCCAAACCCUCCCUCCCUCCUUUCACCUUCUCCUCUCUCCCUAUUGUUUGUUGCCUGUUGUUACUGCCUCCUGGGAGAACACCCUGCCCAACUAGCUCUCCUUUUGACUCUUUCAAUGCUCUCCUGGUAAAGCUGAUGUCACCCUGGUUUUUUUUGUCUUCUUUGCAAUUGCAAGGAUGUUUUUGUGAUUGUUUCUACAAGCAAGCUCAGAAUUUUGUUGUUGAGAUUUUAAACCAUUGUCUUUUUGGUGUGAUUUAUUCUUAUUAAUUUUAUCUAUAUCUCUUUCUCUCUUCAUUAAUAACAUAUAUAUAUAUAUAUAUAUAUAUAUACAUGCAUAAACACUUAGUUUUAAAUCAGGUGAUCCAAAGAUAGAUUGAUCAUUUUCAAUUACAACAAAACAGUGAAUUGUACUGUUGACUUAUUGAUCUUUCAAACAUAUCCAAAAAGUCCAUCACAUUAGCACAUUGAAUAUCCACAAAGUGCAACAACAAAGACUACGUUUCCAUUCAUAAAAUCAACUUAUGUUUCCUCAUCAUUUGAACUCUGAAGUAUUUAUUCAACCCACAAACAGCAUGCAAAAGCCAAAGCAUAUGUAUGUGUGUCCACACACACACACACAUGUGUGCGUAUAUAUAUAUAUAUAUAUAUAUAUUAAACCAACAUCACCUUUUGAGGGGGAGGCCAAAGAUCAAGGAAGAAUUUGUUGCAAUGACAUGAAUGAGACUUCUUUCACUUUCACUCGCUCUUUGUUCAAAACUAUUGGGGAGCUGUUGUUGUUGGGUAAUGACCUGAGUGCUCUGUACAAAGGGGAUUUUGACAUCACUAAGUAGGAGCACUUACCUUUUUAAAUUGAAAACUAACAGUGAGCUCAGCAUUGGAUGGGCCACCAACUUUCAGCUAGUUUGACAACAUCAAUCGUAUUCACAUGUUACAGCCAAUGGAAAGCCAAAAAAAUGAAAAUAAUAAUAAUAAUAAGAAGAAGAAGAAAAGAUUGUAAUGAAAGUGGGGUUGGUCUCCUGCUCACCCACCCCCACACCCCACACCUCACAUAUCAUGAAUACAAAACAAGAUAUUUUCAUCCACAAAAAGGACAAUAAAAAUGUUUAUAAAAAAUAAUUAAAAAAUAAAUAAAAAUAAUGUAUCACCAUGGAAUAUAAAAUCCCAUGCACAAAGAAGAAACAAAAACAAACGAUAUAUUUGUUUGUAUCUAAGCCAUGCAUGGCAUGAGCAACCCACAGUUGAAGGCUUUGAACGUCCCCUUUGUCCCAUAUGCCAAGGAGAAGCGGUAAUAGAGUCUCUUGGAAGUAGGACCUCAUGGGGAUAGGAGAUCCAGUUGGGGGGGUGCCUUGCAAGCUUUACUACCAACUCUGCUGGCCUGACCCAGCCCAGCAAAGGCCCUCUCAUUAAUACAGCAUCAUACAUUCAAUGCAUGAGCCAUUGUCUGUGUUGUGGCCUGCACCAUUGAAUGCCAUCCCAGUCACUCCUUAUAGUUUUUCCAUUUUUAGUCAUGUCACUGGAGCCCAUCUGAGGACCAGGACAGUUCAAUUUCCAGAACAGUUGCAUAGUCACACCCCAGAUAUUGUGGUCUCCUUUCCCAUGAAUGAACACAUGCCAGGGCUUCUCAAAUACCUCCUUUGCUUUGCUUUGCUACCCCAUCAGUUGUUUUUGUGACAUGUGUUUCCUUUUGGCAGAGGAGCAUUUGUCCAGAUUUUGAUGCCUUUUUGACUUCGUAUAUGCCCCCUCUAAAAUAUCAUCAGUGAAUUGUUGGACUUCUGUGAAAACACAUGAUAAAUGUGGUGUCAUAGGAGUACACACAACUCUGUGUGUAUGUGUAUAUAUAUAUAUAUGGAAAGCAGUAAAAAUUAAUGGUGUUCGAUUUUGAUUCUUUUCUAUUCUUAUUAUACAUGAACUAACAUAUAUUGCAUACUCAUUUGUUCUAAAACAUUGCAGUUAAAGAUUUUACAGCCAUGUGAAGAAAUACAAUUUAAUCCAUUAAAAUAUAUAUACAAGCAUUGUUGUGUUUGUGUGUUAUAUAUUUGGAACUAAAAAGUAUUGUGUAUCACAUUUUGAAUGAUGUGUUGCCCUCUGUGUGAAUGCAACUAUGAAGCUUAAAGCAUAUGUACUAUGAAGCUUAAAGCAUAUGUACUAUGAAGCUUAAAGCAUAUGUACUAUGAAGCUUAAAGUAUAUGUACAAUGUCUAAAUAUUUUACAGGUUUAAAUCAUGAAAAGUGCUAUUGAAAGUGGGUUAGUCAGAAUAUUAAACAAAUGGCAAUAACAAGGUUCAAUCAUGGAGAAUUUGAUUGUCAAUGACAAUGUGGUACAACUGUGUAGUUUUAAGUGAUUUAAUGAUCUUUUUUUCAAUAAGUUGAAUUGAUUUCUAAACCAGCUGAUGACUUCAUUGAGAAUUCAAGGAGUCUGAACUGAUGUAUGCAUAGAAAGUGAAAUAAAAACCAAUUAAAUUGUUGUACAUAUACACAAGAAAGAUGACAUUUAUGUAUUUCUAUCAAAAAAAAAAAACAUGAAUAAACAUAUUGUUGCUUUUCAGAUUUAAUGUUGAACAUCCAGAAACAUUAUGAGAGGAAUACCAACUCUCAAACCCAUUUUUUAUGUUUUCUCUUGAAUUUGGGAAUUUCAAAGAUCUUAUUUAUUUAUCUUUGUUUUCUUCAGAUCAUCAAGUAGAACAAGUUCUUCUGUUUAUUUUUUUCAUUAUUGUAAACAAAUGAAAAUUUAAAACCAAUUAAUUAUAGGAAUGAAAUAAAUCAUACAAACAUAUUUCAAUACUUUGGAGUAAUUGAAGCUUAUCAAGAAGUGAUUUUAUUAUUAUUAGUCAUACAUUGAUAUUGAAAUAAAUUAUUGUGUCCUUCUAAGUCCCAUGUACUUGUGAUCACAAUAGCAAAUCAUACAAAUAUUUUUUCUAUUUCUAUCAUAACUUGCAAUGUUACAAUUUAAUGUGUUCUUAUAAUGUGUUAUCCCAUUUGCAUCAAGUUUGUGUAGAUGGAUUCAAGCAUUCUUUAAUUCCAAUAAUGCAAAAAUACCUUAUAAAUAUUAUUCUUGCAAAUGUGAUCAUCGAUUGGCAUGUUUUCAAUAAGAGAAUUUGUGGUUUUACCAAAUGCUCUCGCAAUUUGUUCCAUUCUGGUUUAUUUUAUUUUAUCUUUCAAUUUUCAUUUAUUGUCAUUCUUACAUUUUCAUUUCUAACAUCCUUCUAGAAUAUCUAGAGACAAGGGAGUAAAAUAAUGUAAAUGAGAAUCAACCAAGGCACAAUACCUUUGAAAUCUAAAUAAUUUAUAAAGUUCAUUUAAUAUGAAUGAACAAAAGAUUACAUGAUGUCUCGAAAUAAUCAAUUCAAAUUUAUGUACAAGUUUCUUUUGGCUUUCAUCUUUUAGCAAAAAUAUAAAUAUCAUCUAACAUUUGCACAAUAGUGUUGCAGUAGAAGGAAACAACAACAACAACAACAACAAUAAUAAUAAUACAGAAAGAAUAAAAUGUAUAUAUAAACAGGACCAAUAAUUCUUGCAUGUUUUCUUAAUGACAUUCUCACCUAAGCUCACCAUCACUGGCUUUGUAAGUCUUAUCAUUCUUAAAAUUUAGAGCAAGGGAAUAUAAAUGUUUAUGUCAAUAUUUUAUUAUGUAGGGAUGCACUUAAUUGAUCUUGCUAAUGUGCAUUUCUUUAAUUAUAAUAAAGAUAAAUAAAAAAUGAGUACUUAUUUAUAUUUAUACUUAUUUACAUACAUUUUUAUUAUUCUUGCAAUGAAGCAAGUAGUGGAAAAAGUCUUAUUUUCAAACCAAAAAAGGAACAUUCACCUGAAAAUCUACUGUGUUUUAUAUGCAAAUUGAUUUUCAAUUUGAAAACAAAGAAAUCCUACAUCAAAUGCAUGAUCAUUAAGAACCCAAUUGGGUACAACUACUCAAAAAAAAAUUGCUAACAUGGUGUAGCUAACACAAUUGAUGCAUUGCCUAAUACAAGGUCAUGUAAAACUUCAUAUGAUCCAUUUUGGUAUUACAUGUACUUGUCAACCCUCUCAACAUGGCAAAAUCCUUUUUUCAAUAGUAUAUUUCUAUUAUAUUAUGUAUGAUUCCUCCCCCAUCACAUUCUAGUGGAUAUGUUCAAUAGUUCUAUAAGAUGUGAAAGCAGGAAGAGAGGGUGAGAGAGAGCAGAAGAAGGUCAUGGGGCCCCCACACACAUUAGGGCCAUACACUUGGCUUCGGGACAAACUCCCCCCGCUCCACCUCUCCUCAGGUUCACAGACCUUGCAGUCCAGAAAGCUGCUGCUGCCCGACCCCACCGGGCUGACUUUAGACGGCACGGGCCGGGACAAGCCGGGACAGGGCGGGGGGCCUGCUUCUGACCCGACCCGGCCCCCUCUUGCCCCUUCUGUACAGCGUCGGAACAAACCCUUCAGAGCCAGCCUUUUCAUCGUCCCCCCAGUUCCCCUCGUUCCCUGUUCCCCGUUCUCAUCUUCUUAAUUCAGGAUCCUGUGACGAUCCAUUUCGCAGCCCGGGAUAUGCGUUGCCAGCUCAGUUGAGGUGCGGGAGGCACAAUUGGACAUGCAGUGUCGGAGCUGCCCGCUGGGAGGCAGGGCAGACAUGAUCCCAUGCUGGACGAGUUGGCAUGACCUCGUACGGAGGGAUGGAGAGCUGACUCAGAUGCUUAGAUCCGGAACCGGUUUCACACUGGCGGAGGGGGGAAGCUCACGCGGAUUGACUUUUCUUCUACCCUCACAUGCUCGUACGCCAUUGAUUGUAGAGGAAAAGGUGAAAGGACCUCCAAUCAAGUUCCAUUGUACCUGUGUGAAUUUAGCUUUCCUUUUAUAAUAUGCACAUUAUUAGAGACCCCUUGAGCAAAAACCUCCCAGUUUCACUUAUUGUUUGAUCAGUGGAAAAAGUGGCACACAAUAGUGUUCACAGUGAAUGUUCUGCAUCAAACUAUGUUUUUGGUGAUGUGAUAGUAACCAAGUACCAGCUGGGGUAACCAAGUCUAUAAUUUAUGUUCUUUCCAUUUCCUAAUUGAAUAUUGUGUACAUGAAAAAUCAAUUCAGUUUGAAAAUAUUGUGAAUCUCACAGUAUUUUGUAAAGUUGGUGACAGUCUUCCAUAACUCUGGAAAUACAUUUUUGAAAAAAAAAAAAAAAAAAAAGUCUUUCAUUGUGCACACAUAUGUAGAGCUAGUCUGGUUCUUUAAAUGUUUUGAUACACCUUAUCUAAAGAACUAAAAUGCAAAACAACAUGGAGAGUAGUGUGUUAUUUACAAUACCAAUUCUUCCUGUUGUGUUUUUUGUACAUGUAAAUUUUUUGUGUUCUGAAAGAGAAAGUAGAGAACAUAACUAGAAUUGUGUUGAUAUUCUUGAAUUUUUUCAUAUUUUUUUUAGUCUUGGAAUAUUACCUUCUUGCAACCAUGCAACUAUUUCACACAAAUUAAUAUCUAAUCAUGAUGUUGGACCAAAUUGAGAAAGUUUGAGAAUUGCUUGGUUCAUGAACCUUUCUUCUUUUAUGGUGGAUAAGGUGUAAUCAUCUAGAUGUUGACCAGUAACCUGUUCAUUUCAUUUCUUAGGAAGUUUAACAUCCCAAAUUAGCUUCUUUGUACCAUUUUGCAAUUUGCAUUGCAAGGUGAAUCCAAUAAAGCAAUGGGCCUUCACUUCCCCAUGAUGAAUCUCUCACCACCUUCCUGUAAUUGAAUGAUAUUUCCACAUGUAUUUUUUGGUCACAAAUCAGCAGCAAGAAAUUUGAAUCAAAUACAGGCAAGAAUUAUCUGAAUAAAUUUUAAUUUAUUAUGAUAUCCAUUGAUUCAUUCUGUUAUAUUCUAUUCCAUUUUCAUGAGAGCUACAGUCUUUUGAAGUUUCAGAGACAAGUUGCAUUGCGCUCCAUGCAGGGUUCAAUGAUCAAGGACAAGCUCCAUGUGGAGCUUGGCUUCCACUCAUCAAGCCAAAAAGUUGAAAUUGGCACAUUCUCUCACUCACACACACACAGACACUUCCACUAUUGUUCACUGUGUGGCACUCACUCAAGACCAAACCCUCCCCUAUUGCUUGCUUGCUCGCUCUCCAGCAGCAGCAGCACAUUCUGGCAGUUAAAGGGGCUUGUGACCUCAGCCCUGCACUGGUCUGCUUUACUCUCAACUGUGCUGUUAUGGAGGUGGUACCUUCUCAGACAUGAGCAUUCUGGUGCUUUUUUCUACUAUGGAAAAUCUUUGGCUAAGGAUGAUUUUGCUGCAGGCAUCUCUGGAAAUAUAUUGCAUGGAGUCUAUAUGCAUCUGAAGAUCAUCAGCAUCCACAUCCCUAAGCCACCAGUUGCUCUGGCAUCCAAAAGCUGCCCUCUGCAUUAACAAUAAUAACAGUGAAAAACUGCUUCCCCUGUAGUAUGGGAUGAAAUGCAAUAAGGAGAUGUGGGUUAGAAGGGGAAAUUAGGGUUUCCAUGUAUGGUUCCAUGUUCCCAUGUGACAAAGUCAAAUUGUGGUGGUUUAGGGGGGGAGAACUUUGGGUCUCCAAGUUGGUGACCUUGGGGAAUGGUUAGAAUUUGUGGGUAUUUGCCAGGGCAGACUUGGAUUUAGAAGACUUACUUUAGCUAAGCAUAUCUAAUGAGUUGUCCUGAAAAGUUCAAUUAGGAUUUGCCUUCCAAAUUUCCUACUGGCCACAGAACUAAGCACAGGUAUUCUCCUGUACAAGUGAAAAGCAUACUCUUUUAUAUUAAAAUGGAUGCUUUUGCUGGGUGAUGUUGAAAUGUGGUUUGAGGCAUUUAAGAGACCACACUCCACAUGAAUAAAGAAGUUGAUUUGGCUCUCAUGACAUUGUCAAAGGCAUCUUCAAAGCAUACAUCUAUAUUUCCUGAUUGGAAAGUGAUAAUAUGAGAAAUUAUUGAGCAGUUUAAUGACUACUACACAUGCAAAAAACAAUGCAAGCUUUGUUUCAUUUUGCACAUUAUUAUUAAUAUAAUAUCUUGCUAACAAUGUACACCCAUAUGAGUAGGUCCAAACAACAAGUGUCUCACACCACAUUGCCUCUAAGCCACCUGGAGGUCACACACAUAUCCAACCCCCCUUGACAGUGGGGCUCUACUUCAUAAGAGUCCCUUUUCCCACAUAAAAAAUAAAAAUAAAAACGAAAACUAAAACUAAAACAGAGUGAAUGAUAAAAAUGCACCCCUACACUGGGAUACCCUCCCUGAAUGGGACACAGUUGAAUUGGGCUCCAUCCGUAAAUAGAUGCAUUGAAGUGGAACAAUUCACAAAGGUUUGAACAUUCCCUUUGAAAUUAUACAAGGGCACAUGUGACGUGUCUGCAUCAGCCUAUCCCUAGGUCAAAGCCCCAGUGAUGCCCUAUCAUCAAUUGUUAAUUUGUGGUUUAGAUGCUAAGUUUUUAGUGUAUUUUAUACCCUUUUUUUCAUUUUUAUAUUUUCUUUUUCAUUUUCUCUCUUUUGUGCAUUGCCAAGGCAUCUAUUUGUUGUUGGGGAAAGAGGGCUCUUUGUUGGCCAUGUACCAGCCAGGAGUGCAUUCUGGUCUGGAAUUGUCGUGGCUUCUGUCACAAGCCAUCCUGGCCAGUUGCCAAACUUUAUAGUGUGUAGAUUCUCAUGGUCGUUUUUGUACAUUUGCAACUAAGGGAUACAAAAAGGAAAAAGAAAGAAAAAUCUUUCAUAACUACAUUUUCUCUUUAAUUUAUGUAGGCAUUUUCAUCCAGAAUGAUGUGAGGUUAAUUUUCUCAAUAUUAUAAGGCACCUUUUUUGGUCCUAAAAGUAUUGGAAUGUAAUUUGAAUGGUAUGUAUAGAAAAAUUGAAGCAAUUAAUAUAUUAAGGACUCUAAGAAACUCUCUGUUAGCACAGUGGAGAUAAAUAAUGCAAGCAAUUGCGUCAAGCACUGUGACACACAUAUGUGUUUCUACUUGAAAUUUAAAUGUUAUUGUAUUUUGAAACUUUAGAACAAUUGUUGUAUCUGCACUCUUUAUCAAUUCUACAUCAUCAGAUGCACACACAAUCUAAAAUAUAAAUGAAGGUUGUGGUUUGAAUAUUAAGUACACUCAGCUAGACCCCAAUUGUGUCAAAAGAAAAAGAAUAAUUAACAGUUAAACACACUAGAGUAACACUAUAUCAUAGCCAUGUUGGCUACUCAUAAAUUUCAAAAUUAUAAUAUGUUUGAAUAUAUAGUUUCUUUUAGUUGCAUGAACUGAAGCAAGAACAAGUAAAAUUAUUAUAAAAUAGCAUUGUUUUCUUCAAAUGUGAUUAAAACUUCGUGUUUAGCUAAAGUGGUUAUUUACAACUCAACAAACUCAACAUCAUUGCUCUGAUAUAAAAUUUACUGUAUAAUGAAAAAUAAUUUAUACAUAUACAUAUACCAUUUAAUUUUUUAUCACUGCAAAUAAAAAGAAAAAGAAAAUCUAUUAGUACAAAGUCUUAUAUUAAUUUGGUACAUUUGGGUUAGAGCUUUUACACAAAGAAUGUUUAAACUCAGGGUUUUCAUUGAUGGAAGAACUGAAGUGGCAUAUGUAUAUGCGUAUGAGUAUCUACGGUUUAUGAUAGAUAUACUAAGAAAUUGUAUUGUGGUUUUUUCCUUGAACAAAAAUGGCAUAAAAUUUUCUGUGUUUUAUUUUUAUGGGUAACCUCUUAUUUUAUUUGUGAACCUGGAGGGAAGUUGAGAAAAACAUGUAAUAAAAAUACUAAUAAUACAACAGACAAUAUGAUAAACAAAUCAUGCACAGGCCUCCACAUUUGCUAAUCAUUUGCUGAGAUUUGUGGAUUUACUGUGUAAAAUCCAAAUCAAAAACACUGCACUUGUGUCGAACAAACAAAACAUAAACAAUUUUAUUUUAUUUUAUAUUAUUUUAUUGAUUUUUUGGGCAACAUGGCUCAAUCAUGAAUAAAUUAUUAUUGCCCCAGUAGUAACUGAGCCUGUACAGAAGUUCUGAGAAUUUAACUUAGAUAUCAAAUUUCAAAUAAAUGUUUAUUUUUGUUUCUCAAACAUUAUUAUUUUUGAUAAGAUAUGUCCCACUUUAGGGGAAAAAAAAAAAAAAAAAAAGGAAUAAAAUAAAUCGUUUUUGACAUUUGUAGUGUCUGAAACUGAUGUUUACUGAAGCAUUUUGUGAAUGAGAUUCUCCAACAUUGGGUUGAAACCUUUGGAUUCAAUUAAAAAGAACUACUAAAAUUUCUUUGUAGCUGAGCUUCACCAGUAUAUAAUUACACUUAAUUUGUUUUGCUGCAUACAACCCAUGCUUUAAAGCAUGCCCACACAACAUGUGAGCAAUCAAUCUAUAGUUAACCAAUCUUUACAAAGCACAAGAAGAAAAACAAUCCACAUUAAUCAACACUGUGAAGUUGUUUGGAUGCAUGCAUUGCAACUCUGAAAGUUUUGAACCCAACUGCCUUGCAAUGAUGUACUCAAAGCACACACACAUCCAGUACUAAUGAUGACAGACACAAUUGGAAAGUUUUACAAAAGUUGGAAAGAUGUUUGUACAUCUCAUCCAACUCUCUGUCCUCAUUCAUAUGAAAGUCCCUUGCAGACACUAGUGUAGCAUGAGUUUGCAUUGGCCCUCUCUCUCACUCACUCAUGCAAACUUAUUGCAACCUCACAUCCAUUACCCUCAAUUGAAGCUAUGUACAAAAAUUGCUGACAUCCUUAGAUUUCUUUCUCCAUAUCUCUCUCUGUAAAUGUAUGUAUAUACGUGUAUACAUACAUACAUACAUACAGAAUGAUGUGGGCAUGAAAACACCAUUUGUGCACAUGUUGGGUGGUGGAGUGCUGUAGAAAGGGGGUGCAUCGAAGUGCUAACAGACCACGUUCACAGACACACACACCCACAAAAACUGUUUCCAUAAUGCCACAAGAGCUUCAUCGCCCAGGAACAACCCCCGUUGUUCUCACUCGACAGCCGAGCUGACAUGUCCUGCCAUGUCAUACCCUUGGACUCCUCAAACCCCCCCCCCCCAAUCCUGGCACAAGCGGGCAGCGGUCCACGGUCCACGGUCCAAGGGGAAGUAAAACAAAACAAAAGGAAGAGAACAAUACAUGCCCUAAAUAAAAUAAUGUAGGGGACUGGCAGGCGCGAGGAAGGGUAACUGGCAGGCGGGACCACGUGCGAGGCGUCGUAGGAUCAGAUGAGGAUUGCAAGAGGGUCAGUUUCAGCACCAUGUUGAUCUGUCAGAAAAGAGCCAAUUAAAACCUAGGGUUUGAUUCACGCUUGUGGGCUCGGGCCCCUGCUUGCCCAUGCUGGUCCCCUGUGGGUGUUUACACUCCCAGCCGCUCUGUGGAUUCUACGCAAGUUCCGCUCCCCAUCUCCGGAGUCAUGGCUAAAAGGUGCUGCGGAUCUGCUGAAUUGCUGGGCCAGGUAAGAUCCCGGCUUUCGUGGCUGCGGGGACUGAUGGCGCAUUGAAUUGAAUAAUUGCUGCUGCCCUCGCCGUGUCGUGAGAAAAGGACUAGAAUCCCCACCCACCACGAGAGAGGGGAGAGCUCCAACUUCAAUUAGAGUAAUGGGGGGAGGGAAAGACGACGGGCAGUCGUCGUGAAGGUAGGUGGGAUUGCUCCGGGUUUGUCCGCAGUUUGAGAUACACAAAAACUCUCCUUUUACAUGCUCCCCCAUGACGUGAAUUGAACCCCCCCACCACCGUGGUUGUGCCGCGUGUUUACCACUUUGUGUGGUGUUCAUGACGCAACUCUGGGUUCAGUCGAUUUUUUUUUUUUUUUUUUUUUUUGAUUUUUUUAUGUAAAAAUUGGUGUGACUUAGAAAGAGUGAAUUUCAUGUGUUGGUACAUGGGUUAAGAAACUCUUUUCAAAUCAAAAUCAAUGAUUAUUUACAUUCCUUUAAAACUUAAGCAAUCAAUCAAACUGCUUUACAAGAAGAAUUUUCGUUCAAUCUAAUGUCAUGUUUAGUAUUUCAUACACAAAGUUUUCCUUUUUACCAAUUUAACUGGCUGGUUGGUUGGUUGGCUUUUGUGUGCAAAGUUUCAUUGUUUCUGUCCAUUUCCACAAUGAAGCAUGCACUAAACUAUGAAACUUCAUUGUGGAAAUGGACAGAAUCCAUUUUACUUGGACAUAUCAAUAAACAUAUGUACACCAAGUUAUCCCUCUUUAUACACAGUCUCUCAAAUGUGGUGUAUGUAUUCAUUGUGAGAGUCAUGUGUUUGAUAUUUUGUUGCAACUCCUGAAAAAGACAAUAAAAUUGAUUCUAUAAGUAUCAUUAUUGUAAAUUAGACCAAUGCACGUUCAUUUACCUGGUUUUCCAGGGAUAAGAGAAGCACCCACAUUUGAAUUUAGUUUUACACUAGCUGUGAACAAUAUACAUUUUUUCAAGGGCUUAAUUAUCCAUAUUAUUCUUGUUUUUAUUUCUCCUCUCUUACUGUGUUCCACAAAAGGGGUCAUAUAGCAUAAGAUUCAAAUCCUGAUAUUUUUAAAACAAAUAGUCUGCUCACAGAAUGGUGCUCAACUUUUGACAUUUGUUAGAACUCUUUGUUUUGUGUUUGUUUAAUUCAUUGAAUUGUAAAGUAAUAUAUAUUUUUUACGAAAUAAAAAACAAUACCUAGUGUCAAUUGGAAGCUGUUUGAUUGACAUAGCUUUGAAGAAUUACAUUAAGUGUGCAUUGAGCUUGAAACUAGGUUUUUUGAUUACUUACCUUUACAAGAGAACAAGAGAAAAAUAAAAUAAAAAUAAGUAAAAUCACACACACACACACACACACGUCUCAGAUAGAGUUCUGAUGGUGGAAACCCACCUACAUAGCCAUGCACACCUCACAACAACUUCUUUAGAACAAUAUAUGAAUAAAUCAUCUAGUUGAUGUUUUUUCAAACACAAAAAAAAGAAAACAAAGUGAACGAGAAGUCUCGAAAUGUAGAGCCACGUAUUGCAAGCAUCGUGCAAGUCAUUGGCAAAACGAACUUUAAGGGGGACGCGUUCCCCAGGCAGCAUAGAGAAAAGAGAACUCAACGUCCGCCCCACUUGGAUCUGCAUCCGCCAGUCAUAGCGAACGACAUAUCCAUCCAUAACAUAUUCAUCCACAUCCACACGCCAUCCACAACGAAGAGAAUGAAAAGAAGAAUCUAGACAUGUAGGGGAUCCACCUACACCACGACCACAGGACAUUAUAGUCUUUUACGAGAUGCUCUAGGGGAGGAGAAGGAGAUGCUUCUAGACACCUUCCGCCGGGUGGAAUAUUUUAUGACACGUGGACGAGGUAGAACGCGCGGGAAGGGCGCUGGUGCUAUUCAGCUCGAUGUAAUAAAACGCCGGGAAAUAGCAACGGAGAAUGGCAAAAAUAGGGUUAAGAAGAGGGAGGGAUGUGCAGUUGAGGGUUUUCCUCGCGAGGGUUGCCCUAGUUAGUUCAAACUCACCGGAAAGUUGGCGAACACUGCAAACCCAGCUUUACAACUUGAAUCACGCGCAGGCUAUAAAUGGUGUAGAUUGUAGGAACCUUCAAGAUGGCUCCAACGAAGACCUUUUGGAAUGAGCCGCGACCCAGUUAUUAUAAGUUCGCUUCUCGUUGGGCUCGGCAGACGCAACUGCUGGGUGGCGAGGUCGAUGAGUUGGCUGGCGGAAGACUCCGGCUCGAAAAGUUGAAAGUGGAGACCCGAAAUUGGAGCGAGGAACGAUUUCGGUGGUUUGGGGUCACGAGAUCGAAAGACUAAUAAAAAACACUACACACCCACGGCCCCUGCGGAGUUCAUGGUCAAUAUUGGAGAACGGAUAAAUUGUGUGAUGAGUCGUGGGUCUCGAAGGUGGCAGGAUUCGAUUGUCGCGAAAGGCGCCUUUCUGACGCAGGAUUUGAUUGGCGAUAUGACCUGGGUGGCCAUCAUUUCCUGCUUGUAAGAUCUUUUUGUAGAAAGGCUAGAGGGCCUUUUCGGAGAGUAGGGGGAGCAACUGGUGCAUCAUCUGCCCAUGGGCUCCCCGAUAUUUUUGAAACUAGAUACCCCUUCCUGGUUCUGUUCUGGGGCUGAGGUGAAACUGUGGAAGCGUGGGGGUGGGAGGCAUCAUCGAACUUCGGGAGCCGCGGAAGAGUCUCGCUCCUCCGGGUCUGAGCUGAGGUAUCGCUGUUUUCUACUAUUCACGGUAGAGCCCAUUCGGAUCCCACAUAACCAUAUCCUUCACAGCAUGUAUGGGUAUAAUUGGCAGCUUCUUCACAUUUCGUCCUCACUGGAAAAUGAAAACAAAAUGACUAUCCUUUUGUUAUUUAAAGUUGUGGCCCUCAAAGUAAUAGUCAGCUGCUGAGCUUAGCUUCUGCUUCUGCAGUUGUUCCCUGUACGGUUUAAAAUAUGUGUUUCAAAGUUUUUGCUUGCCAUAAUAAGCAUACGAGUUUUGCGUUGAAAGUUGUGUAAAAUUGUAUGGCUCGGUUUGUGUGUUAUCCAGGUGUUGAUGAAUGAAUGUGCUUUUCUUGGAACCCAGUAUCAGAUUUUCAAGCGUUUGGGUCUUGGAUGCUCCCUGUCAUUCAAUCUUCAGAUUAUUACAAAAUAAAUAAAUAAAUAAAUAAAUAAAUAAAAUCGGGAAAACAAAAAAAAUAGAAAAAAAAAUACAAAACUUAGAAGGAAUGAUUGUUGCUUGAUUUGAUUGUAACCAGGGAAUGAUUCGUUCAUAUGAUAAUAUUCUCUUGAAGGGAACGAUACAGCAUGGAGAAUUUUGCACAGUGAAAUUAUUCUUAUAUUAGCAAGCACAGCCCUUUUAUCCAAUCUUAUUGAUCUUCCUAUGAUAGUUUGUGAUCACCAGUUUGCAGUACUUCUAAAAUUAAGAGUUUUACAUAAUGCAUACGUACAUACAUACAAAACAUAAAUAUAUAAUAUUUGCUUGUAAAUACCAAAUUGACAAAAUAAUUAAAAUGUGAAGUAUAUGCAGAAUUGGUUUAUUAUUCCAAGUCAUUUUUUGUUUAAAUGAGUUGACCUUUGGAAUUGUACAGAGGAAGGACAAAAAGUUGUGGAUCACAUCUCUAUUAGACCAUUUGUUGUACUAGUCCGUUGUCACUCUCUUAUAUGACCAUUUCUGAAAUAAGUAAUUAUUAAUACUAAUGAUAAUAAAUACAUACCUGACACAUUAUCUAUCCAUCCAUGAAUAUACAUGUUAUAUAUAUAUAUAUAUAUAUAUAUAUAUCAAUGUGCAUCAAAUAAUCCACACAACUACAUGGUUUACACACAAAUUAAGGACUGGUUGUCACUGAUCAUCCAUGUAACUUCAAGUUAGUUUAAUGUGCAAUAUUCAUGACUCUCCCUUCUUUCUGCAUUGCCAAAACUGAUCUUGAAUUUUACAAAAAACAUUGAUCAAAAAGACAUGUAUGAGUCCCAAAUUGUAGCUACACCAACUUGUUAAUGGACACACUAUGAAAUGUUUUUGUGGCAAUCAUGUUGAUGCCAAGCUCGUUGAGAACCCACUCUUUGUUUUCUGUAGCCUUUGGUAUGAUUCUGAGCUGCCCGUUGACUGCCCGUAAAAUUGGGGCUGUAGAAACCUUCAUUUACAGUGCAAUGGCAAGCCACUUCUGGGGCAGCAGUAAAGACUAUCUAAAGUUUACUGUGGACACAGUGUGGGAUCCCAGAUUCUAAUUUCAAGUCUAGAAUUAAUCAUCAGGAAGGGAGCAGUACAUGCUAGGAAACGCAAAAAUUAGUGGAUGCGCGAUCCAGACUAUUCUAGAUAGGAAUGCCAGGAUAUUUACAGUGAUGGACACCACAUAUAUGUCUCGUGUAUGAAAAGCAGGAUGCGAUAAAGUCAAAUUCUUUUUGCCUCACAAACACUCACAGGCUGAUUGUGGAGCAUGAUGCGAGGUCCGUAAGUUUGGACAUAUUUGCCCUGUGAUGUCACGCACUCCUUCUUAUCCCAAUCAUGUCCAAGGAUAUCUCCAAAUUUAAGCAUAAUCUUGACUCUGCGGGAUUCCAAUUCACCUAGAUCCUCGACAGUAUUACAGCUCCCUCAACCGCAUCAUCAUCAAUAAUAAAGUAGUGCAACAGGUGAAACGUCACUCUGCUCUCGUAAGCCCUACGGUGAUAGCAAAUACACGGGACCGAAUAAUCCAACAAGUUUGCAGCUGAGAAGAGAAAAGCAUCGUCAGCGUCGCGAUGCACUGAGGUGGGUUUCAUCCCAGGGUGAGCAUUCGUGGAGAUCAAUUCUUCACUGGUGGAGAGUGGUGGACAAGCGUAACCUAGUCUUGGCCAAUGUGGGGCCAAAAAGUUGAGAUGGUUGUAAAAGCAGUUGCAGCGCCAAAAAGUUGAGGCACUAGCAAACAGGACGCCCACAUGGCCGAGCCUGUAAAGGUUUCCCCGAUGGAUACAUUUGGUAUACUGGGUCCAACUCCCUCACAAGGCCUUUGUAGGAAUGAAUCCCACACUUCACUUUACUGGAAAAAUCCUCAUUCCUGAUGACCAAGAUGCAAAGCAGCUCCUGAUGGUAAGAGCUCAUUGAAAGUUGCCGUGCAAGGCUGGGGGUUCAGGAGCAGCAAGUUUUCAUCUCCUUUCCAACCGUUGAUUUGGUUGGAUAGGUUUUAGGUUUAGUUAUUGUGUGUAUCAUCUCUGCAAAAGGUGACUUUAACAUCUAACGCUACAGGUUUAUGAGUUGAUGUUUGACUGCUUGAAGAAUCAUUCAAGGAUUCAUCACUGAUAAAGUCGGGGUUGGGUACGGUUUUGCAAAAGUUCAUUUCGUGGCAGUAAUUAUUGACCCAAGUGAUGGCAAUGGUUCCAAAUAUUGAUCGAAAUCAGAUCUACAAACAGUUCAGAGAGAAAAAAACAAAACACCCUCAAAGAGACUAGGACUGAGAUACACGACAAAGUUCCUGAGUCUUGACAACCUAUCCAUGACAACUCCAAGCUUUGCAACCUCUGGUGAUUUAGAUACACUUCAAUUGUCCAUGCAAGCUACGGUGAGGUGAUUUUUAUGUACAGAAUUGAUGCUGUCAGGAAAUUUCAACAUGCACGUUGCUGUGCCUCUAUGCUACGAUUGUGGAUAAAACAUCAGAGUAGUAAUGAAUAUGCAUGCACUCCCACGUCAUCAUGAGUGAAUCCACUCUAUGCUGAUGAAUGAGAGCCAAAAACGAAGCUUUCUGAGUUUCAGGCUUGCAGAAGCAUGUAGUCCAUCUCUGACUGACAGGAUCAAAUGCUGUCAGAGGCGCACCACCCGCUUCAAUUCAACAUUCAGGCCCUACUCUGAAGACUCGGUCUAACAUCACUGACUAGACUUUGUAGUUCAUGAACAUCAAUUUCAGAUGACUACCAAAACCCCACUUCAAACAGGCAGUUGUAGCAUCACAGGCACCAGGGAGACUGGCAACACAACUCUGCCAAUUGACGAAGUCAUAUCUGCAAGCCCGAACUUUCCAAAUAUCCAAAUACUGGAGGUGUUUAACAUCAUUGUGAAACACUAUUAUGUAGCCAACCAAAGUCAACAUUCUGGUGACGCUGGUUUCAGCACUUGGCAAUUCUAAGUUCCGUUUCGUAUAACAUAUAUUUUCCAACGAAAGUGCCAUGGCAAUGGCAGCUUAAUCUCGUACAGCAAAGAACUAUCAUACAUGCUUGGAAAAGGCACAACUCGGAAGUUGAACACAUAGGUGCCAUGGCAGUGCCACUUCCAAAGUGCCCUUAAGUCUGAAUCAUGUGGAGAGACUUGAGCAACAGGGACAGAAGUGCUCCUGGCCAAUGCCAGGAAGGAGGAUUAAAUAAUAAGGUCUACGUAUUUUUAGUGGCAAUGGUCUCCCUUUGAUUACCAAGAGUUUUACCUUUAACGGAGUGUGGUCUUCGUUGACUUUGCCUGGUUCUACCAUCCCGACCAUCCGAUCUGUUUCCAUCUCUACGUUUUCCCACAGGAGGUAAUUGAGAUGAGGGAGAGAGGACCUUGUCUGGCCACGGUGUUUUCUUCGCGGGUACAACAACUUCGGGCGGCGAAUCCAAAUCCCAGCUGAACAUAUAUAGCCAUUUUGGUUAACUGUAAGAGUAAGAAUUCGAGGAAAAAUAAAAACACAAAUUUUGAAAAACUUAUAAGACUGAUACAGCGUCAGCAGGUGUCACCUCAACCAUACAAUCAGAAAAAAAAAUUAACUUCAAUUCCAACCUGACUUGACAGGUGAGUACUUCUGAUGCGUAUUAAUGCAAUUUUUUGCGUUGGUUUACAUCCAUUGGACGUUAUCACCACUAGAGAGAAUCAUAAUGUUGACAGAUAUGGUCUUGCCAAAUACAAAAAAGGUGAAGCUGCAGGUCAAAAACUAAAUAAAUGUGCUUAUACUCUCAGGUGAAACACGGCUCGCAAGAGAUUCUUCAAAACUUCGUGUCGAAGAACACUCAGAAUAGCACAUAUCAUUAAAAAUAAAGUCUUCGCUUACAGCAGUUCUGAACUCAAUUUUCCGAUUUUGAAGAAUUCUAGUAUCCAUAGAAAGCUCUCCUUCAUGGGAUUUAAGUCGUUGACAUGAUGCUAACAAUAAACGCCUGUAGGUUUCACGGUCAAAUACAUGGACAGAGAAAGUAAAAUGAAAAAACUCACCGAGAGGGAUACUUGCUAUCUGAAUGAGCUUCAAUUCGAGCCCACCAAACGAAUACUUCUUUAUCACUUCUACAAGGUCCAAGUGUCUCCACUUUAGCUUCAUCCCUCAAGAGAGAUCUCCAGUCAAUAUAUACACCUUCCUCUGCACAAGCCCACUUUAUCCAUUCCUGAAUCCAUUUCGGCCGGUCUGGGUCUGAUACCCACACUGCCCGGGCAUUCAAAACGAAACCUGCCCACACCAAAUUAGUUUCUUCAGCACUGUUUGUCUUCAUUAAUUCAUCAUCUAAAGAGAGUGAUCCAAUUGCAUGCCAGCCUGUUAUGUUCCCGAAAGAGUCACACGCAGGUCCCUGGACUUGCACUACGCCAUUCCUGAAAGCCAACAUUGCCUGGGGAGAUGCUACCACACGUCGACUGGGCACCCUGACGCCACUCUCGGUAAGAGAAUCCCUAUGUCUUGACAGAGCAGGAUCUUCAAAUCCGGCGUGCCCAAGAAUUCCAACUGGAACAGAACCCACCCAGCUAAUCUUCUGAAUCUCAUUAAAAAAUUGCAUACUGUACACGUUGCCGACGUCAGCAAACACAACAACGCCCUCCAAAUUCUGCUCUCGCACAUAUCUGCAGUUAAUGCAAGUGAAUGUGACAAGAAGAGGUCGAGCGGCUAGCUACUAAUUCUGUAGAAUAGUUUCACUAUAAGCAUGUGUCAUGCUGGAUCUACUGAGCUCCAUGAUCAAUAAAGAAGAAAAGGAGCCAAACAUUGCCACUAAGUUACGUUUCUGUCUCUAAUCUAAUAUCCAUAUUUCCAAAAAGAACAUGUUGACCUUUCUUAUUCUUUUCAACCAUCCCUGUUUAUUAUAACAUGCGAACUGUGGCUAUUGUAUGGCCCAAUUGUGUUCUCAUUGAAUCGGGUAUUGUUCAUAAGCUACUCAGGCAACAUGCACCAACGUCAUAGCGAGAAUUUCAGCAGACGAAAUUGAAGACCUACUAAGUUGAACUCGAAAAUCUUACCUCAAGCCUUCAACUCGAAGGUGAGAGUCCAGGAUCCUUCGAUCCUGUAAGCUCCGUGGCAAAUGCGCGGAAGCUCCCAAGUGCACCAACUUGUGUACCCUUGCUAGUUUCAACAGCUCUACAGUCUCCGCUGAUAUACCCCCUGCCUCAAUGACUAUCCAUGUUACAGGUCCCCGAACAAGUGACAACGUACACAUCAACCCUGUCAAAUCAUAUAAUCCAAGAGUCAAUUACGUGUCUCAUGAUCUGUCAGUUGACAAAAAAUCAGAGACUGCAGAACUCAGCUGGAUUACACCAUUAAUGCUCAUUCUGAGACCUCCUAGUACAUCAUGAAUAUUACACCAUUAUAAUUUAUUAUCCAACGUGGGUGCGAACUUCAAAACCUCUUGAUUGCUUAUACGUCACAGUUAUUUGUAAUAGUAAAACAUACCCAAGUGGAUAGAAGGUUAAGUGCAAAAAAAUGGAUCAAUACCUGCCAAAUGCAAACUCUGAAACGUACGAAGAUAAGUGGGAGUGAUUGCAAUAAUGGGCUUCCAACUUUUAAUUUCAUACAACCGAUGCUGUUCCAAUUGGACUCUGGCAAUCAUGUUGUACGCUUGAGCCAUUUCCAUUUGAUUUGGGUGUGGCCAUGGUCUUUUCAAAAUUGGAUGCCGGCCUACAUAUAAUCGUGAGCUAUUGCCCUCGGGUGCAUCUGUUGUAUUUUGACCCUUGAGUAAAAUCCCAUUGGCUACGUGAAAUUCCUCGAGAUAAAUCCGGCUAAACUGCCCAUAAGCCUCCUCCACGCGCAGCACACUGACGAGGUCAGCCUCACAAGAGAGUCGAAAGCCAAGGAUAGUAGCUGCAAUGCAGAAUGUGCAUUGCAUGAGAAUCCUAAAUACUGAGAUAGGUUUUGAACAAUGCGUAGCCUCUGUUAGCUUACCGCUAGUCAAGAAAUCGCUUUUCACCCAUGGGUCGCACUGAGUCCCACCUGGCCUCAUGUUUAUCUAACAGUUUUCAGUUCAAACCACAUGUCUCUGUGUAAACACUUACACAUACACCACCUGCAAUGCAGAGUACAAAACUUAGAAUAUAGCAGCAGUCACCAGAUAAAGAAUAGAUCCAAUGCCAGGUUCUGACUGGCCAAAUACCGAAAUCUUACACUCACAAUCCUUUCCCUCUGAUCCUGAAUGGUGUCAGGGGUCCAGGUUUCAGGUUUAAUCAUUCAGUAAGAAAAUUAGAAAAAAAUAAAAGUGCUUCAUACAAAUCCAAAUUUUAAAACAAGGCUGAAAUUAUGCAACAAAGUGCAGGACCGGAUCUACUCAGUAACCCAAGGCUGAAGUGCUAUAACUUUACAGCCUUUCUCUGUUUCUUCUCAGCCGAGUGGGGUUUUUGUAUCAUUCUAAAAGACAGCAAGACAUCUAUCUCGAGACAGUCUGGUCUCUACGAACAGGAAAAUCGGGACAACCACUCAGAACAGGCGAUCGAUCCUGCGAGAAAACACUUUACAAACAGGCACUGUUUGUACUGAGCUAUUCCAAUAGUCAUAACUUGUGAUCUCAACAUCAGCACCAGCUUAUCAACAUAAUAGUUUGCAUUUGAGGAAAUAGUAAUGAAAACCUGGCGCUCUUUCCCACUGUAUUGCAAACCAGGCACCCCAAAGCAGAGUAACUGCGAGUGUGUGCGUGGCCAUAAACGCGGACUCCGCACGGUUCAAGCCUUCUGUUCGGACUCUCCUUGUCCACAUUGAACCUCUUCUAUUAAAAUAACAAAUCAAUAACAUACACUUCCACGGCUAUGAUAUAUCAAAAAGGUUUGCACGAGACUUCCACAGCACAAUUCCAGUUCCAGUCAAUCACAAUACGCUGCACGCGGGGGAAUUUUAGGGCAAGACUAAGAACCCAGAACCCAGUUCCCACAAAAGACAAUCCAUGUGAGAUAUAUACGACGGAUCCACGAACAACAACACCUGAAAUACUAACCUGAACAGACAGCUCGCAUCAGCGGAAACCCACGAGCUCCCCUUCGAGUUCUGUCAUCGCUCGACGCGAUCCAUCCUGUGAUCACCACACUCCUACACUCGAUCUCCAGCUACCUCGAAACUCCAAGCUCCCUCCAUCUUGUCAUAAAUCCCCUCCAUGCUGCAAUGCGGCCAAAAACCAGCACAACGAUCCCCGUGCGACUUAGCCAUCGCCAAGGCUCACAAGACGCAUCUCUUUCACGGGUGGCAUCACCUCAACGGCAUGCGGUGGUGCGAGAUCUAGCACCAGGCUCUCUGCAACAACAACAACAACAACACUGCAUACCACUCCUACUCUGAUCAGGGAUAUACACAUCUCUCUCUCUCUCUCUCUCUAUGUUAAUGUCUGUAUAUGUGAGUGAGUGAGUGUGUGAAUAAAGAUAUAUACAUAUAUAUAUAUAUAUAUAUAUAUGAAUAAAUCAGUGGGUCUAGUGUGUCUAGGUGGGUUCUGCGCUCUUCCUCUUCCUCGUCCUCCUCGUCCUCCCUCUCUUCCCUUCUCUUCUCUUCAUUUCUCUUCUUUGCUUUGUCUUGCUUUGCGUGACUGCGUUGCUAUUAUUGGUUUUGAGAUGAUGUUAUUUUUAGGGCAUUAGUGAGUGAGUCCGGUUGGGCAUCGGUCCACAUGUCACGUGGUGGGCUCCGUGGAAAAGGACAAGGAAGAUCAAACUGGCGAGGUGGGGCUUUUGCAUAUAGUUUGACUGUCUGGGGUCAAUUCUAUUAUUCUCUCUAUCUUUGUAUGUACAAAUCUCUCUCUCGCUCUCCAUUUCUGUAUAUAUAUAUAUAUAUAUAUAUAUGUAUGCAUAUAUAUUUACAUAUGUAUAUGUUAAUGUUAGUCUUUGUCUAUCCACCGUGCUCUUGUUAUUGGUAUUAUUGCACACUUGUGAUUUUUCUAAUUUUGUUCAUAUUUGGAACUGCGUACACUGGCACUUGUGUAUUUAUAUGAGCAUUGUUUGUGAGAAUAGUAUUAAAGUGCUGAGAAUGGUUUCUUUGGAGGAUCUUGAUAUAGGUUCAUGUUACAUUCCUCAAGGUGUGGAAAUUCAUAGUUUUUUCAAAAACUUUAUUGAAUUAACACAUAUUUAUGUGUAUGUAUAUUCUUCAUUUGUAAAUGAUUAUCUCAAGUUAUAUAGUAACAUCAUAUCUCUGUUUAAAAUAAUGUUUAAGGGUAAGAAAAUCAUUUGAAUUCCAUUGGUUAUGAGAACGUUUUAGGUUUCAUGACCUAAUAAUGAUGUAUUUAAUUAUGCUACCAAUGAAAUUUGUAACGUAUUUUAAUCAUGAGAAUGUUUUGUAAACAUUAUUAACUUGUAAAAAAAUUUGUGCUCAUAAAGUAUACAAGAGGGUUUAAAUUAUAUCAUUCAGAUGCUCCCAAAAACAAUGUUUCUUUGUUUUUUUUGUUUUUUUGUUUUUUUGUUUUUUGUUUUUGUUUUUUUUAAUGUAAUAACAAUUAAAGAAUUAUUUAUUUAUUUAUUUAUUUAUUUUGAUUUCACUGAUUUGAUAAAGUAUAACUUUAAAGAAUAUAUUUUUAAAAUUUGUAAAACAAAAACCAUCUUGUUAAUAAGAUUAAUAUUUUUUUCAUAUUUUAAAAUCACAUAUCUUUGAUUUCAUUUUUUAAAUAUUACAAGCUAAGAUUAAAAAAAUUCAAAUUACAUAUGUAUUUGUAGUAAUAAUGCAAUUUCAAAAUUUGGAUAAUAGCAUUUCCAUUCAAAAUUAAAUCUGUAAAAUGUUAGUAUUGAAAUACAACUACAAUUAAAUACAAUGGACGUAUACAAAAAGAUGCCCAUUCUAUCAGUAAAAAUAAAAAUAAUAUUUGAAUACAUAAAAUUUGAUAUAAUUCUUUUCACUUUGCCAUUAUUGUAUUCACAACUUUUCUGACAAGAACUUAUUUUAUAAUUAUUUGUAUAUGUAUACACAUAUAUAAAUCAUACUUAUGGCAUUAAAGUGUGCUUGUAUGUAUAGAAUGUAGGCGCACAAAAAGAUCAAAUAAAUAAGACUUCAGAUUUUUUAAGGUACAAUUAAAUACAAAUACCAUAUUUUUGGGUAGGAAAACAGAAUCACAGUUUUAUGUUAAUCCCUCAAAACAUCGACGCUUAAACUGUGAGAUCUACUCUUAAAGCAUAUAAUCUAAAAAAGCGUUCGAGAAUUAUGUGUCUGAGAACGUCAAAGUUGGGUUUCCAUUCGAAUCAACAAACUUCAAAUUUCUUCAACCACCAUGUUAGAAACAAAUCCUGUUACAAUCACUGUUAUAAAUGCUGUAAAACGCUAUGGUCCAUAAAAACAACUCAUCACACGAAUUCACAAAGAACAGUACAAGCAUCUAUUUCAAUCCAAAGCAACAUUUUGAUGCCCACUUUUCCCCAUAGUACACACUCUGAUUCCAUUUGCAAAAGGAGACUCACCCUCUAGUAAUGUUGGAUGUAAUGAAACCGACAACGGAUAGUUCCUGUGCAGAGAGUAAAGCAAGUACUCACCGUCCAAGUCUGAAACAGUCUCCAUAUCCCAUGUCUGUGGCAAUUCAUUUGAAGAAUCGCUGUCACAGUUGAGCUGAUCUAUGCAGAAACCCAAGCAUCCGAGAUCGAUGCUGCACAGUCUCGGAGCAUCACCACAAAAAUCAUUAAGAUCUUAAUGCAGUUGUAACGAGACAUCAGUCUUCGAUACAUUCACGUCAUGGAGUUGAAGGAUCUUGCAGGAUGUGUCUUAGAUGUCGCCUGCGAGGUGGUGGUAUUAUGAGCCCCAGGUGAGAUAUUUACUUGGUGUUGCUAAGCGUGCUGGCUUUGAUGAUGCAGUGCCAGUGUAGUGUUAGGAUUUUUCCAGUGGGGGUACCAAAACCCCACCAGCUGUGUGCGUGCAGGGGCAGUAUCUAGGAUUGGGCCCCCCUCCAGCCAGGGUCUGUGCCAGGUCCAGCUGCAGCUGCUUUAACGGAAUCAGUGGGUGUUCGCGUGCGAGGCAGGGUCUAGAAUAAUGGUCUCUGGAUGCGAGGAAUUUGGGGUGUCUGUGUGCAGUUUGUGUACCGUUGCCCCUGUUGUUGUUUGUUACACGGAGUUGCAUGAACGGCAAUUGUGUGCAGGAAUCUUGCUUUUUUGGAAUGGCUGAGCUCAGGAGCUCGUGAGCGUGAUGGUAGCGAUAUUAAAUUUAGCCACGUGGGUGAGAUUGAGAAUGAAAUUCUUCACAUAUCUGAAUGUGAUACUCCUCCAACUUCUGAAUGUUGACCACGAAUUCACGGUGUUUUUUUUUAUUAUAAAUAUGUGUGAUGACUGUUUUUGAUUCCUUCGCCUCCAGUUUUGGCAUGCAAUCCACUCUCGCUUGAAUUCUCGACGUAAUGCCUCUGGAUACACAACCAAGCCCCUGUGCUGCAUUUUAAUUGAUACAGUGUUUCUUCAUUAGGUUGUCCUCGAGUCGUUAACAUUAAAAAAUGAUAAGAAAACGGGUCUACUCUUCGGAUAAAAAUAUCUGCAACCGAGUAAGCAUAUUCUUAAAGUGACCUUGUGUGUAGUAACUUGAUCUAUGUGUUGGUGAUACCCAACCUGAGCCCCAUUCUUUGCUGACGUCAUCUUGUCAAGUUAAGGUAAAUCCACAAUAAUCUUUUACUGUGCAUAUGUAAUCCUAAUUGUAUAAACAUAAUUGGAAGUUGAAGAUGUCCACGAUCUUGAAGAAAAAAAACUUAUGAGGCACAGUAGAAGCAAAGAGACAAGUCUUAUUGUUCCUUGUGACUAUAGUAGGUAGAUCUUACACUAAGACACAACUAGCAUAAGCAAAACAAAGAGCUCAAUUUGGACGCACCAUGUUGGUUGUAGAUAACUUGAUUGAAAAAUUGUUCCAACACAAUGAUUCAUAAAAAAUGUUUAAGAAAAUGUUCAAUGCAUGAGAUUAAUAGCAGAUUAUAUUAUUGACAAGCAAGUUGAAUAGAAUGACAAUAAAAGAGAAAAGUGUCAUUAAAUUUUAUCCCAAGUAAGUGAUGAAUAUAAAGAACUAAUUGAAGGCUUUUGACAAAACCAUUGCAAACAAGACAUUCAUAAAUAUUGUAUUCAAUGGACUCCUGUAAAGUUAUAAGAUGGUAAUCUAAAGCAUCACCUACAUGAUACAAUCUACAUUUGAAGUUGGUAGAGAUAAGCUCUUAAUGGAAACUCAUUGAAUGGCACCAAGAGAACAAAAGGUGGAAUAAGAGGAGGCAUUAGCAAUACAUCUUCAACACACUUAUUUUAGAGAAAAUUGUUGUAUUAUGUGAAGUCUUGCUUAAAAAUGCACUAGGUACUUGGUUAUAGAAGGUAAAAUAAAAAUUGCAACAAUAAGAUCCUAAAAGCUCUAAUAGAAACAUAAAGAGAACAUAAAUAAUUCUAUAAAAAUCCUAAAAAUAUAAUAAAAAAUAUAAAUAAUUAUCAAAAAAUAAAUCCCCCCAAAAAAUAAAAACAAAAAUCAUAAGUAAAUUCUAAGUAAAUCUUAGAUAAAUCAUAGCUAAAUUUUAAUCAAAUUCUAAUCAAAUUCUAAUCAAGUCCUAAAUCUUAAAAUAAACCUUAAUAACAUUCUAAAUUCUAAAUCAAAGCUUAAUCAAAUUCCAAAUCCUAAAUCAUAUUCUAAUCAAAUCGUAAAUUAUAAACCAAAUCCUAAUCAAAUCCUAAAUCUUAAAUUGAAUCUUAAUAAAAUCCUAAUAAAAUCUUAAAUCUGAAAUAAAUUCUUAUUCAAUCCUAUAACAAAUUGAAAUAUCAAUAAUUAAUAAAUUAAUAUAAUUUGAUUUUUAAAAUUAUAGGCAUUAUUGACAAAUUAUAGGAUUAUUGACAAAUAAUUACAAAUGAUUGUCUUAAUAGAAAAAUAAUGUUUAAUAUUUGAUGAUGAAUACAAAAAAAAAAGCAAUAGCUACAAGAACAAGGAAUAGAAAAAAUGGAUUCUAUUAUUUUUACAACAAAAGAAAAGAUUUUGAAAUCAAUUCAAUUAAUAUAGAAAAAAAAAUAUAAUUGUGAUAAAAGAUAUGAUCACAUAUAUUAUGUCAACUUAUAAUAUUUUUCACAAACUAAUUAGAUACAAAAAAUACCACAAUUCAAUACAAUUUGAAAAACUUGCAAAGAUUUUUUAACAAGGCAAUAGUAUUAGAAGCAAUUUUCUAAAGCUUCAUUUCAUUAUGAUAAAAAGAUACUUCCACUUAUUUACUUUAAUUUAAUAGGAUCUAUAAAUAUACUAUUCUUAGAAGGCUCAAAAUACUUUGUUAUUUUUACAAAAAUUAGAUCUAUUUGAUGCAAAAUAAAACUAAAAUCUUUAGAAAAUUUUGAGAAUAUAAAGCAAAAGAAAAGAAAGAAACCAAAAAAAAAAAAUAUGCAGCUUAAGAAAAAAUAGAUAUAAAAAAUAUUAGUACCAAAAAAAGAAUUUAAAAAAUAAAAAUAAAUAUUUUUUUUAAAAAAAAAAUGAUAAAAAAAUAUAUAUUAAAAAAAAUUAUAAUAGCUAUUACUAAAAGACAAAAAAACUAGAGACUCUUGAAACUAGAAUGGAAGCAAGAAAUAAGUUGAGAAGAGUGGAGAAGGCCUCACUCUUUUGUCUACAUAUACUAUCUAAAUAAGAAUUAUGUGGUGACAUUUUAUAGGACCUCGAAUACAUGUCCAACUUAUAAAACUUGUGUCUAACUUACAAGAUAAGUUUUUUUUAUAUGUAUGCCACAUGUUCAACUCAUAUCACAAGUCAUUAAUAUAUACAACAUGUGCUCAAUUUUUUAGCCAAGUUUUCAACCUAUUAAUUAUCUAUAGAUAUGUAUAAAGAUAAAUUCUUAUCUAUAAAGCUUUUAAGAAGCUUUUCUAUAAGACAUUAUUAAAUUUAUCUACUUUUAUAUAUUUUUAGAAUUAUCUUUAUAUAGGAUUAGAUCAUCAUUGGAGUAAGUAUGAAUGUAUAUAAUAACUAGGUAUGUAAAUUCAAAAAAUUCUUAAUUAACUACAAAAUAAGAAGAUAACUUAUCAUGGCUUAUAUUCCACAAUAUAAUAGAAUAAAUAAGUAUUGAAAUAGAAUACUAGUACAAAAAAGAUGUUUGAUGUCAAUUAUUUGUAAAUUUUCUGAUUAUAUAUGAAUUGAGACCAUCCAUAUAUUUAACUAUUUAGUCAAUGUGAGUCCCAUUAGAGCUAAUUGUGGUAUAAUUCUAAAAUAACUUUACAAAAAAAUAAAACCAAAUAUAGACUACUUAUGAAUCAUUGAAUCAAUUACUUAUCUGUUCAUUAAAAAAAAAGCUAUUUAAAAUUUAAAAAUAAAAAUAUUAGGUGUAUAUUCUUAAAAUACAAUGAUGAAAUAAAAGCUUCUAAAGUUUUUGAUCUUUUUUAUUAUAAUAAAUAAAUAAAUUUUGACAUUAUAUUUGAUAAAAUAUUAAUUAAGUUUGAUCAUGUUGUCAUAUAGUAAUACAACUAUUUGGUGAAAGAAAAAAAAAAUUAUAUUAUAGGGGACCUUAAAUGAAAGUACUUUAACAAAUUAUCUUAGAAAUAUAGAUGAUAGACAAGGAGGUAGUAAAAAUUAAUAAAUACUAAUGCUAUCUUCUUAAAGAAGUAACUUCUAUUUGAUUUAUAGGAAUAUAAAUAAAUAAAAUUAAAAUCAAUGAGAUAAAUAAUAAUAUAGGUAUUUUUAGGAUGAAAUUAAAAAUAUUUUUUAGCAAAAAAUACCUCAAAGUCUAAAAAAUUGAUAUCCAAAGAGGACCAAUUAUGAAGUAAGAUGAAAAUCAAACCUUAAGGCACAAAAUCACGCAUCUAUGGCAACUCUGGAAUUCUUUGGUUGAUUGAAGAGUUGAGUUUGAAAGCAGACUUAUGAGAGGAUUUUUAAGAGUUGAUUUUAUGUCAUUUGAAGGCAUAUUGAGGAUUUUUUAAAAAAUAAGAGAUAUAUUUAAUGGAAUUGAAUUUUAAAAAAUAAAAAAUAAAAUAUAAUUUUGAGGAUUUUGUGAGUGUUAUAGCAUAUUUACAAGUGAAAGCUUAUCAGUCUAUAAUUAUGUAUAUUUUAAAUAUGUUUGAAAAAUUUGAUAUUAAUCAACUAGUUAGAUUGAUGGUUAUGAGAGUUUUUACGGAUUAUGGUCUUAGAUAAUUGAAAUUUAGGAUCAAUGAGGAUUUUUCGCAAUCUUGCAAUAUCCAUCAAUUUGAUUAAAGUAAAAUUUAGAAUUAGAAAUCUACACACCAACUAAUUUUUUAACAAUUUAAUGGUUCAGCAAGGAAAAAAUAUUAUUGGAAGAUCAACAAUCAAGUUAGAAAAAGAAUGUGGCCAACAUCUGAAAGAUUUUGGGAGCUUUUUUUUCAAUUGAUAAAUUUAAUUCUCUUCAAAUUUUGUAUGCUUGUUAAUUACUUAUGGAUUGAAAUAUAAGUAAAAUUUUAAUUAAGAUCAAAUUUUGAGUUAAUAUUUAUUGAGGUUUUAAAAUGACUUUAAGAAAUAAUUAAGAUUUAUUUAGGAUUUUCUUUAGAUUAUUUAAGAUUUGUUUAGAAUUUGGUUUAAGAUUUAAUUAAGAUUUGGUUUAGAAAUUGGAUAGGAUUUGAUUAGAAUUUGGUCUAGAAUUUAGUUAAGAUUUGGUUAAGAUUUUAUUAGGAUUCAUUGAAAUUUAGUCUAAGAUUUGAUUAGAAUUCAAUUAGGAUUUUAUUAAGAUUUGGUCUAGGAUUUGAUUAGGAUUUCACUAAGAUUUGAUUAGAAUUUAAGAUUUGAUUAGGAUUUGAUUAAGAUUUGAUUUAGAAUUUGAUUAAAAUUUAAGAUUUGAUUAAAAUUUAAUUAGAAUUUGGUCUAGGAUUUGGUUAGAGCUUUAUUAGGAUUUGAUUAGGACUAAAUUAAUAUUUGAUUAGGAUUUACGUAGGAUUUAUUUAAAAUUUAUUUAAAAUAUCUAUUUUAGUAUUUUAAAAAGAUUAUAUACUAUUUUUUAAAUAUUUUUUAUUUUUAUUAUUUUAAAAAGAUUAUUAUUUUUUCUUUAAGAUUUUUAUUUUAUAUAUUUUAAUUUUAAUUUUAAUUUUUUUUGAGAUUAAUAUAUGAAUUUUUUAUGUUUUUUUGUAAUUUCUUAUGGAUUUCUUUUGGAUUGACUAAAGUUUCAUUAAGAUAGUUAAAGAUUACUUAGAGUUUAUUUAAGAUUCUAUUAGACUAAUAUGAUCUUAUUGUUGUAUUUUCUAUUUACUUUCUAUAAUUAGAUACCUGAUGUAUUUUCAAGCAAGAAUUCACAUCAUACAAUAAUGUAAAACACCAUUCAACUCCAAAAAGUGAAUAUAAAUUAUUUCCAAAAGUUGAUAUAUUAUUUGAGAGCUCAUCCAAUAUUACUAAUCUAUUGAUAAAUGAUCAAGCUUCAAUACUUGAGUACUUUAAAAAUGGAAAAGAUAAUGGCCCGUAUACCUCUCUAUCAACAUAAAUAAGUGAAUCUCUUUCUUUAUGUUCCAAGAGAUAUACUUAGAUACACAUUCCACAAAAUACCACCAAACCUAGCUGAUCAACAAAGGUAUCUCAUUAAAGACAAAAAAUAAAACACUAAAUACAAGUAUAACUAUAUGCUUAUCUUAGAACCAGAUGUUAAGCUAAGAAAUUAUCAAAAGGUAGUUUAAUAUAUUAGAUGGCAAGAAAUAAUAAAAAAAGAAGUAAAAUACAUAUGAAAAAAAUACAUAAAAAUUAAUAGACUUAUUAAAAAAAAACCAUAAUAUCAAAAAAAAUUAAAUCUAAUUUUUUUGCUUUAGGAUACAUACAAGAGGAGGGCAUUCGUUUCUUCAAGACCUUUAUACAUGUAGUUAGAUGGUCUACAAUUAAAUGCAUCAUAGUAUUAAUAUCUAAAAAGUAAUAAAAAUUACAAAAUCUAGAUAUAAUAAUGAUAUUUUUUAAUGAAAGUUUUGAAGAUAAGGACUAUAUGAUAUUAUUCUCAAGAUUCAAAAAAAUGGAGAAUCAAAGGAAGUUUUGUAAGCUAAAAAGAGCCUAAUAUGACUUAUAACAAGCUUCUAGAAUUUGAUAUAAUAGAAUAGAUACUUAUUUUUGAGAUCAAAAUCUUUAAAAGAAUAUUAAGGAUCCAAAUAUGAAGGAAGGACAAAAACUCAAAGAAUAUAAAUAAAUAAGUGAGAUAUUUUUCAAAAAAAGAUAAAAAAAGAAAAAAAAGUAUAUAUAAAUUUUCAAAAAAAAAACUUGAAUGGUCAUUUUUAAAGACUAAGAAACUAAAGACACUUGAAAUUAAAUGAGAAGCAAGAAAAGAGUUAAAAAGAGUACAAAAGGCUUUACUUUUACAUCUAUAUAUACCAUCUAAUUAAGAGCUAUGUAAUGAUGUUCUAUAAGACAUCUAAUAUGUGUCCAAUUUGUAAGAUACAUGUUUAGUUUGUAAGACCAAUUUCUUAAAUGUGUGCCAUAUGUCUAACUUGUACCAAAAGUGACCAACUUGUUAGCCAAGUUUUCAACCUAUUAAAUAUCUAUAGAUAUGUAUAAAGACAAAGUUGCAUCUAUAAAGCUUCAAAGAAGCUUAUAUACAAGAUAUUAUCAAAUUUAUCUAUUUUUAUUUAUUUAUAUAUUUUCAUAUUAUUUAAAUCAUUAUUAAAAUAAAUAUAUAUGUCCAUGAUAAUAUAUAUUUUAUAGUAUAUAAUAGACAAUACACCAUAAUAUUGCUCUUUAUAGAUAAUAUUAUUAUAAUAAAUAAUAAUAUAAUCUAUAUUAAAAAAUUCAAAGAAAAACUAAUAAAUACGUUUGAAAUGGUAAAACUUGGGAAUUCAUAAUUAUAUAUAAAAAUUGAGUUAAAAUACAUCAACAAAAGUAUCUACUUCUACCAAAGAUGUUACAUUCAAGUUCUAUUAUAUAAAUUUGAAUUGAUUUAUUAUAAACUGCCAUUUAUAUUAAUGAAUCUAAAAACAAAAUUUUAGUAUAAAAUUAGAAUAUCUAUAAUGCAUCUAAAAUUAUAUCAAAUCCUUAUUAAAAGAUUAUUAUAUGCAAUUAUUGUCAAAGACAUGAAUCUCAAAAAAAAAAAUCCUCAAUAUAAUCUUGUGUCACUUGAAAAGACUAAGAAAUUAUUUAAAGAUGGUAAUAUAUUAAACUAAAAUGGCUAUUAUUAAAGACAAGAAGACUAAAAAUUCUUAAAACCAAACUAAAGAUUAGAAAGGCAUUGACAAAAAUAAAAAAGACUUUAUUAUUUUUUUUUUCUAUAUAUACUCUCUAAUUAGGAGCUUUGUGGCAAUAUGCUAUAGGACCUCCAAUACAUAUUAACUUUACUGAAUACAUGUCUUAAAUUGUAAAAUAAAUUAUCUAUAUGUUGACCACAUAGUUAACUUAUUCUAUAACCUAUUAACAUGUGUGAUACAUGGCUAACUUAUUGACUAAGUUUUUAACCUAUCAAUUAACUACAAACAAAUGUAAAGUCAAAGCAAUAUCUAUGAAGCUUCUAAAAAGCUUUUUAAUAAGAUCUUAUGAAAUUAAUCUACUUUUAUUUACUUCUAUUUAAUUAUAUAGGUAAUUAUUGAAAUAAAUAUGUAAGUUUGUUGUCAUGAUGUACUUAAUUUAAGUGCAAUAAAGUUAUUUGGAGGAUAACUAAUUAAAUUGGUAGGAGAGAGGGAACAUAAUUCUAAUUUAUUUACAAAUUUGAAUAGAUUUAGAAUAAGAGGUUGUUGGCUUGAAUGAAUUAUUUGAGCUUGAGCUUGAGUUUUUUUUUUUUUUUUUUUUUUUUUUUUUUUUGCUGGAAUUUUCAAGAAGAGAGAUUCAACACUAGUGUGAGUUUUUUUAUGCCACUUUCUAUAUUUUUAUCUUUUUAUCUUUUUAUGUUGAUAUUUGAAGGAAAUUUAGAUCUAAUUGUAAGAUUUCCAACAAGCUAUAGCAUGCAAGAAAUAGAGCUAUAAAGAGGGAGAUUCAAGCAAAUUUAUAAGAAGAGAUUCCUAGAAUUUUUGUGCAACAAAUUUUUAGAGUGAUUUGGAAUUUUCUAUGCCAUUUAUUAGAUUAUUUUAUUUUAUUUUAUUUUAUUUUUAAAUUUUCAAUGAGCUAAACUUUGCCUUGAUUGAAUUAAUAAUUAGUGAAAUAUAAAUAUUUUAAUAAAAGAGAGUUUUGAUUUGAAAUUAGAAUUAGAAUUGAAUGCAUGCUUAGAAAAUAAAGAAAUUAAUCUAUAAAUUGUACCUAAUCUUUGAGAUGCCCUUUAUAUUUGAUUUCAUUUGAUAGAACAUUGUGUUUUUUUGUAAUCAAUUUGUGAUUAAGAACCCCGUGUUCUCUUAAGGAGGCUUGCAUUCUUGACAAAAAUUUAGUGCUUCCAUUGAAAUCAUCAUCAGGGCAAUUGAGAGUACAAGUAGAACAUGAUGGAGUAUCACGGACAUAAUCAUGUAAGCUAGUAAUUACAUAUACAAAUAGGUAGAAGUAAGUAAAAGUAGAUAAAAGUAAGUUAAUUCUAUAAUAUUUAAUAUGGAAGCUUCUUAGAAGUUUCAUAGACGCUGCUUUGACUUCAUAGGUGUCUUUAAUUGACUUUUUGGAUUAGAAACGUGGUCAACAAGUUGGCCAUGUGCCACACAUGUUGUUAGGUUGAAGACCAAGCUAACUAUGUGGCCUACACGUAGAAAAACUUGCCUUGUAAGUCAAAGCAUGUGUCCUACAAAGUCAACACAUAUUGGAGGUCCUAUAGAACUUUGCCACAUAGCACCUAGUUAGAUAGUAUAUAUAGAGACAAGAGUGAAGCCUUCUUCACUCUUAUCAACUCCUUUCUUGCUUCUAGUCUAAUUUUAAGGGACUCUAGUUUUCUUAUCUUUUGGCAAUAGCCAUUCCAGUUUUUCUUUCAAUAUACAUACUUGUUUAUUUAUAUUUUGUUACCUUUCUUUGAGUGAAGACUCACUUGUUUGAAUUGCUUUUUCAUUGAGUUCUUGUCCUUGACAGAGUGACAAGAGUACACCUACAAUAUUAAAGCUUUGUCUAAUCUUGGUCAAGAGUGGAUUACCCCCUUUUUUUUUAUAAGAUAUAAGUAUAUUAGAAGUUGCGGAUUACCCUCUUCUAAACUGAUAUUGUCCUUAGUAUUUUCUUUGUUCUCAAGUCCUCUCUUCUAUUUGUCUUGAGCGAUAUUAGACAUCUUCUCUCUUCUAAGUGUUAUCAUGGCAAAACUUCUUGAAAUGAAGAGUACAAUAGCACAAAUACAAGAACAAUUGAGGGAAUUAAUGCUUGCGAUGCAUCAACUCAAUUUACCACCACAAGGAGCAAUAAGAUUGGCAAGAGGCGAAGAUAUAGAAAUGAUUGGAGCUGCUUCAACAUCUGCACCAAAUCAUAUCCUUUCUCCUAUAGUGGAAUGCCCUUCAAAUGUUAGAGAACCAAGAAUUGCCCUACCCGAGAAGUUUGAUGACACCAGAUCCAAGUUUCAAGGAUUUAUCAAUCAAGUGCAACUUGUGAUUGAACUUCAACCCCAAAGCUAUUCAACUCCAGGAUCGCAAGUUAGAUUCAUUGGUACGCUUCUUUCAGGUUCAGUACUAUCGUGGUUUUCAUCUUUUCUUGAAUGACAAGAUCUAAUAUUGGAUAAUCUAGAGGCUUUUUUGGCGGAGUUUCGAUCCAUGUAUGGAGAACAUGAUGCAAUUUGUGUUGCAACGAGUAAGAUCCAUAUUUUACGACAAGGCAAUCGAUCAGUAAUGUUAUAUGCUUCACAAUUUUGAUAACUUACAAGUGAUAUCAAGUGGGAUGAUGCUGCACUUAUUAGUCAAUUUUUCUACGGAUUACAAUAUGAGGUAAAAAAAUUAAUGCUCAACUUACCUGAUCCUCAAACAUUGAGUCAAGCAAUUGAUUUUGCUGUGAACUGCGACAAUCGCCUUUUUGAAUUCCGAUCUGAGAACCGUACAAGUGGACCUCAACGUUACUAUAAUUCAAUGGCAACACCAACACCUCUUCAACACAUACAUUCGGAAGUAGAGGAUAUGCAAAUUGAUGCAGUACGUUUCAAACCUCUUAUUAAGUAAGAAAAAACUCGUCGUCAUCAAGAAGGAUUAUGUUUAUAUUGUAGAGAACCAAAGCAUAUUGCUCAAUAUUGUUCAAAGAAAUGACGCAAUCACAAAAUAAAGAGUAUGGCUGUGAAAAAAGACAAUACGUCGGAAAACGAGUUUGUCCAGCUACAAUAGGAACCGUGUGACUGGAACCGUGCACAACAUCUAGUAAAGGUCCUAUUCUCUCCUCAGAGCCCUCUCUUUGUUUUACAUUAAAUAUUAUUUUAAGACCUAAACAUUACAAAGUCUCUGCCUUAUUAGAUUCAAGAGCCUCAGCAUGUUUUUUAGAUGAAGAAUUUACUAAAAGACAUAGCAUAUCUUUAUUAAAGAAAACUAAACCUGUUCAUGUAGAAGUCAUAGAUAGUCAUCCAUUGUCUUCUGGAGAUAUUACUCACAAAAACCUUUCUAUAGAAGUAAUAAUCAAUGGUCAUAAUAGUUUUGUAGUAUUUAAUAUCAUUAGAUCUCCCUCUAAUCCAGUCAUUUUAGGUUUAUCGUGGUUAGAAAAAUAUAACCCUUAAAUAGAUUGGAUUUUCCAAACUCUUACUUUCUCUAAGAGUAUAACUAACAGUGUAGUUAAUCAAGUAGAGAGUCAUAAGUCCAGUUCAAUUAAACCUGUAUUUAUAGGUGCAAUAGCUUUCUUGCAUGCUGCUAUGAAAAAAUCACCAUAUAUUAUUUAUGCCACACCCGUUUCUACUGGUGAAAAGACUUCAAGUGGCAUUCCAAGCCAAUAUCAAGAAUUUCAAGAUGUAUUUGAAAAAAAGAAUGCGGAUACACUCCCAGAACAUCGUCCCUAUGAUUGCUUAUUUGACCUUCAAGAAGGAGCACAACCGCCAUUCAGACCAAUCUACAAUUUAUCACAAAAUGGGUUGGCUGAACUCAAGGAGUAUAUUGAAGAAAAUCUAACCAAGAAUUUCAUAUGCCAUUCUAAAUCUCCGACAGGAGUUCCAAUUCUAUUUGUGAAGAAAAAAGAUGGAUCAUUGCGGAUGUGUGUUGAUUAUCGAGGACUCAACAAGAUUAUCAUAAAGAACAGGUAUCCACUACCUUUAAUAUCUGGACUUCUUGAUCAGUUGAAUCAAGCUAAGAUCUAUACAAAAAUAGAUCUUUGGGGAGCAUAAAAUCUAGUACGCAUCAAAGAAGGAGAUGAAUAGAAGACUGCGUUUCGAACUAGGUAUGGAUAUUUUGAAUACAAUGUCAUGCUUUUUGGACUUACAAAUGCACCAGCAGCUUUUCAACAUCUAAUGAAUGAUGUUUUUUGAGAGUUUGUGGAUGAUUUUGUGGUCUAUUAUCUAGACAACAUCUUGAUCUAUUCUAAGAAUCCAGAAGAACAUGAACUUCAUGUUCGUUGUGUGUUACAAAAAUUAAGAGAUGUAGGACUCUAUGUCAAGAUAGAAAAGUAUGUAUUCCACACUACUCAAGUCGAUUUCUUAGGUUACAUCAUUUCAAAUGAUGGACUUAUGAUGGAUCCUAAGAAAGUUCAAACUAUUAUAGACUGGAAGAUCCCAAAAACGGUAAGAGAUGUCCAAUGUUUUUUGGGAUUUGCCAACUACUAUCGGAUCUUCAUCAAAGACUUCUCUCAAGUUGCAGCUCCACUUACACAUUUGACUUGUAAAGACAAACUCCAAUGGAAUCAAGAAGCGGAAGUUGUUUUUGAAUCUUUCAAGACAGCGUUUGUUUCUGCACCAAUCUUGUAUCGUGUUGAUUUUUCCAAAGCAUUCUUUAUGGAAACAGAUGCAUCAGACUUUGCUCUGGGUGCGGUUUUAUUACAAAUGGGAACAGAUGACAAACUUCAUCCAAUAGCCUUUCAUUCAAGAAAAUUCUCAGCAGCAGAAAUCAAUUAUGAGAUCCACGACAAAGAACUUCUUGUAAUUGUGGAUUCUUUUCAAGAAUGGCAUCAUUAUCUAGAAGGCGCUUCCAGUCCAGUCACCGUGUAUACGGAUCACAAGAACCUCAAAUAUUUUAUGUCAACACGUGUAUUAAAUCGUCACCAAGCUCGUUGGAGCAUGUCUUUAUCAAAAUUCGAGUUCAUCAUCACUUAUCGGCCAGGAAAACAACAAGGUUUGUCUGAUGCCUUGUCUAGAUGUUCUUAUCUUGCACCAAAAGAAGGAGAUGCAGCUUUUGAGCAACAAAGAACGGUUCUCUUGAAGCCAGAGCAAUUUCAUCUUUGAGCAAUAAAAUCAACAUUGACUGAUGAUUUAACUUUUCUUAAUUAAGUCCAAUUAAGUAUGUCUUUAGACCCUCUUGUUCAUGAUAUCAAGAAUAAUUCUUCUAAAUCUCAUGAUCCCUCUAAAUUUGAAUUCAAGAACAAUCUACUCUAUUUUGAAAGACGUCUAUAUGUUCCAAAAGGAGAAGCACGUUUACGUGUUCUUCAAGCUCAUCAUGACUUCCCAACAGCAGGACAUUUUGGAUAUAAUAAGACUUUGGAGCUGAUAUCUAGGGAUUUUUUGUGGCCUCAAAUGUGGAAGGCAAUUAAAGACUUUGUACAAUCAUGUGAUAUUUACUCAAGAUCAAAAACUCCUCGUUAUUGAUCUUUUGGACUUCUUCAGCCAUUACCCAUUCUAGAACAACCAUGAUCUUCUGUUUCUAUGGACUUCAUUAUGGAUCUUCCAAUCUUAGGUUCUUAUGACUCUAUAUUCGUGAUAGUAGAUCGUUUUACCAAGAUGGCACAUUUUGUACCAUGUACAAAAUCUAUCAGAGGUGAAGAAACAGCUAAACUCUUUCUUGACAAUAUCUAUCGCUAUCAUGGAUUACCCAAGGAUAUUAUAUCAGAUAAGGGAACUCAAUUUGUAUCAAGAUUUUGGCAGACUCUUUUCAAGAUUCUUAAAGUGGAUAUAAAACUAUCUUCGGCAUUCCAUCCUCAAACUGAUAGACAAACGGAGUGUGUUAAUCAAGUUUUGGAGUAAUAUUUAAGAUGUACCAUUAAUUACCAACAAGAUGAUUGGACAACUCUUUUGCCAUUGGCAGAGUUUGCUUACAAUAAUACGGUACAUUCUUCUACAAAAUAAACACCUUUCUUUGUUAAUUAUGGUUAUCAUCUACGACUUGAUACUUUUGACUUUUCAAAAGUUGAUAAUCCUGCUACGAAAGAUUUAGAAAUUCAUUUAUCAGAGCUACAUGCAACGAUGAAGGCGCAGUUUAAAGAGGCUCAAGAACAACAAAAGGUCAAUGCGGAUGUCUAUCAAAAGGAACAACCAUCAUUCGUCUUGGGUGAUAAGAUAUGGCUACUUCUUCGUAAUAUGAAGACCACUCAUUCUUGUGACAAGUUGGACUAUCGAAGGCUAGGACCAUUUUCUAUUUCUGCACAAAUCAAUCCAGUUGCAUAUCGUUUACAUCUACCAGAGUCAAUGAAAAUCCAUCCAGUAUUCCAUGUGUCUCUUCUUGAACCAUACAAGACAGUGGACAUACCAAGAAAAUGACAAGCUUCACCUCCUCCUAUAGAAGUGGACAAUAAUGAAGAGUUUGAAGUAGAAGAAGUCUUAGAUUCAAGGCGGCGUGGAAAUAAAUUAGAAUAUCUUGUCCAUUGGCGCGGAUAUGGUAUUAGUGAACGUACAUGGAAGCUAAUAAAGAAUCUUGUAAAUGCAGCAAAGGCAGUGGAGGCUUUUCAUCAACAACAUCCAUCAAAAUUAAGAUAAAAUCCUUCUUUAUAAAAGAAACAACAUCUAGGCAAGAUAACAUUCUACUUUCAAUUCUUGUUCGUAGCUUCAUUGUAGUAGUGACGCUCAAGAGAUGGAGAAUCAACAACUAGCAGAUUCAACUCAAGAGCCUUCAUUUGCUGACCUGCCAGAUGAGACAUUACGAUUGUCACAACCUUCAAGACGAAGCAAUCGAGAUGAAGAUCUUCAAGAACGACAUGUUCUUCCUUGAAUUGAUGGCGAGAUACAACACGUUUGGUAUGAUGAUUUGGGAAGGGACUCUCAAUGUUUGGUGAUUGUGCUAGAGGUAGGAACAACUCAUGAUGGUGUUUCAAAUAUUCUAUUCGAAGGAAGUGUCACGGCCAUAAUCAUGUAAGCUAAUAAUUACAUAUAGAAAUAGGUAGAAGUAAGUAAAAGUAGAUAAAAGUAAGUUAAUUCUAUAAUAUUUAAUAUAGAAGCUUCUUAGAAACUUCCUAGAUGCUGCUUUGACUUCAUAGGUGUCUUUAAUUGACUUUUUGGAUUAGAAACGUGGUCAACAAGUUGGCCAUGUGCCACACAUGUUGUUAGCUUGAAGAUCAAGCUAACUAUGUGGCCCACACGUAGAAAAACUUGCCUUGUAAGUCAAGGCAUGUGUCCUAUAAAGUCAACACAUAUUGGAGGUCUUAUAGAACGUUGCCACGUAGCCCCUAGUUAGAUAGUAUAUAUAGAGACAAGAGUGAAGGCUUCUUCACUCUUGUCAACUCUUUUCUUGCUUCUAGUCUAGUUUCAAGGGUCUCUAGUUUUCUUGUCUUUUGGCAAUAGCCAUUCUAGUUUCUCUUUUCAAUAUACAUACUUAUUAUUCAUAUUUUGUUACUUUUCUUUGAGUGAAGGCUUACUUGUCUGAACUAUUUUUUCAUCGAGUUCUUGUCCUUGACAGAUUGACAAGAGUGUACUUACAAUAUCAGAGCUUUGUUUUUCUUGAGUAAGAGUGGAUUACCCCUUUCUCUUGACAAGGCAAAAGCGUAUUAGAAGUUUGCGGAUUACCUACUUCUAAACUGAUAUUGUUCUUAGUAUCUUCUUUGUUAUUAAGUCUUUCUUUUCUUUUGUCUUGAGCAGUAUCAAACAAAUUUUUCUUCUUAGUAUCAUUAUGACAGAGCUUGUUGAAAUGAAGAGUGUAAUGGCACAAAUGCAAGAGCAAAUGAGGGAGUUAAUGCUUGGGAUGCAUCAACUCAAUUCAGCAACACAUGAAAGAACAAGAAUAGCAGAAAGUGGAGAUAUAGAGAUGAUCGGAGCUGCUUCAACAUCUACAACAAAUCACGUUCUUUCUUCAAUUGUACAACACCCUGUAAGCACUAGAGAACCAAGAAUUGCCUUACCCGAGAAAUUUGAUGGUACGAGAUCUAAGUUUCGAGGAUUCAUCAAUCAAGUACAAUUGGUAAUUGAACUUCAACCGCAAAGCUAUCCAACUCUAGGAUCACAAGUCAGGUUUAUUGGCACUCUACUUUCUGGUUCUGCAUUAUUGUGGUUUUCGUCUUUUCUUGAACAACGAAAUCCAAUAUUGGACAAUUUGGAAGCUUUUUUGGCGGAGUUUCGAUCUAUGUAUGGUGAACACGAUGCAACUCGUGUUGCAACAAAUAAGAUCCAAAUUCUGCGACAAAGAAAUCGCUCAGUAACAGUGUAUGCUUCACAAUUUUGACAACUUGCAAUUGACAUCAAGUGGGAUGAUGCUGCACUCAUCAGUCAAUUUCUUUAUGGAUUGCAAUAUGAAGUAAAGAAAUUGAUGCUCAACUUACCUGAUCCUCAAACUUUGAGUCAAGCAAUCAAUUUUGCGAUAAAAUGUGAUAAUCUACUUUUCGAAUUUCGAUCCGAGAAUCAUUCACGGGAACCUCAACAUUAUUACUCAAUGGCAACAUCAACAUCUUUACCAAACGUACAUUCGGAAGUAGAAGACAUGCAAAUUGACGCGGUACGUUUUAAACCCCUAACUGAGCAAGAAAAGAUUCGUCAUCGUCAAGAAGGAUUAUGUUUAUAUUACAGAGAACCUAAGCACACUGCUCAACAUUGUCGAAAGAAACGACGCAACUAUAAAAUGAGGGGUACGACGGUCAAAGAAGACAACAUGUCAGAAAACGGAUUCGUCCAGCUACAAUAGGGACCGUGCAGCUGGAACCUUGUACAAUUCCUAAUGAAGGUCCUAUCCUCUCCUCAAAACCCUCUCCUUGUUUUAUAAUAGAAUUAUAUUUAGGAGCUAAGAAUUACAAAGCCUUUGCUUUAUUAGAUUCGGGAGCCUCAGCAUGUUUUUUAGAUGAACAAUUUGUUAAAAGUCAUAAAAAACCUUUUGUACAGAAAACUAAACCCGUACAUGUAGAAGUCAUUGAUGGCCGUACUUUGUCUUCUGGAGAUGUCACUCAUGAAACUCGCCCUAUAAAAGUAACAAUAAACGGUCAUGUUAGCUACAUAGCUUUUAACAUAAUUAAAUCCCCGUCCAAUCCAGUUAUUUUAGGUUUAUCCUGGCUAGAAAAAUAUAACCCUCGAAUAGAUUGGAAUUCUCGUAAACUUGACUUUUCCCAAAGUAUUAUUAAUAGUUCUAUCAACCAAGUAAAAAGUUAUAAAUCUAGUAUAGUAAAACCCGUACUUAUAGGUGCAAAAGCAUUUAUAUACGCAGCAAAAGAAGGAUCAACUUUUGCUAUUUAUGCUGCAGCUAUUUCUGAAAGCGUAAAGACUUCAAGUGGCAUUCCAAGUCAAUAUCAAGAUUAUCAAGACAUUUUUGAGAAAAAGAAUGCAGAUAUUCUUCCUGAGCAUCGUCCAUAUGAUUGUUCAAUGGACCUCAAGGAAGGACUCAGCCACCAUUUGGACCAAUUUAUAGUUUAUCGCAAGAUGAGAUGGCUGAACUCAAAACAUAUAUUGACGAGAAUUUAGUGAAGAAUUUCAUACGCCAUUCAAAAUCUCCAGCAGGAGCUCCAAUUCUAUUCGUAAAGAAAAAAGAUGGAUCUUUACGAAUGUGUGUUGAUUAUCGAGGACUCAACAAGAUCACAAUCAAGAACAGGUAUCCAUUACCUUUGAUAUCAGGACUCCUUGACCAGUUGAAUCAAGCUAAGAUCUAUACAAAAAUAGAUCUAAGAGGAGCAUAUAAUCUAGUACGGAUCAAAGAAGGAGAUGAAUGGAAGACUGCGUUUCAAACCAGGUAUGGACAUUUCGAAUAUAAUGUCAUGCCCUUUGGACUCAUGAAUGCACCAGCUGCUUUUCAACAUCUCAUGAAUGAUGUAUUUCGUGAAUUCUUAGACAAUUUUGUCGUCUCCUAUCUACACGAUAUCCUGAUCUAUUCUAAGAACGUCGAUGAACAUGAAAUACAUGUUCGUCAAGUAUUACAAAAACUUAGAGAUGCAGGAUUGUACGCCAAGAUGGAAAAGUGUGUAUUUCACACUAUUCAAGUUGACUUUUUAGGAUACAUCAUUUCAAAUGAUGGUCUCAUGAUGGAUUCUAAGAAAGUCCAAACAAUCAUGGAUUGAAAGAUUCCAAGGACGGUAAGAGAUGUCCAAUGUUUCUUGGGAUUUGCCAAUUACUAUCGGAUCUUCAUCAAAGAUUUCUCACGAGUUGCAGCUCCACUUACACGCUUGACUAGUAAAGAUAAAUUCCAAUGGAAUCAAGAAGCGGAAGCAAUAUUUGAAGCCUUGAAGACAUCGUUUGUCUCUGCACCAGUCUUAUAUCGUGUUGACUUUUCCAAGGCAUUUUUUAUGGAAAUAGAUGCAUCAGAUUUUGCCUUAGGUGCAGUUUUAUCACAAAUGGGAAUAGAUGACAAACUUCAUCCGAUAGCUUUUCAUUCAAGAAAAUUCUCAGCAACCGAGAUCAAUUAUGAGAUCCACGAUAAAGAACUUCUUGAGAUCGUGGAUUCCUUUCAAGAAUGGCAUCAUUAUCUAGAAGGCGCUUCUAGUCCAGUCACUGUGUAUACAGAUCACAAGAACCUCGAGUAUUUCAUGUCAGCACGCAUGUUGAAUUGUCGUCAAGCUCGUUGGAGUAUGUCUUUGUCAAGAUUCGAGUUCAUUAUCACUUAUCGGCCAGGAAAACAACAAGGUUUGUCUGAUGUCCUAUCUAGACGUUCUUAUUUUGCACCAAAAGAAGGAGAUGCAGCUUUUGAGCAACAAAGAACGGUCCUCUUGAAACCAGAGCAAUUUCAUCUCCGAGCAAUGAAAUCAACAUUGACUGUUGAUUCAACUUUUCUCAAGCAAAUCCAGUCCAGUAUGUCCUCAGACCCUCUUGUUUAUGAUAUCGAAAAUAAUUCUUCCAAGUCUCAUGAUCCUUCUAAGUUCGAGUUCAAGAAUAAUCUAUUAUAUUUUGAAGGACGCCUAUAUGUUCCAGAAGGUGAAGCACAUUUACGUGUUCUUCAAGUACGUCAUGACUUUCCAGCAGCAGGGCACUUUGGAUAUAAUAAGACUUUGGAACUCAUAUCAAGAGAUUUUUGGUGGCCACAAAUGUGGAAGUCAGUCAAAGACUUUGUACAAUCAUGUGAUAUUUGUUCAAGAUCAAAAAUUCCUCGUCAUCGACCUUACGGACUUCUUCAGCCAUUACCUAUACCAGAACAACCAUGGUCUUCUGUUUCUAUGGAUUUCAUCACAGAUCUUCCAAGCUCAAGAUCUUAUGAUUCUAUAUUUGUGAUAGUAGAUCGUUUCACCAAGAUAGAACAUUUUGUGCCAUGUACAAAAUCUAUCACAGGUGAAGAAACAGCUAAGCUUUUCAUUGAUAAUAUCUAUCGCUAUCAUGGAUUACCUAAAGAUAUCAUAUCAGAUAUGGGAACUCAAUUUGUGUCAAGAUUUUGGAGGUCCCUUUUCAAGAUUUUAAAAGUGAACAUAAAGCUAUCUUCGGCUUUCCAUCCUCAAAUUGAUGGACAAACAGAGCGCGUAAACCAAGUCUUGGAGCAAUAUUUAAGGUGUACUAUCAACUACCAACAAGAUGAUUGGACAACCCUUCUGCCAUUGACAGAGUUUGCUUAUAAUAAUACAGUAUAUUCUUCUAUGCAACAAACACCUUUCUUUGCCAAUUAUGGCUAUCAUCCACGACUUGAUACUUUUAAUUUUUUAAAAGUUGAUAAUCCUGCAGCAGAAGAUAUCGCAAAUCGGUUGUCAGAGUUACAUGCAAUAAUGAAGACUCAAUUGAAAGAAACUCAAGAACGACAAAAGAUAAAUGCAGAUCUAUAUCGUAAGGAGCAACCACAACUCAACGUGGGUGAUAAGGUAUGGCUACUUCGUCACAAUAUCAAGACUACUCGACCUUGUGAUAAGUUGGACUAUCGUAGGCUUGGCCCUUUUUCUGUUUCUGAACAGAUCAACCCAGUUGCAUAUCGGUUACAUCUACCGGAGUCAAUGAAGAUCCAUCCUGUAUUCCACGUGUCUCUUUUUGAACCAUAUAAGACAGUGGAUAUACAAGGAAGAAGACAAAUGCCACCCCCUCCUAUAGAAGUAGAUAAUAAUGAAGAAUUUGAGGUGGAAGAGAUAUUAGACUCAAGGCGGCGUCGAAAUAAGCUGGAAUAUCUUGUUCAUUGGCAUGGAUAUGAUAUUAGUGAAUGCACAUGGGAGCCAUCCAGGAAUCUAGCAAAUGCAUUAGCUAAAGUCAAAGUUUUUCAUCAACGACAUCCAUCAAAACCAAGAUGAAAAUCUCUCUUAUAAAAGAGACAAGAUUGAGGCAAGAUAACAUUCAAUUUUCUAUCCUUGUUUGUAACUUCUUUGCAUUUGUGACGCUAAUUAGAUGGAGAGCCAACAACCAGCGGAUUCAACUCAAGAACCUUCAUUUGCUGAUCUGCCGGAUGAGAAAUUAUGAUUGUCACAACCUUCAAGAUGACGCAAAGGAGAUGAACAUCUUCAAGAACGACAUGUUCUUCCUCGAAUAGAUGGUGAGAUACAACGCGUUUGGUAUCACGAUUUGGGAAGGGACUUUUGAUGUUUGGUGAUUUUGCUAGAGGUAGGAACAACUCCUGAUGGUGUUCUGAAUAUUCUAUUUGAAGGAAGUUACGAAGGCCUCAACAAUGAUCAAAUAACUCGGUGGUCUUCCCGCCCUGAUAUGGGACACUACCGAUGGUUGAGAGGCCCUAUCAAUCAUCUUCGAAGAGAACAGAGAUCAGAGUAUGUGGCGAAUACAAUUCAUGGCAUCAUAGAUUUCCUCAACAUAUGAUGACCGCUCCUCGUGGAACUCGUCUCUAGAAGAGGGGGGUAAUGUCACGGCCAUAAUCAUGUAAGCUAAUAAUUACAUAUAGAAAUAGGUAGAAGUAAGUAAAAGUAGAUAAAAAUAAGUUAAUUCUAUAAUAUUUAAUAUAGAAGCUUCUUAGAAACUUCCUAGAUGCUGCUUUGACUUCAUAGGUGUCUUUAAUUGACUUUUUGGAUUAGAAACGUGGUCAACAAGUUGGCCAUGUGCCACACAUGUUGUUAGCUUGAAGAUCAAGCUAACUAUGUGGCCCACACGUAGAAAAACUUGCCUUGUAAGUCAAGGCAUGUGUCCUAUAAAGUCAACACAUAUUGGAGGUCUUAUAGAACGUUGCCACGUAGCCCCUAGUUAGAUAGUAUAUAUAGAGACAAGAGUGAAGGCUUCUUCACUCUUGUCAACUCUUUUCUUGCUUCUAGUCUAGUUUCAAGGGUCUCUAGUUUUCUUGUCUUUUGGCAAUAGCCAUUCUAGUUUCUCUUUUCAAUAUACAUACUUAUUAUUCAUAUUUUAUUACUUUUCUUUGAGUGAAGGCUUACUUGUCUGAACUAUUUUUUCAUCGAGUCCUGUCCUUCACAGGAAGUUACGAAGGCCUCAACAAUGAUCAAAUAACAGGGUGGUCUUCCCUCUCUAGUAUGGGACACUACCGAUAGUUGAGAGGCCCUAUCAAUCAUCUUCGAAGAGAACAAAGAUCAGAGUAUGUGGCGAAUACAAUUCAUUACAUCAUAGAUUUUCUCAAUAUAUGAUGACCGCUCUUUGUGGAACUCGUCCCUAGAAGAGGAGGUAAUGUCAUGGACAUAAUCAUGUAAGCUAGUAAUUACAUAUAUAAAUAGGUAGAAGUAAGUAAAAGUAGAUUAAAGUAAGUUAAUUCUAUAGUAUUUAAUAUGGAAGCUUCCUAGAAGUUUUAUAGAUGCUGCUUUGACUUCAUAGGUGUCUUUAAUUGACUUUUCGGAUUAGAAACGUGGUCAACAAGUUGGCCAUGUGCCACACAUGUUGUUAGCUUGAAGAUCGAGCUAACUAUGUGGCCCACACGUAGAAAAACUUACCUUGUAAGUCAAGGCAUGUGUUCUACAAAGUCAACACAUAUUGAAAGUCCUAUAGAACGUCGCUACGUAGCUCCUAGUUAGAUAGUAUAUAUAGAGACAAGAGUGAAGGCUUCUUCACUCUUGUCAACUCUUUUCUUGCUUCUAGUCUAGUUUCAAGGGUCUCUAGUUUUCUUGUCUUUUGGCAAUAGCCAUUCCAGUUUCUCUUUUCAAUAUACAUACUUAUUUAUUUAUAUUUUGUUACCUUUCUUUAAGUGAAGGCUAACUUGUCUGAAUUAUUUUUUCAUCGAGUUCUUGUCCCUGACAUGGAGUUAUAGAGCUAAGGUACAAGCUUGGAGUAUGAGAAUGAGUUCAAGAGUUAAAAAAAAGAAAGUGAUAGAUUUUUGAUAUUUAAAGAUGAUAGAUGAUUUUAGAAGGAUUGGUACAAGUAGCACUAGGGAAGCAAGUGCCAAUGAUUUACUCUUGGCUUUGAGUAUGUUCAUAGAGAGACAACAAAAGAUACAAUCAAGUAAAAAGGAAGUAACUAAAGGAUUGUAAGGCAUGAUCAACAAGCAUAGAAGUUUCAAUGGAAUGAACAUUACUAAGUUUUUUUGAGCAUAUAUUGAAGAGAUGGAGGUACAUCAAGUUUUGGAGUCUCUCUAUAUUCCUACUUUUUAAUUGGCAUGCAUUUUUGAAAUUAAAAAGAGAGCAAAGGAUUUGUACACAGAUAAUUUAGAAGCCUAGAAUAACUUUGAAGAAAGAUUAAGAAAUAAUUUUUUUAAUAAAGAUUCAAAUAUAGUCACAAAGAGGUUGUUUUUAGAAUGAGUUGAAUAACAACUAGGGAGGACUAUGGUUCCCAAUAAAUUGCUUAGGAAAUUUGAGAGAAAAUUCUCUCAACCCUCAUCUUCAAAGAGACUUUUAUUGAGUGCAACAAAGACUAAGUUCUUCUUGCAAGUAGUAGAUGAAGCACUAGAGGAUAUAUUUUUUAUCCUUUUGGUUGAUAAGUCUACCAAGAAAGGUUUAAUUAAUGAUUAGAAGAGAGUAGAAGAUGUGGUACUAUUGUUGAACAAGCAACAAUAGAUGAAUGCAAGAGGAGGGACUUUGAGAUAUGAAGCUCUACCAUCUAUGAUGUCAAUCACUCCAUAAAGUCUAGUGACAUCUAUUCCAAUCUAAGAAACAUAUAAGAGUCUUUUUAAAGUCACUUUUGAUGAGUUGAUUAAAGGCAUGAGAAAAUUGAGAGUAGAGAUGAGUGAGUUAAAGAAGAGCCAAAGGACUACUUCUUUGCAUGCAUUAGAGGGAUCAAAAGAAUUUGUCAAGAGGUGCAUGUAUUUUGAUAGUUCCUAACAUAAAAUGAAAGAUUUCUUUGAUUAUGAUGAGAACUUAUAAAAGAAAGUUAUCUUCUUCAAAAAAGAUAGAGUUAUGGACACUACUACAUGGCAACCUUUGGAGAUUAAUUUUAGAAGAAGAGAUAUAAAGCAGCUUAUAAAGGAUUUUGUUAGGAGAGCAAGUAGAUUAUAUGUAAGAGAGGCCAAGUCUUAUUUCAUUGAAGUAGAGACCAAAGGCACGAUAGCUACUUCGAAGCCAUGGAGAGAAGCUUUGAUUAAAAGUACAAAAGCUAUUAGGAAGGUAACAAGUUGGAAUGAUCCAGUUGAUGCUAUUAACAUCAAAGUCUUUUUAAGUGGUAAUAAAAAUUUGGAGGACUAAGAUGCCAUUGUAGAAGAAAAGAG